rnacentral:lncRNA from 1 species
UUUUUUUUUUUUUUUUCUCUAUUUGGUUUUGAUUUGCUUGUAAAAGUUUCCUAUUUAUUUUUUCAUUCUCGCAAUUGAAUAUUUUGAACCAACUUAAUGUCUUCCAUUUCUAGGUAGCAAAGACUAAGGUUAUCAACAGUUGCCUCAAUCCAGUAUGGAAUGAAGAGCUCACUUUCUCCCUCACUGAACCUGUUGGAGUUCUAAAUUUGGUAAGUUUAUGAUAUUUGAACUCUAAAAGUAUCUUGAUCAACAUGUUUGAUUUUGUAUCUUAUCAAUUAUUUUAACCUGUUAUAGAAAGUUAGGAAUUAGUACUUUUUUUCUUUAGUAUAGGAGCCAUAUUUCUAUUGAAUUUUUUCUUCGUUCUGACCUGUCAGGCUUUUAAAAUUUCUGAUUCAUAGUUAUCCUAUUGGGAUAAAUAUCAAAACUAUACAUGAAUUUUGAUCCAAUGUACAAUUUCUUACAUGAACUUUGGUUUUGUGCAAUUUUAUUAUACAUGAAAUUUUGAUUUGAUUCAAUUUUCGCAAAUCACUAACAACAUUAUCAAAUUAACUCCAUUUUAUGCUGAAAUAUUGCAAACAGAAACAAUUAUAUUACUCCGAUAGGAAGAUAAAUGUAUGUAUUGAUUUUUUUUAAAUGUAUACAAUUGAAUCAAAAUCAAAGUUUCAUGUAUACGUAUGAACCAUAAUUCAAGUUUCAUGUGUAUAAUUACACAAAUCAAAGUUCAUAUAUCAAAUUACACGUUUGACCUAAGUUCAUGUAUAAAUUUGAUAUUUAUCCCUUAUCCAAUUCAAGCUAGUUGAUUAGAUCAUUAGAAUCCUUAUAGUUGCAUAACAUGCAUUUACCUUUCCUUUUGUUUUGAAGCAUAUGGUUUUGGUUCAUCUACACCUAAAUUUAUCUAUUUGCCUGCGUUUGUUGGAGUUAUAUCUGUAUUUGCUGAAUGUUUGCGAGUUGAAAUGUUAUUAUGCCGGAAGAUACAGAUUUCAGAAAUUUGAUACCUUCAGUUUCCUCUAUAUAGUUUUCAACUGUUUUGUCAGUUUCGAUGUGAAGCAGGCAACAAUAUCCAAUUGUUUUAGGAUUCAUCUGUAAAGUAGAACUGAUUUUCUGCCCUAACUCAUGACUUGUAGCUUAUUGUCUUCUUCUUUGAAAAGAGAGCAGUUAUAAUUAGGGUAAACUACACCCAAGGUCACUAAACUAUUAGUAAAUUUACGUUUUGGUCACUCAAUUUCCAAAAGUUAUAAAAUGGUCUCAAUUAUUCAAAAGUUUUCUUUUAAGUCACUAAACUAUUCGAAAGUUUUUAUAUAUGCCAUACAGCAGCUAUUUAAAAUCCUAGUGACUUAAAUGAAAAUUUUCGAAUAGUUCAGUGACUAUUUUCUAAAUUUUUUAAGUUUUGUGACCAAAAUCUUACUAAUAAUUUAGUGACCUUGGGUGUAGUUUAUUCUUAUAGUUAUUAUGGUUGAUGAAAAACUUUAGAAGAUGCUAAUAAAAUUGUUGAUAAAAGUUAGGUUUUAUGAAGAAUUGAUGAAAAACGCUUUUCUUUCUGCAGGAAGUAUUCGACAAAGAUCGUUUCAAGGCUGAUGACAAGAUGGGACAUGCUUAUCUGAACCUUCAACCACUUGUCUCAGCUGCUAGAUUAAGCCAUGCUCUUCGAGUUUCUUCUGGUGAGAUGACAUUGAGGAAGGUUGUACCCGACACUGAUAAUUGUCUUGUUAGAGAGAGUUCUAUUAGUUUGAUAAAUGGUGAAGUAGUUCAAAGUGUCUGGUUAAGGCUUUGCACAGUUGAGUCCGGGGAAAUAGAGCUAAAGGUCAGGUUAAUUGAGACACGCGAUGGACCUUCAAGGUAGUUGAGCUAUAUCCGCUGAUGAGAUAAGUGUUUGGGAGCUCAAGUUCAGGUGAUUCCCGCAAGGCCGCAAAUUAAGGUGAGCUCGGGAAUAUGUAGUUGAAUGUGUGGAAAAGUGUAGUUUUCCUUAGCUGUUUCCCUUAAGGCAACUUAAAAUAGGUGGUAGUUGAAUGUGUGGAAAAGCGUAGUUUUCCUUAGCUGUUUCCCUUAAGGCAACUUAAAAUAGGUGGUAGUUGAAUGUGUGGAAAAGUGUAGUUUCCCUUGGCUGUUUCUAGUGUAAAUUAGGUCCAGGCAUAAAAUAGGUUGGUUUGAAUCUUUGAUUUGUACUUUUCAGGAUGGCAAUGGCAGCCAAUACUGGACCUUAAAUAUAUGCAUCCUGAACUGAAUGUUGUUGUAGUAUAUGUGUUUUAAGCAAUUGGUUUCCAUGAAUUCGAGAUAAGAGGGUCGAAUUUUAGUACAUAGUCGAUGUAUGUACUGCAUAAUGUAUAACCCUUCUGCAGGAUUAUAAUACACAACUUGAUCUAAUCUCACAUUAAGGCAGGAUUCAAGGGAAAUAGCUAUUUACUAAAGUAGACCCUGCUUUUUAAGUAAUGUAUAUAGGUAUGGGAUAUAAAUGUUAAGAAUUUAUAUAUUGAAAAAGAAGAAAGAAACACAAAGAACUACAGCUUAAUCAUCCUACCAAAACCAGGAGAAAUAAGGUCCUCAUGCAAGGCUCCCUCCUAAGUUCAACUGUUUUGCUAUCCAUUAGGAAAAAGACAAGUGUAUGUGUACUUCAGGGGGUUGUAUUAGUAGUUAUAUUAUGGAUGGUGACCUGUCAAAUUAUGGUGCAUAUUAAAUGAUGAUUUUAGAUUCUUUUAGUAAAAAUGAUUUUUCAAAGGUAAUUGCAGAUGAAUGAAGCCUUUCAUAAGUCUUGGCAGCAAAUUUCAGUAUCGGUUAUUGUCUUCAUCCUUUAUAAUAAUAAAAAAAAAAGUUCAGUUUAAAUGUUAACUUAUCUAAUUUUUUUUCAAUUUAGUUUGAUUGUGUAAUUUAGUAUCUGAAUAUUUUUUUUUAAUCCAAUUAUAUAUAUAUAUUUAACAAGAUCAAUCGUGUCCAACAUUCUUUCAGCCAUGUUUGGUUUGAAUGUCAAAUUAAACAUUAAAAUCAAAACUGAAAAAAAUCUUAAGUGCCAAAUUAAAUAUUAUAAUUAAACUUAAAUAUCAAAUCAUAUAUUAAAAAAAGUAAAAACUUCGCAUAAAAUAUAUAUCUAUUAAAUCUUAUAUAAUAUGCUAUCAUUUAAAAUAAGGGUUAGUAUCUGACACAUUGAGAGUAUUUUUUUUAUUCCAUAAGCAUUUUUUAAAAAAUUACUGUGUUUUUAAAAAAUAUUUUAUUAUAUUUUUACAUGACAUUAAUCAAACCCUCCUACAUUGCUCGUCGAUUUUGUUCCUAAAAAAGUUCAAAGAAAUGACGAUAAAUAGACAUUUAAAUUAAAUUUCAUUCUGAGUAGUGUUUUACCUUCUAAUUAUUUAUUUUUUAAUAUAAAAUAUAAAACUCUUCAUAUUUCUUCUUCAACCUUUAAUAAAGAUAUCCUCUUCCAUAAAUAAAUAACAAUGUGAAUGCUAACUAAUUCGCACCCUCACCUUGACAAUUUAUUGAUAAGCAUGAUCGUGUUAUGUAUUGAGCUACACUCUUUUAAUAUUUUAUAAAUCUAAUUUCCGAAAUUUUUUUAUCUCAAUAUUAUUUGGACCGGAAUUUAUCCAUUUGCACUAAAGACGUGUGCAUUUACGCAUUCCAAUGUUUGUUACCUUUGCGACUUCGAUCAUUUGCUUGGUUUUAUCCAUUUAACGAUGAAAAGCUCUCAUCUUUAGUAAAAAAAAUUCUUCUUUUCUUCAUUCCAAUCCUUCCCCAACAUACAAUCAAAUCAUAUUUUAAUACUUCCCCUCGUGAUUCAACCCAAUCCCAUUUCUUCUUAUCUUGUUUUAAUCUUGGGUAUUAAUCUGUACCUCUUCACUCUGUUUUUCAUUUGUUUCUUUCUCGAAAUUUAAUUCAACCAGAAUUAUUUACGUUUUUUAUUUAAAUUAACGUUUACAGACUUCAAAGAGGUGUUUGAUUGUGUGUUUUCAGCUUCUUUUUAGCGAAUGGCUCCUCCAGAUUCUAUGAUCAAACCAAAAGGUUAUUUUGAUUUAAUUAACGCCAUUAGAGCUUGAGCUACUCUUUUAUUUGUUUUUUAUUGAAUGGGAUUUGCUUGUUUUAACUAUAUAUAGCUCUGUUUAUUACAGAUGUUUGUAUUGUUGGCGUUGCACGUACACCAAUGGGUGGUUUCAUUGGUUCCCUUUCCUCUUCCUCUGCUACCCAUCUUGGAUCUUUAGCCAUUAAAGGUAAACUCCUAAACGGUAAAAAUAUCAUGGAGGUCCCGAGUCAGCAUUUUGACACUUUUACUUAGACAAGUUACUCCUUUUAUCUUAGAUAAAAGAGCAAACUCACAGAAAUGGAUGAAAUUUUUAAGAGAAGGAUCAAUUUGAUUUUUUAUCUAAAGUAUAAGGGUUAACUUGACUCUAAGUAGAGAGGGCAAAAUGCAAUUCAACUCUUAACUCUUAGUACCAUGACUUUUAUGAUACUUUUACCACUCCUAAACCCCAUUUUUUUAAAACUCCUUGUAAAUAUAUUGGGUCCCAAUUUAUACCUUUUUGUGUUAACACAAAUAUGCAGCUGCCCUUCAAAGGGCAAACCUUGAUCCAUCACUUGUGCAAGAGGUGUUCUUUGGGAAUGUUCUUAGUGCAAAUUUAGGUCAAGCUCCUGCUAGGCAGGCUGCAUUAGGUGCUGGUAUCCCCGAUUCUGUCAUUUGUACCACUGUUAAUAAAGUUUGUUCAUCUGGAAUGAAAGGUAAAAGUAAACUAAAUCCAAUUUCUGGACUGAAGUAUGUUUGAUUCUUUGAUAUCUUAUCGUUUAUUCGUUGCUAUUGCAGCGGUGAUGCUUGCAUCGCAAACUAUCGAGUUAGGUAUCAAUGAUGUUGUGGUUGCUGGUGGUAUGGAAAGCAUGUCAAAUGCACCCAAGUAUUUGGCACAGGCAAGGUGUGUAUCCAUGUUUUUGUUCAGUAUUAAAUUAUUUCAUUCAUGCUGUUCUUCUUUGUGAUCUCAUUGAUGACAUUUAAUGAAUUUAACAAUGAUUUUCUUUCCGGUUUAAAGAGUAUUCUUUGAUACACAUUGAAUUGAAAAUGGAGAGCCUGUACCUGCUAGGGUCAUUAGCUACUUCAUUAGUCAAUUUUAGCUUGGAGAGUUGUUUUCAUGAAGCUUCCACUUAUAGGAGUAGAUUGAUGGUGUUUUUGAUAUGUUUUGCUGCCUUUGCAUUGAACAAUUUGCUGCUUAUUGCAGUUCAUAAUGAACUAGAUUAAUUUACUACAGUAUUUUGUUUUAUUUGGUAAUCUCUAUGUUGUCGGUAAAAGUAUUAUGGAGGUCCCUGUAUUAAGAGUCAGAUUGCAUUUUUGCCCACUUUGCUCAAAGAACAGGAAAAUUAGGCUAUGUGUAUUAAAUCAAAAAACAAAUUGAUCCUUUCUGUUAAAAAUUUUAUCCAUUUAUACUGUUAAAAACUGACAUGGCUGAUAGAAUAACUAGAUAGUGACACGUAGUAUGCCAUGUGUACCUCAUGCUGACGUACAUUAAUCAAUUUUAACUGCAAAAAUGGAUGAUAUUUUUAAUAGAACGACUAGUUUGCUCCUAAAUCUAACAUACAAGGACUAAUAUGCCCAUUUUUUUAGUAGAAGGGCAAAAUGCAAUCCGACUCCUACUACAGGGGCUUCCAUGGUAUUUUUAUCCUAUGUUGUCACAAGCUAUUGAAAGUUCAAUCUUGGAUUUUUAUGUGCAGAAACGGAUCUCGAAUGGGACAUGAUACGGUUAUUGAUGGCAUGCUCAAAGAUGGGUUAUGGGAUGUAUAUAAUGAUUUUGGUAUGGGAGUCUGUGGAGAGUUAUGUGCUGACCAGUACAAGAUUACACGAGAAGAACAGGUUCUGUUUCCUUGUGAUCCAAAUUAGAGCUGAUUGUUGUUAUUCGGAGUUUUACGUGUGUUAAUGCUCUUCAUACACUCUACCUCCUUUCUUUUGCAGGAUGCUUAUGCUAUUCGAAGCUUUGAGUGUGGAAUUGCUGCUCAAAAAAGCGGCCACUUGGCUUGGGAAAUAGUUCCAGUGCAGUUUCUAUUCUCACUCUAAACUUAAUUAAAAUUGAUAUCUUACAUUAUUCUGUCAACAUAAAUUCUCAAACUUCUACAUGCAGGUUGAAGUUUCUAGGGGAAGAGGGAAACCGUCCGUAGUUGUAGAUAAGGAUGAAGGUUUAAGAAUGGUAUAAAUAAUAUUGUGCUUCGGAUUUUACAUUUCACGGAACAUAUGAUCUUUGCUGCAGUUUUAACAAUUGUUGUCCUAAGUAUACCUUUCUCUUUUUUAUGUCUACGUGUCCUAGUUUGAUGCUGCUAAAUUUAGGAAGCUUAGACCAAGCUUUAAGGCCAAUGGAGGAACUGUUACGGCUGGCAAUGCUUCUAGCAUUAGGUAUCUCCUCUCAAUAUCUUCCCUUCCAUUUUUUAAUAUGUUCUUAUAGUUGCAAUGCUUUAGGAAUGUGAUUGCUGUUGCAUUCCCUCCCGUGUUCUUUGUAUUAAUUUGAGCAAGAUCUCUUUUUACAAAAAACAUUCGUCUUCCGAUGAUAAAAUGGCUGCUGCAUAUAACUUUUACAUUUUGGUUCUAGUUAUGGGCUGUUUUGUUAUGUUGGGCAGUGAUGGUGCAGCUGCAUUGGUUCUAGUAAGUGGGAAGAAGGCAGUUGAGCUUGGUUUGCAAGUGGUUGCUAAGAUCCGAGGAUAUGCCGAUGCUGCUCAGGUACUGGAAAUAAUAGCUGUUUGCAUUUGCUUUUGUAGUAGCUUACUUUUAGAUAACUAAUGCUUAUGGAGCUUGUCUCGGUAGGCACCUGAAUGGUUCACUACAGCUCCGGCCCUAGCCAUACCAAAAGCCAUUUCAGCUGCUGGUUUGGAUUCUUCUCAAAUUGAUUUCUACGAAAUAAAUGAAGCUUUUUCGGUAAGAAAAUAGGCUAAUACUUUUGGUUUGUAACAAGUCCGUGUUUUAAUCUCUUUUUUUUGCAGUGGUGCAUAACAAGUACGUGUUUUAAUCUUUUUCGCAGGUUGUGGCUCUCGUCAAUCAAAAACUGCUUCACCUUAAUCCUGUAAGUCUUCAAUACACGAAAUCCAUUAUCGACUCUUUCUUUUUCCGGGGUUUCUAUUGGCUUGUUCAUAGUGCUUUUUAAGCUUCACUAUUAGCAUUAUAUGAUUUUUCAAUGUCUUAGUUCAUAUUUUUCUUAAAUGCAGGAAAAGCUUAAUGUUCAUGGAGGAGCUGUAUCUUUAGGACAUCCACUAGGAUGUAGUGGAGCUCGCAUAUUAGUCACAUUGUUGGGGGUAAUUCAUAGGAUUUAAUUAUCUAUGUUACUUCGACUUUUCAAUUUUUCUUGAAGUAUCAAUGUCCAAUAUCUGUUUCGACAUAUUUCCAGGAAAAAACUGUUCAUACUUGUAUUGAACAUAUACCUGCAUCUGACACUUGCAUGGUUGAACCUAAAUUCGAGUAAUAGGAUAAUACAUCAAAGAAAUUUUAUGGUGCAACUUGUUCUUUGGCUUACGAGCAUUUCGUAUUUUACGUAUUGCAGGUGCUUAGACAUAAGAAAGGGAAGUUCGGGGUUGGUGGCAUCUGCAAUGGAGGUGGUGGAGCAUCUGCCCUUGUUGUUGAGCUCAUGUAAGCCCUCCAUAAAAUUCGUGGUAUUGUAUAUGCUGUUAUACGUAAUAACUUGGACUCUAGGUCUGAAUGUCGGAUAUGAGUUAUGUGUCCAACAUGAAGGUAUUCUAUUCUUUCCUGGUUUUGCAAUAUACUUGGAGGGCCUCAUGUUCGGAACAAUAUAGGCCGUGGCAUCAUUGGUUAAAAACAAUGAUCCCUCUAUGUUUACAAAAAGUGUUGACGGAGUCAGAGUUCUCAUCGUAGGAGCUCGUAGAUUCCUUGAGAAGAUCUCUAGACUAUCAUAUGGCCUGCAAUAAUUUGUUAUGUAUAACUGUUAGCUAUGGUGGUGAUGAUGAAUCUUCCAUUUUGCAGGCCAGAAUCGGAUCCCAAAGUGCUACGAUCAUCGUUAUGAAACUGAUAUACAUGCUAUUAUGUUACAGAAUUCGCCGGAGUUUUGUUAAACCCCCAAAGUUGAAUAGAAAAUAAAGAUUGUAACAGGUUUUAUGGAGGUAGAUAGGUAUAGGUGUUGAGAGCAUUCAAUCAGCAGAAUAAAGACGAAUCCAUGUCGGGACCUCCUAUUUCUUAUAGGUUGAAUCGCUCCAUAAAUUGUAUACAUAGUAGUCAAACUUUCAUUAACCAAAGCUUAAUGUUAUAUUUCAUUCAAUAAAAAAGCUCAAUAUUGUACUUACUUUAUGCCCCCACUUUCUUUUUCAAAAGUCGGAUUGUCGAUUUAUUCGGUUUGAUGAAUUAAAUUAUAAGAAAAAUUAGUUUAAUUAGUGUUUUAAUCUAGUUUAAGUGAUUUGUUAUUGGUUUACGGGUUAAUUGAUUCAACUUUUUUUGUUAAGGUUUAAUAUAUCAUUUGGUAUUUGAGUUUAAUAUUUUUAUCUAAUGUGAUAUUUGUAUUAUUUUUUGUGUAAUUUUAUUUUUGUAUUUGACAAAAGUUUAUAUUUUGGUGCCCAAAGCUAAAGGUAAUGUUAUUUUUUGGUUCAAUUUUGGUAAUAGAAGUUUUGUAUUUUUUUAGUGUUUAAUUAGGAUUUUAAAGUUAAUUUGAUGAAAGUUAAUUACUAACAUUAUUAGGUUUAAAAUUUUCAUGAUUUUUGUUAAUAGAUUAAAUUUAGUUUUAAUUUUGCUAUUAAUUUGUCAAAUAUAGUCUACUGGACGAGAUUUAUUUCAUGUUUUAGGAUUGAUUUAAAGAAAGUUAAUUGCUAAUGCUACUAGUUAAUUAUGAAUUUUCAUUAAAUCAACUCUAAAAUCUAAACUAAAUAUUAAAAAAAAUAAACACGGUGCCAAAUUUAAAAAAAAAAGGUGUGAAACGCAAGUACCAAAUCAUGUGUUAAGCCUUUUUCAAACUAGUAUUUUGUCAUGUUAUUGAUUUAAUCGACUUAGGUCCAAUUUUAUAAACACCAUGAGAAUCUUUUUUAGGCAAAUAAAAUUAUAUGUAGAAUUGUUCAUGAGUCGGGUUAUUUACCUAAGCCUGAAGGCUCAUCCGAAAUUUGAGAGGGUUUGGUCAAAAAUAUUAAAUCUAAAAAAUGUGUUUGGAUAAAAAAAUUAAGCCCAUUUAAAAUAUGACCCGAUUUCAGACUUGAAUAUUCAUAGCCUAAGCCUAAUCCACUUCUAAGUUAAUUUUUAUAUAUAUUAUCUAACUUAUAACACAUUAAAAAAAUAAACUUAUACAAAAUAUAGAACACUACUCUAAUAUAAACAUUAAAAUAAUAUUAAGAUGACUAUAUAAAAAAUAUCAAGAAAAAUAUAUAAAAUUAUUAAAUAUGAAAUUAAAUAAUAUAAAUAUUUUUAAAGAAAUAUGAGCAGACCUAAAACGAGUUUAGGUUAGUGUUUUAUAAAUAUGGGUAGGCUUGAACAAAAUUUUAGGCUCAUAUUUCGAGUUUGACCGAGUUUAAAUAAGUAUAAAAUAUAUUAAUAUCAUGCUUAAUUCAGACCCAUAAACACCUCUAACUAUAUCCUUUAGUAAUAUGGUAUCAACUAGAUAUAAAAAAAAAAAAUAAUCAUACAAAUGCGGUAUAAACCUACAAAUAUUUUUAAAUUCAUAUAAUCUAAAUUUUUUAUAUAUAAAAAUAUAUUUUAAAUAUUUUUAUAACAAAAUAGAAAUACAUAAAUAUGAUGUUAUCGAAAUUUUAUAUAUAUGAAUACAGGAUUUGGUGAGUUAAGAUAGAUUUGUGUUUUGGUUUAAAUAUUAAUUUCAUUAUAGGUUUUUAUUAUGUCUAGAUUUAUCCAUAAUUCUUCCCCAAUCCUUAAAAUAAGAUAAUAAUGUGCUUCAAUGCAUUCAAACCCACGUUUUCUUACACUAACAACAAUACUAAUAUCAAUUGAGUCAAUCGAGUUAAGACUCAAUUGAUGAAAAUGACAUUGCUAAAAGCUUUGCUUUGGAUUUAAUAGUUAAAAUAAUUAAAAUAUGAGACAGAAUAAAAAAUGUAGCAGGUACAUCAAUUUCUGGAUAAUUAAUCAACCCCGCCCUGUUGACUAAAAUACAAACUGAAUCAAUCAGCAGCAUAUGCGAAUAUCCUUUUUCUUUUUUAAUCUGUGUUUUUUAAGGUAAAUUAGCAAAUUAGCCCCUGUACGUUUGAUUAAAUAGCAAAUCGGUUCUUUCUGUUAAGAAUUUCAUCUAUUUCUAUCAUUAAAAUUUUGUGUAGCUGACAAAAUAAUCAAACAGUUACACAUGAUGUGUUAUCUCAUGUUGAUGUAUAUAGACCAAAUUUUAACAGUAAUGAAUUAAUUUACUCUUUAAUCUAACAUACAAAGACUAAUUUACCUAUUUUAUUAAUAAAGGGGACAAAAUGUUCCGGUUCAAGACUUAUAUUUUGCAUUAUAAUUUUGUUCCAGUUUGAGAUAUAUCAAAUAUUUUGGUAGUUUUGUGUGUGACGUGUUCUUUUAGUUUUUUUUUAAAUAAUCUCAUUAUAGGUUUUGAUCACAUAUAUUCUUUUUGACAUAAUAUCUAAAAUUACCCAUAACUCUUCUCUAUUCAAUAAAUAAGAGGACAAUACGUUUCAGCACACUCGAACCUACAACAAUACUCAUACUAAUUAAGCUAAGACUCAAUCGGCAAAAUUAAUUAUAGUUGAAUGAUGAAAUUUGUGAAGAAAGCCAAUAUGAUAUGCUAUUUGACUUAAGGUUUCCGUAUUAUAGUUGCAUAGUUUCAUUCAAAGAAACCGUAAGUGUAUGAAUGUAUAAAAUAGUAACAACUAAUCGAAUAUCCUUUUCUAUUAUACCCUCCAAUAAUUGUUGAAAAAUUAAUUAAAAAUUAUUUAUUUUAAUAUUAAAUUAUCUUUCCCUUGAUUAUUCUUUUUAAAAUUUGUGGAUGACUCUUUUAAUAAUGUAAUUUUCAAAUUUAUAACUUUUUUUAUAUAUUAAAGAAAAUUAUUAUAAGUAGUGAUAAUUGAAAAAAAAUUUAACUUGUUAAAUUUAUAUUAGUGUUAAUCUCAAUUUUUUUAGGUUAUUAGUAGAAUCGGGAAAAAAUUAUACGAAAAUCCUAAAAUUCAAGAUGAAAUUAUUGAUGUGAUAUUAAACUAUUAAAAAUAGAUAAUAUAUCUGCUUUGUACAAUCAUUUCUCCAGUAAAAUCAUAGUUGUAAACAUAAAUAAUUUACCUUUUCAUAUUUAUAAUAAUUAAAAUAUAUUUAGACAUAAUCCAUAAGAUUUAAAAUAAAAUCUAAAUUAAAAAGAAAGCCAAACUUGAAGCUCAAAUUUCAUAAAUUUCACAUUAAUUCAAUUUUCUAGACAUUUAAAGUUACUAAAUAAUUAAUAAGUUUACGUUUUGAUCUUUCAACUUUAAAAAGUUACAAAAUAAUCACUAGACUAUUCGAAAUUUUUUAUUUAAGUCAUUGGUUGUUAAGUUUAUUUUUUUUUUAAAAAGUAUGACUAGCAAGCUUCAAGCGAUGAUUCAAUGAUUAGUAUAGUGGAUUAGUAGCUGCCAACAAGUAGAAGCGCAUACCAUAGAUCCAAAUUGAUCUGACGACCAAUGUUAAAGAUCAAAGAAGAAAGCUAUUUAGAUUUUGGUUUGUAGAUUUGUAACAUUCAGUGUUGUUUUAAAAAAAAUGAAAUGUAAAAGAGAUGAGGAAUAAGAGUUUUUGAAUGGUACAAGUAGUGCAGAUAGAGGAGGACAAACAACAAUAAUUUUUAACAGUCCAGUAACUUAAAUAAAAAUUUUCGAAUAGCUCAGUGAUCAUUUUGUAACUUUUUGAAAUUAAGUGACCAAAUCAUCAACUUACUAAAUAAUUUAAUAACCUUAUAUGUAAUUUACUCAAAAAUGCAAUCGCUUUCACUAACGUUUCAGAAAAGUCAAAUUAAAAGGCAAAGAGUUGGACUUUGAAAGCUAUAUAUAAACCUAUAAUUUAAUUCAUUUCCUUUCUUAAUUUCAUAAUGCAUCAAUGAAGCUUAAUUUCUAUAGGUAACCAUCAAGCUCAUCAAUUUUUCCCAAGAAAAUGUGGAUACCGCCAACGGAACCAGCUCACAAUUACACCUUCUCCAGCAGUAUAAGAGAAAUAGAAGAAGAAGAAGGGAGUGAAUUAUUUGAAAUUCACGACGGAGAACCCUUAUCGUCGAUCAAAGAAGAAGAGAUCAACAGUUUAUUUUCUUUUGACGUAGCGGCAAGAGAUGAGGAUGAAGAUAAUGUAUACGUAGCGGUAGGGAAGAGUCAAUCAAGUAUCGAUGCACUGUCAUGGACGAUCUCUCAUUUUAUCAAUGGUUCUUCCACUACUGUUUAUCUCAUCCACGUGUUUCCCGAGAUUCACUACAUUCCUUCUCCAUGUAAUUAAAUUUAAACUCAUUCACCAUAAUUUUUUUUUCAAUCCGACUCGGUUCGAAGGGUCGAGUCGGAUCGUCAAUUAAUGCAUUACUUUGGUUUUUGACGAUAGUAGGAAAGCUGCCGAAGAGUCAAGUAUCGGCAUCACAAGUGGAGAGUUAUAUGGCGGAAGAAAGAGGGAAGAGACGCCAACUGCUCCAAAAAUAUAUUGAUAUCUGCUCCGCUUCUAAGGUACCGUAAACGUUAUUUACUAUUUAGUUGCAUUGGUUUUUUCGAAGGAAAAUUUGACGGUUAAAAUUUUCUAUUAGUCCCUGUCCUUUUUGAAAUGGUCGAUUUUAGUCCCUGUGUCAAUUCUUAAUCCUUUACUUUUUGAAUUUUCAAGUUUUAGUCCAAACCUAUAGGGUGAAUUUAAGAGGCCGGCAGGGAACUUGGCCCCUCCAAUGAAAAUUUAUCUGCUUAGUCCUCUCUAAAAUAAUAAAAAUAUAAAUUAAUAUAUGGUAAAAAUUGACUUUGUCCCAAAAAUGGAAAAAAUUCUUUUUAAUCCCUUAAAAAUGCUGAAAUUAUAAAUUAAUAAAUGAUAAAAUUACAUUUUGACCUCUCAAAAAUUUAUAUUAAAUUUUGUUCCCCUUAAAAGAAUUUUUUGAUUCACCCAUGCUAACUCAAACAUAAGCAGUUAAAUUCAAUUACUAGUAUGUUCUAUGCAUACAAUCGUAGAUUUGAUCCAUAUUCUCCAAUCGGGUCAUUUAAAAGUCCUUAGACUUUUCGAAUUUUGAAAUUUUAAUCUUAAUGCAAAUGACUAUUAUCAAUCCAUUAAUUGAAUUUGUAAUAAGUAAUAUGUAAAAAUAAUAAACUGACAAGACAUUAUACAUAUGAUAAUUUAUUUAGGGUGUCAGAUUUUGGAAAUAGCGGAAUUUAAGUUAGUGAAUUUAACAAUUAUCAUUUAGUGAAUUUUAAAUUUUGAAAAAUAUAGGAACAAAAUUUGAUCAAAUUAAAGUAUAAGACUAAAUCUAUGAUUUCUGUAAAGUACAGGGAGUAAUAGCAGAAUUUAAUCAAAACCUAACAGAUUAUAGACCAAUUGGUUUUAUUUAUAACAGGUUAAGGUAGAUACGAUGCUUGUUGAAAGUGAUAUGGUUGCAAAAGCCAUAUUAGAUCUAAUACCUAUUCUAAACAUUACAAAGCUAGUGGUUGGAACCUCCAACUCCAACUUCUCAACUUCAAGGUAAUCACACGCGCGCGCGCACACACACACACAUCUAUAUAUUCUUAGAACCCUUUUCUAUGUUCUGUUUCUCUGUCUUUAUCGUUGUCUUGUUUUGAUGGGGUGUUUUAGGAAAGUGAAGUCAAGGAGAGGUGUUCGGAUAGCUCAUCAAAUAUUUGAGACUGCACCAAGUACUUGCAAGGUCACGGUCAUAUGUGAAGGAAAAGACGCGACUGCCCAAAUGCUCGAAUUGCAGUUGCCCUCACCAUUGCCCUCACAAUCUCCAGCUGCCAAUGAAGACCAGUUCAAGGUGCUGCCGGAAGCUGAUGAUGAUCGCCGUAAUGAUUCUUUUGUGUGCAUGUGUUUCAGACCCACCAAGUUCUAAGAAUUUCAUUUUUAGCAUUAUGAAACACGGUACUAAACAAGUUCCACUGUAUGUCCCAUUAUUUCUCUCAUGAUUGUUACAAUCUUAUUACCAGAUAUCGUUUUGGAGUUCAUACAUGAAUGUUCUGGUCUGUUGUGCCACAUUGCUCUCUGUUUGAAAUCAUAUAUUAAUUCAUGAAAUAAUUACGAAAUGCAGAUUCAAAUUUGUUAAAUAGGUAGCAACAACAGACAUACAAUUUUCUCCAUGUAAUGUUUCCAUCAACAAGAAACCUUCAGCCUCGGAUUACUGACAACCAUUGAGAUGUUCAUAAUAAUUCUUCCUGUUAAAAAGAAACAAAUUCGGUUCUGCGAUUUAAUACUGGCAACCGCUAAAAGAAAUCAAACUCGAGAUAAUUGUCUGAACCUUUCUGAUUAUAAGCAGCUGCAUUGACAGCAACCUUUUCACUUGUUGAUGCCGGUGAAGCGGGUACUCGUUCAAGCUCGACUGGCUUUGGAAUCUCGGGUGGAGUAGCACAACGAAUCAAUGCCCAAUUCACACCUUCGAAGAAAGGAUGUUGUUUAAUCUCGGUUGCACCUCGCUUAUAAGCCAAUCUAUGUUGUGGUUCCUUUACGAGUAGACCUCGUAUGAGGUCCCUUGCUGCGAAACUCACAAUGGGUGAUUCUGGAAACCGAAGAGGUUGUCCUACGACAUUGAACAAUGUUGCUCGGUUCCCGGAUCCCUUGAAAGGAGUUCUACCAAACAAGAGUUCAUAGAGGAAGAUUCCAAAAGUCCACCAAUCAACAGCACUUCCAUGGCCUUCACCUUUGAUGAUCUCUGGAGCCAAGUACUCAUGUGUCCCGACGAAUGACAUUGAACGUGCAUCGGUUGGCUCUGCUAUUAGUUCAGGUAAAGGACUCACUUGGUUACCAACUUCGUUUUUCAGCUUGCGGUCUUUCCUGGACUUGCUAGAAAAGAGACGGGGAGAAAAGCAUGUUGUUGGAACAACACAAGCUGGUUGAAUGCACGAAGGUUCGAUGCAAGCAGGCUGAACACAAUAAACAGGGUUCUUCCUUAACGGCUCUGAUUCGAGAGAAGACGUUUUGACAAGAGUCGGACUAACAGUACAACGAAGGGAAAGAUCGAAAUCAGAAAGCAUUAUAUGACCAUCUUCUCUUACAAGAACAUUUUCAGGUUUAAGGUCACGAUAGAUAAUCCCAAGCAUGUGAAGAUAUUCUAGUGCUAGCAAGACCUCUGCUACAUAAAACCUGCAAAAUAGCAUACAAGAGUUUCAAAUAUCAGCAUACAUGUUUCAAGAACAUCAGAAACUGCGGCAUUUUCAGUUUAUUUGUUAUACUUUACUGCUUGUUCCGGAAAAUGUUUCCCUGGUUGCUUCUGCCUAAGGGUGUGCAAGUCUCCACCAGGACAGAACUCCAUUACCAAACAGGAGAACUUCUCCGUUUCAAAAUGCGUGUAAAGAGUAGGAAGGAACGGAUGAUCGAGAGAUUGCAGUAUCUCUCUUUCUGUUUGAGCUCGAAGCAGCUUUUUACGACUUGCUAAAGAUGCUUUGUCCAUAACUUUCAUUGCGAAAUAACACUUAGUUCCACUCAACUCUGAUAGAUAGACACUCCCAAUGUCGCCACAACCUAACCUCUUUAGUAGUCUAAAAUGGCUUAAACCGAGAAUCCCAUCUUUUGCCCUACCAGCUUGGAUAGCUUCCCAUCUCAAAUCGUUCGCUUUAUGAGGCUUAUUGAUACUACUACUAAAGCUGCUACACGAGCUUUCAUCGCUCACAUCACUGCUUGUACUGCCUCUACAUAUGCUGCUCUUGCCACUCUCAACAUAAUCAAGACGGUCACUAAUCUUGGCAAGACUACUAGUCCCGUCGCUAACUUUGGCAGAUACCGAGCUGCUUUUAACACUUCCAUAUUCCGAUGUUUUCUUUUCUUGAUCAACAGAGAUUUCAGGUGAAUCUCUAGCCUCGUAAAUGGAUGAAUAUACUCCACUCGAUGCUUUUUUAAGACAUGACACCAAUGAACUUGAUUCCAACUUAUUAGUUAAAGAUUCAACAGAACCAUUUUGAUCUAAAAUCGGUGACCUUUUCUUUUCGGAAGCCUCUCCCACAACUUGUUUCGAUGUAGUCCCUACCGAUUCAAGAGUAGCCAGCUCGGAUUUGCUUGUCUUGGAAACCUUUGAGGCCAUUAGCAGCGAGGUUCAAAUCUCACAAAUACACAGUCCAAAAAUCAUUACAAACAGCACCAUAUCUCCAUUUGAAGUUCAACAUAGCUGCUUCCUCUAACUCCAACCAAAAGCUAAUCAUACAAAGCAGACAAAAUUAUCAUAAGAACAACUCAUCAUGAUUAACUGAGGUCUGAGGUCAGAUAAUAUAACUAGUGGUAAAAGUACCAUGGAGGCGCUUGUACUAGGAGUGAGAUUGCAUUUUUACUAAAAAAAAUGGGCAUAUUGGUCCUUGUACAUUAAAAUAAAGAGCAAAUUGAUACUUCAUUUAAAAUUUCAUUCCGCCACGCUAGUUUUUAGCACUAAAAAUAGAUAAAACUUUUACCACAAAUGACUAGUUUGAGACUAAUUUGUCCAAUUUUUUUUGGGUAAAGGAAGCAAAAUGCAAUACAAGGCCCUCCAUGUACGUUUACCUACAACUAGCUGAACUACAAUGGGAAAAGAAUCCUAGAAGCAUAUUUGAAUUACAAAUACUAGAAAUGUCUUAAAAAAUGAAACAAAUUUCUCACCUAAAGAGAGAAAAUUAGCCAUUAGAACACUUUUUUUUUGUGUGUUAGAUGGAGAAAUCCCAGUAAAUACAAAAGAAUCAAUCAUAAAACAGCAUGCAAGGUUCUUUCAUUUACAUAUGCAAAUUUUUAUUCAAAAAAAAAAUACAAACUUUCCCCCCAAAAGAGAUAUCCCAAAACAGUGAAACAUUUGAGUGAAACCAGAUCUCCAUCAAUGAUAGAAAAGAGUAAGAGUUUUAAGUAAAAACCCAAGACAGAUCCAAAGCUAAAAAGAAAAACCCAAUCACUGAAAACCAAUAUAAUAGGAGAGAAACUACUAGUAUUAAGCAAAGAUAAGUAAAAACGCCAUUAAAGCUAAAAACAGGUGAGAGAGAGAGAGAGAGAGAGAGAAAGAGAGUACCAAUGAAAUGAAAUUAUGAGAUGACCGUGGAAUUGGGAAGGUUAAGGGAACGAGAGAUUUGGGUUAAAGGAGAAAGCAAAGGACUGUAGAAGAAGACAGAGAGAUGUUUGGGUAGCUUCUUAAACAGUUACAGCCGCACCCACCACCACUCAGUUGAGUUUGGCCUUUUAUAAAGAGAGAGAACAUAACAAAAUGGAAGCUUGAGAUAUAUAGUGAGAGAAAGGGUGUUUUUUUAUGAGUGUUUACAAAUUCCAAAUGGACCGGCCUUCAUUGGAUACAAAAACCUAUUAAUAAACUAUAGGGUCAUCAAACUAUCAAUAUGUUUACGUUUUGGUCAUAUAAUUUUAAAAAGUUAUAAAAUAGCCACUAAAUUAUUCAAAAAAUUUUAUUUAAGUGAUUAGGUUGUUAACUUUUUUUUAAGGGUAAACUAUAAUAGAAUUCAUCCAACUAUAUAUAUAUUUUGUUACUCAACUAUAAAAAGUUACAAAAUAGUCCCCCAACUAUUCAAUUUUAUUUUUUUGGUCACUAGCUAACGUAAAAAUAGAAACACCCAAAAAUUCAAGAUAGUUUACCCUUUAUUGAAAGUCCGACUAGCGAGUUCUAAGUAAUGGUUUGUCAAUUGGUAUGAUGAAUUAGUACCCAUUAAUAGGUAGAAAAACAUACCUUAAGUUCAAGUCAAUCUAAAGCCAAUGUCAAAAAUCGAAGCAGAAAAUUGUUUCAGUCUUAGUUUCAUAGAUCUAUGACAUUCAAAGUUGUUUUAAGAAAAAAAACUAAAUUGUAGAAAAUAAGAGGAAUGAUAGCUUUUUGUUGGUACAGGCGGUACAAACAAAGAAGCCUAUACAACAAUAAUUUUAACAGCUUAGUGACUUAAAUAAAAUUUUUCGAAUAAUUCAAUGAUCAUUUUGUAACGUUUUGAAAUCGAAUAAUCAAAACAUAAAUUUAUUAAUAGUUUAAUAAACUUAAGUGUAGUUUACCCUAAUAAAUAUAAAAUGCUAAAGAAUUUUGAGAAGAUGGUUGAAUAUUUUUUUUAAUGAUAUUAUUAUUCAAGUAAAUUAAUAUCAAGAUAUAUAAAAAAAUACUGAAAUUUAAUUUAAAUAUAUAAUUUUUUCAUGCCAUAAAAUAAAAUUGUAUCAUCAUACCGUCAAUUUUUUUAAAUAAAAACUUAGCAAACUUCAUAUAAAUGUUUCUUUUUCAAUUAAUAAGCUCAAUCAUGGCAUGUAAUGAUGAAUAUAAAUUAUUGAAAACUUUUUUUAAAAAAUUAAGAAAAAAUAUGUAUUAUUUAAUGAUUUUUGGAAAUUUUAAUACAUAAAAAAAUAAUUUCAUAUGUAGGACCAAAAAUAAACAAAAUAUGAUUGGCAGCCACCAACACAUAAAUUAAUGAUAUGGUAAGAAAUUAAUUAAGCAUAAAUGAGAAAAUUUUGAUUAAUUUACUCUCUCACCUUUUGAAAUAUAAAUUGAUAUUUAUGGUGACAUUGAGGGUUGUUGAUCCCCUAAAUUGGGCAUUUUAUUAAGAGUAAAACCAUGCAAAUUAAUGAAAGAAAAGCAGAUAUGAAAAUUAAGAGUGAAAAUGAUUUUUAUUUAAUUUUUUUUAAAAAUUAGAUAAAUAUUAAAUUUAUAUAUGAAUUUUGGUCCAAUGUGUAAUUUGAGAUAUAAACUUUUGUUUGAUGCGCGAUUAUAAUAUGAAAUUUGAAUUAUGGUUAAUCUAUAUAUAUAUACAUGAAACUUUAAUUUUGAUUCAAUUGUACACAUUUGAAGAAAAUAACUACAUACAUUUACUUUCAUAUCAGAUUAAUAUAAUUGUUUGUGUAUGUAAUAUAUCAACAUAAAAUUGUGCUAAUUCGAUAACGUUGAUAGUAAAAUCUAACAAAAUAAAAGUUUGUGUAUGAUAUUGCACAUUGGAUUAAGUUCAUGUAUAAUUUUGAUAUUUAUCUCUUUUAAAAACGAGAUAAAUUUUAAAACCAUACAUGAACUUUGGUUGAAUGUGUCAUGGGGUUGGAUCUUUAGUCUUGCAAUUCAUGCGGCCUUAGGCGAUUUCUUCGCUUCAAAUUUGCCUAAGUCAACUUAAUCCUCGAAUUUGAGAGUUCUCUUGGAAAUUUUCUAAGGCACUAAAAAAUAUAGUGGAAGUAACUCGAAAUGAAAAGAGCAACAGUGUUGAAAAGCCACAAGAAAGCAAUGCACACCAAGUGUUUGAGUAAAUGCUCUCAAUAUAUUCUUAACUCAAUAACAAUUGGAUAUAAUGGGAUGAUUACAAAUGAAGGAGAAGCCUCUAUUUAUAGUUGAGCUCUCCCAAAAUUAACAGUACAAAUUGAGUUACAUCGAUUGUUAAGAUUAGAGCCUAUCUACAAUUGAUUUACCCUAUUUGCCCUGGUAACUCUAGUUUGACUGAAAUGUUUCACCGAGCUACCAAUGUUUCAAGUAGAUGGGUUUCUCCAUAAGCUCCACAAAUCGGGUUAGUUCAUGUGGGUCAAAUGAGCUCCAUUCAAUAAGUUGACCUCUAUGGAGCAUUUUGUGCUCAAUAGUCAUGAGCUUUGAUCCACAGCCCGUGACAUAAUAUUAUAUGUAAACUUUGAUUUUGUGCAACUUUACACAAACCAUUUUGAUUUGAUUCAAUUUUUAUAAAACAACUAACAUCAUUAUUGAUAAAACAUCAUUUUAUGUUUACAUAUUACAUACACAAAUACUUAUAUUUAUCCACUAUAAAAAAUAAAUUGAUGUAUUCAUUCUUUAACUAUAUACAAUUGAAUCAAAAUCAAAGCUUAACGUGUAUAAUUACACAAAAUUAAAGUUUAUGUAUUAAAUUACAUAUUAUAUCAAACUUAAUGUAUAACUUGAAUAUUUAUCCUCUACAAAUUUUAAAUUAAUUUAAUGUGAAACUUUAAAUUUAAAAUUCAAUGCUAGUCCCUAUAAUGUAAUUUAAAUUUGGAUUGAGCUAUAGAUAUUAGAAGUGAAGGUGAUCCAUUGAUUUAGGAGAGGCAAUGGUAGUGGUAGGUAGGGUUUUCCAUAUAUUUAUGAAGAAAAGUACAAAAAUAUUACUUUUUUUCUUCUCAUCCUAAAUAUAUCUACCAAUCCUCAACACUCAAUUCAUAAAUAUUAUAUAUUUACAUAUAUAACUUCAUUGAUAACUCUACAUAAUUUAAAUUUGGUCACUUAACUAUAAAAAAUUAUAAAAUCAUCAUCUAAAUUUUUAAAUUUUGUUUUUUUGUCACUGGUCGGGUAAUGGUAGCAACUUUUAAAAUUAGCUUGGUAAUAAUUUUAACUCUCAACAUUUAUACAUUGUAUCAAUUUAGUAUUGAUUCUGAAAAAUCUAACCCUCAACAUUUAUAGAUUGGAUAAUUUGAAAAUUUUUUUACAGUUUUGUUUUUCUCUGUGACCCUUUCAAGUAAAAAGCUAAAAAAAUAAAUUUAUCAAGUAAAUUUGAUUGAAAAUGUACAAAAAAAAAAUAGAAACACCAAAAAGUCCAAUAUAACAAUUUUCAUUUUUUCUCAUUAUUUUAAAAGUAAUCUUCAAUAUCAAAAAGAAAAGCAAAAAAAAAAUUAUGUGUAAAUGUUAAGGGUUAAUUUUUUUUAUUCAAGAAUAAAUUGAAAUAAUUUAUAAAUGUUGAGGAUUAAAGUUGCUAUUAUGCCAACUAUUAAAAGUGAUCAGUACUGUUAGCUAACUGGUGAUAAAAUAAAAUAGCCUGGUGAUUAUUUUGUAAUUUUUUAUAGUUGGGUGACAAAAAAAUACUAAUAAUUGAGUGAUAUUUUAUAAUUUUUCAUAAUUAAAUAACUAAAAAAAAUAUUAAUAGUUGGAUGACUUCUAAUGAAAUUUACCCUUUUAGGUUUGAUUGAUGCGACCAAGCAUAUGAUUUGAAUCACAAAAACCAAAGAUUUUGAUUGAUGCAAAACAAUAUAUACUGGAUUGUAGCUUAGAUUUUUUUUUUAAUAGGUUUAGAUAUUUUUUAAAUCUUGGAUUUAGUGAUAAAUUAAGAAAGGGUUUUCCAUUUUUGAUAUUUUAUGCAAUUUUAUGUUUAUUUUAUCAAUCAUAUCGUUAUUUUAAAAUUGAAAUUUCCUAAAAAAAAUUUAACAAGAAAAAGAAAAAUAAGAAAUUAAUAAUAAAUAGAAAUAUAAAUAUAAAUUUUUAUUUUAUAAAUUAUAACGAUAAAAUUAAAUUUAAAAUAUGGCAACGCCAUUGUGUUCUUCAUAUAUUUGAAAUUUAAUUCGUGUAUUUUUAUUUUCAAGAAUUUAAUUUAUUUAUUUUUCAAAUUUUAAAUUUCAGUUGCAAUUAUCAACAUUGUUAAAAAAAUUUUAUUAAAUUUAUUGGUGUGACAUUUUGAAAUAAUAAUAAAAAAAUUCACUUUGUGGCAACGUAAUGAAUCUAAAUUUAGCAAAAUAAUUUUAACAAUGUUAAUCGUUGAACUUGAAUUUUGAGAUCUGAAAAAUGAAAAAACUAAAUUUCUAAAAAAAAUAAAAAAAAUUCUAAAAUUAUAGAUUUAUGGCAUAUAUGAAUUUAAAUUGGUAGUAAUGAUGUAAGGUUUGAUAUUUCUUAAAAAAAAAAUGUUAAGAUAAGUUAGAGGGGGAGAAUAGUGGAAUUGGUUGGAGGUCCCCAAAGGAAAAUCUUAUUUAUUAUAUAAGAGGGAAGUUGGUAAUGAAUUCAUUACAAAUGCAAUAUGAACCAUAAUAAGUAAGCAUUAUGUGAAUAACAUCCCCAUCUCUCUACCAUUUUAUUAAAUAUAUGAUGCCCACUUCUUUUCUUAAAUAAAUUCGGAUUAAAUUAUUGUCGAAGUUGUGAAAGUGAACCAACGGAUUCUUAUUGUUCACAUAAAUUGAAAAUUCUCAUUCGUUUUAUUUUUUUUUUUCAUUAAAUAAUUUUGAUCAUUACGAAUUUAUAAACUAAAAUCUAAAUAAUUUUCUUCUCUUAUAUUUAAUAUUAGCCCUCAAAUUGACUUAAUUAAAAACUUUUAAAUAGUUUAAUGAUUUAAAUGAAAAUUUUUGUGACUAUUUUAAAACGUUUUAAAAUUGAAUGACUAAAGCGUAAACUUAAACCGGGUGUAAUUUGCCCUAAACAUUAAUAUAACAUGUAUUAUGAGAUGGGAUAGUAAAACAAAGAGAGUACAAGGCAGGCGGCAGCGACCAUCCUUUUGCAUUUGGCAUGCAUGCAUAAUUGUCUUCAUUUAUAAUUAUAGCCAUACGACAUAUGAGUAGCACUUGUAAAUCUGUUUCCUCCGCCAAUUAUGGAAAUGUUACCAUCACAAUAAUACAUAUAUACAAUAUUAACCUUAGGUUAGGUACCCAUUUCUGUUGCUAAUUCAGUCUGUCAGAGGCAUGGAACAUCAAGACUCUAAACUGGUUACUUUGUCUUACCAGACCAAGAACAUCGACAUCCACGAAACCUCUGGUAAACUUCAUUUUCUUCUUCAGUUUCUUUGCAUGAAAUGGAACAUAUGUCAUUUGUAACAGGUUUAACCUGUUUUGCAGAUGAUGAAGUAAAUGAUUCUCCAGUAGAACAAGUCCGACUCACUGUUCCAAUUGUCGAUGAUCCGACAUUACCAUGCUUGACAUUUAGAACAUGGGUUUUAGGGAUAGCCUCGUGUGCUGCCUUGUCUUUCUUGAACCAGUUCUUCCAUUACCGUCAAAAUUCACUCCACAUUUCUUCACUCACAGCACAAAUCCUUGUUCUUCCACUUGGAAACCUGAUGGCAACAUAUCUACCUAACAGAACACUUGUGUUGUUUCCUUCAACCAAAUGGUCCUUCUCAUUGAAUCCAGGCCCUUUUAACAUUAAGGAACAUGUUCUUAUUACCAUAUUUGCAAAUUCUGGUUCUACCAAUGUUUAUGCAGUCAACAUUAUCACCAUAGUUAAAGCAUUUUAUCAUGGUCAGAUACACCCUUUCGCUGCUUUGUUGUUAGCUCAUACUACCCAGGUCAGUUUUUUUUUCCGGGAAUUAUAUAUUGGAAAAAUAUCGGUAAAAGAACUAUGGAGGAUUGUAUAAAGUAUAAUGCAGGAUUUUAUAUUAAUAUUUGGAUUGCAUUUUUGUCUCUUUUACUAAAAAUUAGGCAAGUUAAUCCAUGUAUGUUAGAUCGAAUAGCAAAUUAGUCCUUUCUGCUAAAAAUUUCAUCAAUUUCUACUAUUAAAAACUUGUGGCACACCACGUAUUAAAUAUCUGAUUAUUCCGUCAAUCACAUCAAUUUUUAAAUAUAGAAAUGGAUAAAAUUUUUAACAAAAAUGACUAAUUUUCUUUUUAUCUAAUGUACAAGGGUUAAUUUGCUUAUUUUUUAAAUAAAGGAAAUAAAAUACAAUCUGACUAUUAGUACAAUAACUUCCUCUGUAGUUUUACCAUAAAAUACCUUAUAUUUAUAUUAUGAAUUUUGAUUGUUUCUUUUUGGAAUAUUCAGAUGCUUGGAUAUGGAUGGGCUGGGAUUUACAGAAAGUUUCUUGUUGAUUCACCGUAUAUGUGGUGGCCUAAUAACCUAGUGCAGGUCUCCCUCUUUAGGUGCUGUCUCUUUUUAAUUUUACCCAUUUUUAUAUACAUAUUGUUAGGUUAAAUUCUGCUAUUAGUCCUUCUAUUUUUGCGAAAGUUGUGGCUAUUAGUCUUUCUAUUUUUGCGAAAGUUGUGGCUUUAAUCCUUAUACUUUUUAAAAUUUGAGGUUCUAGUCCUAACCCAAACAGUAACAAUUAAAUCUAUUUGGUUAAAAUCAAUUAUGGUCAUGUACUAUAUGUACGGUUGUGGAUUUAGCUCAAAUUCUUCAACUGGGCUAUUUUAACUCUCUAUACUUUUCGGAUUUUGACAUUUCAAUAUUGACGUAAAUGAUUGUUAAUUAAUUAACUGAAAUUUUAGUGAAAAUAAUAUAUGAAAAUAAUAAGAUGAUAUGACAUUACAAAUAUGAUAAUUUUUUUUUGUAUCAGGCCUAGAAUUUUAAAAUUAAAAAAAAAUGCAUAAGCUAAAAACGACCAAAUUAAAGUACAAAAAUUAAAUUCGUAACUUUGGCAAAUUAAAGUGACUAAUAAUUUAGCCCAUAUUUUUAUAAUUUCCAACUCAUUAAAUUGUAGGGUAAACUAUAAUAGUGGUCACUCAACUAUGAAAAGUUAUAAAAUGGUCACCUAUCUAUUUAAUUUUUUCUUUUUUAGUCAACAACUAGCUAAACAGUAAAAAUGUAAAAAUACUAAAAAAUCCAAGAUAAUUGGGUUACCAAAAAUGAAAAAAUUGAAUAGUUAAAUGGUCAUUUUGUAACUUUUCAUAGUUGAGUAACCAAAAAAAAGUUUAUUAAUAGUUGAAUGGUGAUUUUGCAACUUUUCAUAAUUAUGUGGCGAAAAAGAAAAAAAAAACAUAGUUGGGUGAUAGUUUACCUAAAUUGUAAUUGUAGGGCGUUGCACGAUGAUGAGGUUAGGCCAAAAGGUGGCCUGACAAGGUUGCAAUUCUUCCUCAUGGUGUUCAUAUCGAGUUUGGCGUAUUAUAUCGUUCCAAACUAUCUUUUUCCGUCGAUUACGGCUUUAUCCUUCAUUUGUUGGAUAUGGAAGGAUUCGGUGACGGCCCAAAUCAUUGGAGCCGGUCGAGACGGUCUCGGGGUAGGAUCGUUUGCACUGGAUUGGUCAACUGUGGCUAGCUUUUUACAAUCGCCAUUAGCCACCCCUGCAUUUGCUAUAAUCAACAUGAUGUUGGGGUUUGUCAUUGUAGUUUAUAUAUUAACCCCUAUAGCUUACUGGACUAACUCCUACGAAGCGAGGAGAUUUCCGAUCAUCUCGUCGCAUGUGUUCACCGACGACGGCGAGAAAUACGAUGUUUCGAGAAUUUUGAAUUUCACGACCUACGAAUUCAAUCAACGAGGAUAUGAUGGCUAUAGCAAAAUUAACCUGAGUGUGUUCUUUGCAUAUUCUUAUGGUCUUAGCUUUGCUACAUUGGUUGCUACUGUGUCACAUGUUGUGUUUUUCCAUGGAAGGUAAGGUACUUACCUUUUAGUUUAGGGUAAACUAAACGCAAUGGCUGAACUCAUGUUUUGGUUAUUCAACUUUAAAAAGUUAUAAAAUGGUGACUAAACUAAUCAAAAUUCUUUAUUUAAAUUAAAGUUGAGUGAUUAAAGCGUAAACAUACUAUACUAUAGUGAGCUUGAGUGUAGUUUACCCGACAAGAUAGCGGACGCAUAUUGGGUAACAAAUAACGGCUGUUGUUUGAUUCGUAUUUGUAGCAUGAUAUGGCAACAAACGAAAUCGACAUUUCGGGAUAAGUUUAGUGAUGUUCAUUAUAGAAUAAUGAAGAAAAACUAUGAAGCAGUACCGCAAUGGUGGUUUUAUAUGCUGUCGAGCAUCGUAAUCGGACUAGCGGUGCUUAUUUCUCAAGGCUUUGGCAAGCAGUUUCAACUCCCUUACUGGGGAGUCCUUUUGGCAAUUGGCUUGGCCUUGUUCUUUACUCUCCCAGUAGGUGUGAUUAUGGCUACCACAAACCAGGUAUAUUUUCGAUACGCAGCUUGUUCAUAUGUUACUUUGUUAUAUUCACUUUAUAUACAUGUGCAGCAACUGGGACUAAAUAUCAUCGCCGAGCUGAUUAUCGGUUACAUUUAUCCGGGAAAACCGUUGGCAAAUGUUGUUUUCAAGACAUACGGUUAUAUAAGCGCGGCGCAGGCGGUUAUGUUUCUACAAGACUUCAAACUAGGCCAUUAUAUGAAAGUUCCUCCAAAGUCGAUGUUUGUUGUCCAGGUAAAUUUUCUUAACGGAUUCGAUACUUUUAUAUCGAUAUAGUUGUCUGAAAAUACCCGGAAUGUCGAAGUUGGUAGGAACGGUGGUGGCUACUAGUGUCUAUUUUGGGACAGCUUGGUGGCUCUUAACAACAGUGGAACAUAUAUGUGACCCGUCUAAAUUGACAAAAGGAAGUCCUUGGACAUGUCCUGGUGAUGACAUAUUCUACAAUGCUUCCAUCAUUUGGGGUGUAGUUGGACCAGUUCGAAUGUUUGGUCAGCUGGGGUUGUAUUCUAAGAUGAACUACUUCUUUCUUAUCGGGAUUGUUGCACCGUUGCCCGUGUGGAUACUGUCCCGUAUGUUCCCUGAGAAAAAGUGGAUUAAGCUCGUUCAUAUGCCGUUGAUUAUCGGAGGUGCGGGGGCAUUGCCAGCAGCCAGGGUUGUGAACUACUGGUGUUGGGGUAGUGUUGGGGUGUUGUUCAAUGUUUUUGUGUAUAGGAGAUAUAAAGGUUGGUGGGCUCGUCAUAACUAUAUAUUGUCAGCUGGGUUAGAUGCCGGUGUAGCUUUUAUGGCUAUUCUUUGUUACUUCACAUUGCAAAUGUGGAAUGUUAAUGGACCUAAAUGGUGGGGUGCUCAGUUAGAUGAUCAUUGCCCCCUUGCUAGUUGCCCUACUGCUCCUGGAAUACAAGUUGAAGGCUGCCCUGUUUUUCAAUGAAAUUUUCCUGCUUGCUUUAUACACACUAGAGCAUAAAAACCCUGUCGUAUAUUAAAUUUUGACGGGUUAAUAUGUAAAUUUGUUAUCUUAUUUUAUGAACAAAAGAUAAAUUUAUCACUUUAACUUUAUAUUGAACUUUGUUGUUUUACUUUGCCACUAAAGUUAGAUUUUUAUUGAAUUAUGUUAUUCAAUUUUAAUUUAAAUUAAUUUGAAGACAAAUUUAAUAAAAAUAUAUUUUUAUGUUCUACUUUAAUAUUCACAACAAGCUAAUUAAUAUAAUAUUAAAAAUAAAUAAAAAUGGUUGUUUUAUAAAAAUAAACUUAGUUUUUUUUCUUUUAUGAUAUAUGUAUUUUUAUUUUUCAAGUUUUUAUUUCAUUAAAUAGAAAUUAGAUUUUAAUAUUUAUAAGUUAAGUUAUUGGUAACUAAUAAAAUAAAAAAUUUGAAAGAAUUUUUCUUUUUAAAUUAUAUUUUCAAAUCAUCAAAAUUAAUAUUGAGUGGUAAAUUUAAUAGUAAAAUUCAAUCACAUAAAAGUUUAAUGGCAAAUUUACUGAUAUUUUCAAAAUAUAAUGACAAACAUCAAUAAAAAACAUAGUAACAAAUUUCAAUUAUCACUUAUAGUAUGAUGGUAAAUUUGUACUUUAACCCAAUUUUGACACAUUUGUAUACUUAUAUCGUGCUCAUGUCAUUUUUUAGUGCUAUAAUCAUAUCGUAUUUAAAAUUAUCGAGCCCAAUUUCACGGGAGUAAAUUUAACUAUUUAACUUUACCUGAGGAGAGGGAAGAUGAUCCCAAAUGUAAAUUGCAACUUCAUAUAUGCUCCUUUUAUAUCAUGCAAACAAAUAUGAUAAUCAAGAUAGUGCUUUGCGUCCAUUUUGUUCAAAGAACAAAAAGAUUAAAAACUAUAUAUCUAUAUAUAUAGAUAUAUGCUUUGAGCUUUAAUUUAUUCAUUUGUUUUCAGAACAUGGAUAGGCCAUGAAACAAUCUGGCCAGUAUCCUGAUAAUGCGAGAAUAUUUCAACAGUUUCCAGGUACAGUAAAUCGCGGAAAUAAUUCUUUUGAGUAUAAAUUUGCAAACACAACUGCCAAACAGGCAAGAAUAAGGAGUAAAAUGGUGAAAAUGAAACAAUCAGAUCAUUCUCCCAAUAAACUGAGAAUAUCAGAUACCUUGUCGGUGUAAUAAUCUGGUUUGAUACUGUUUGAGGGGUCAUCAAGAGUGGACUGUGUUGUUACUCCUGAAAUUUUAGGCAUUGCAAACAUUAGAAAAUAUAAAAAAAACCUAAGAAGAUUCUUAGUUUAAUGGUCUUAAGAACAAGAGAUAGCAAUAAACCUGAUAGAACAAGCAGGGUUUUGCAACCAGCAUUUUGUCCAAAUAAAAUGUCAGUAUCUAGUCUAUCACCCACCAUGCACAUUCUAGAUGUAGUUAAAUUAAAUCUGCAAAGCACAACACAUCAGGGAAAAAAAGAGAUGAUCAGAAUAAGUAAGGUAAGUGUUCAUCAGUAUUAUGCACCAAAGAAUCAGUAUCAGGUUUGGUCAUUGUUCAAUCAAGCUCAAGCAACUUGAGCUAUCAAACGAGCCAAAUUCAAGUAUUCUAAUGCUUGACUCGAGUAGCGAAUCUUUUAUUUAUAAUUGUGAUAAAUCUUUAUAAAUAAUAAAAAUAUAUUUAAAGUUACAAAAAUCAGUAAUAUAAUAAACAAUGAAGAGUAUAUAGGUCAGUUCAAAAGUUUCUCCCAAUUAGUAAUAGAAAAUCUCAAUUUGAACUUAGACACAAGCUCGAGUGUCAUAGUUGAGUUUGAAGUGAGCAUGGAAAUUAAAUCCAUGUCUUACUAUAUAAACAAGCUUUUAAUCGAGACUAACACCCUAAUUUAGCGAGCUCAAGCAAUUCGAUUUUUAUCCCGAAUCUAGUUAAGCUUUAAAAGUGAAACUUCAUCAAGUUCAAGCUGAGUUUCGAGCCUAAAAUUUCAAGUCAAGCUCUAGCUUCUCAAAACUUGAUCUCGGUUCAGCUCGCUCAGAAGCACUCAACAUAGCAGGGUUUUCUACCACGUUUGUUCCCAAACUGUGAACGUGCCAUUUUCAUUUUAGUGAGGUGCAAGCGAAAUGAAUUUUAAGAGCCUACCACCACUACCAGUCAGAUUCAUUCAUAAUUGAGCAACAGACAUUCUCAAUCUUCACAUGCACUAUAUAAUACUACCUGAUGCUAAUCACUUCAGAAGUAAACUCCAGACAUUUAAGUCCAUAUAAAUGCAAAUUAGACAAUUUUUCAUUGCUGGUUGGUAUAUAUACAGAACUAGUGCAUUAAAAUAACUUACUUCUGCAAUAAAAAGUCCAUCAUGAAGGUUGAAGGUUUUCCAACUACAAUAGGCUCUUGUUCCGUUGACCCACAAACGGCAGCAACCAUGCAUCCCGCACCUGCAAAUAUAAACUAAGAAAUGAAUGAAGUGGAACUCUCAACCAAACUGAGCAGUAAUCUAAUUUCUUUACCAGGCCACUCUUGCAGAUCAGUCAUGUGUCCAACUGAAUCACGGUUCGUAGCAAUAAAAAGACAACCUGGGUUCUCACGGAUGCAAAGGGUCGCAUACCUGCCAGUUGCAAAUAUUUUAAAGAAAGAUCAAAGACUCCAAAAAGCGCUGCCAUGUCUUACAAGUUAACUCAUCAGAUCUGAAAAUAGUUUGUUUAGACUAGGCUUUAUACGUUUAAUAGAAGGCAAUUAUUAGCAUUUUCUACUCAUCUAGCCAAACAUUGUAACCUAAAAUUUCCUUGGUGCCCCUAAGCUAACUAGUAUUUAACUAAAAAUGACCCCUCAGAUAUAUUUUAGGAGCAAAGAAAUCAUAUUUUAAGUUUAACAAUGUGCUGAGAUCAAUAACGUAGAUGCAUAUACAGUCAAAAUACUUUUUAGAGGUAAAUAUAACACGAAACUUGGGAACAUGUGCUACUGAUCAAGGUAGUGAAAUAUCUAAUAAGACUGUUAUUAGUGUUUGUGAUUCAAAACGAAAUAUAAAUUGCUCAGCAACGAAAUCUAUGGGGAAUAGAAACUGGUUCUAAGUUAUUUUAGGGGACAAAUUUCAGAGACAACCAUAAGUUUAGAAGACGUGCUAUUUUUCCCCCAAAACCAAAGCCAAAGCAAGUAGCCAUCCACUUACUACGUCGUUCAAACACUACAUUCUCAGUGCACUUGCACAAACAUACUCGAGAAGCAAGCAUAGAAGACGUCCUAAUCUCAAAUAUUCAUAACAUCAUCAACAAGUGAAGAUGGAAUUUUUAACUUACUGAAGUUUGUAAUAGUUAAUAUCUGGAUCUAAUCCAACAACAACUGCUCCAACCUGAAGGUAGAAGUUACGAAAAUCAUGGAAAAAGAACCAAGUGACACACUCAGAGAAAUUGUAGGCAAGAUGUUACAUUACAUCUUUAUCAUGCUCAAAGAGACAAUUUGAUUUCCACUGAGCCCUUUUUUCUGCAUCUUCCUGCAACAAUAUUUCCUCUAAGCACUUAAAAUUCAUUAAAGCAAGAGAUUAUGAUGCAAGAAAAACAAGCACGGUAGAAUCAAGGAAAAGAUUACAAUGAAAAACAAACAAAGACACUCUAGCAAGGCAACAAGCAAAGGCAAGAAUAGCAGUCCAGCACACAAACAGCAUGUCAGUUGUUAGAAAGAUGGAGAAGAGGAUGUAUUCCUAAUCCAAGGUCAUGAACUGGAAAACAAAAUUGAAAAGACUAAAAAAGUACUGGGCCACCAAGAGCUGUAAAUCCAGCAAGUUGCAACUCCUGUCCUAUGCCUUCCCCGCCUAUGACAUAAACCUGAAAUACAAACAAAUUAUAAGUAGUGUGCAAAAGAUAAAAUAAAUAGAGGUUAAAUAUUCAUUUGCCCCCUAAAUAUACCACUGAUACUUAAAGAAUAAAAAAUGGUAAUUAGAUACUUAAAGUUCAUUCAUCAUGUACUUUGGUCCUUUUGAUUAACAUCAGUAAUCUAACAAUUGAUGAGGCAUAAACUAACACUCGAUUAUGACACUUGGAAAAAUAUAUUCAUCUUUAUUUCUAAACAAAAUUUUUUAUUUUUGAACUUAAAGAAAAAGAAAAUUGGAAACACAAAAAAUCUGUGUGACAAAAUGGGAAGAGAGGGAGAGAGGCUGGGGAAGCGCAGUGCAGAACUCUUGUGUGGUUUGUUGGUAGAGUGCAGGACUCUUAGCCUCAAUGACUAGGAACCUAACCUUGACAAUUUCAUUUUCAACAAUCAAAGGUAAAAAAAAAGACAGAGCAAGAAACAGGGAAGGGGGAUAGUUAGCUGGAGAUAUACAUAUACUGAUAGUCUGACACUUAACCGUACAGUUUGAGAUGAAAUUGAACUUUAGGUAUUUAACUGUGAAUUUUUAUUCUAUUAGAAAAGAAAUGGUAUUGUUCAAGGACAACAGCAUAUUCUGGCCAACAAAUAUACUAGAAGAAAAGUUAUGCUGCAAGAAAAGGAAAAUAUAAAUGAGGCAAAAAUUGCAUAUUCCAUUUGGAUAGAGGGUAACAAGAACAGGGUAAGCAGGAUUUAGCAGCCAAACAUACAGUCAAGAGAGAAUAACACUAAGAUAGAGAGACUCAAAUAGCAACCACAACACUGUGUUAAGAGUCAUAAUUUUUCAAUUUCAACUCUUUCCAUAGCCGAUAUUUAAAGUAACUGGCUGCAGUAACAUGAAUAUUCCAUUUGGAUAGAAGGUACCAAGAACAGGGUAAGCAGGAUUUAGCAGCCAAGCAUACAGUCAAGAGAGAAUAGCACUAAGAAAUUAUAAAGAGAUUCAAAUAGCAACCACAACACUGUGUUAAGAAUCACUAUUUAUCAGUUUCAACUAGUUUCCAUAGCCGAUAUUUAUAGCAACUAGCUGCAGUAACAUUCAUUAGGUUUGCAACAACAAUAAACAUAAUGCCAGUGAAAACGCAUAGCCGCUACUUAAAUCCCUUAAAAUGUUUAAGGAGGGAAAAAAGAGAAAACAAGAAUAGUAACCUUCUUGUGAGGAGGAAACUGGUUGACCUUCAAGUACAUAGCAGCAGCAAAAGAAGACGAAAAUAUCUCAUCCUACAAAUACAAUAGAACAAUCAGGAAAAAAAAAAAGAGUUGUUUCUUUUCUUUUCUUUGUAAAAUUAGUAACAUUUGAAGAACCUGAUUGACAGAAAGUCCAAGAGACUGAAACUUGUUAGCAUAUUGGAUUCUGGACUUGGUAGAGUUGUUGGUCACGAAUACCAGUUUCUUCCCCUAUUAAUCAGAUAAUAAUAUUAUCGAUCAUUUCACAAGGAUGAACCAUAGAUUCAAUAAUCAAAUGGAAAGCAAAGAAAGAGUGAGAGAGAGACCUUGGAUCGAAGCAUAUCUAACGUCUGUGGGACUCCAUCGAUCAGCUUGUCGCCUUUCCAAAUAACACCUGCAAUCGCAUCGUUACCUUUUAUUCACUGCAAAAUCCAAUGAAAGACAAUGGGAGUAGAAAAGUGCGUGGAAAUGGAACCAUCGCAAUCGAAUAGAAAUGCGUCGACGGAAUCCAACAGUGCUCUCGCGUUCGCACAGCAUAGAAGCUCGGCGGCGGAAGCAGCAGCGACGCCGCUCAUUGAACUCGGAUUCGGAUUAGUAGCCUCCAUUGAUUGAUCCUUGUUCCAUCAACGCAUCAACAACUAAUGUUACAACCCUUUUGAAAUCCUACCUACCCAUAAAGAAAAAAGAGUAGGUCCUAUAAAGAUAAGAAAAAUGUACAGGAAUGGUAAAAUAUUCCUAGAGAAGAAGGUUACGCAACUAAGAACACUACUUUUAGCUAAUGCUAUAGAAGAACACUACUUUUAGCUAAUGCUAUAGUUUCAUCAGCACAAUAGUGAGUGCCUAAAGGUCAGCUAUCUACCUCGAAAGAUCAGUGUUUACAGAUUGGUCAAUUUAUUAAUAGAAAGUUUUUUAAAGGGUAAACUACACUUAAAGUCACUAAACUAUUAAUAAGUUUACAUUUUGGUCACUCAACUUCAAAAAAAUACAAAAUGGUCACUGAAUUAUUCAAAAAUUUUCAUUUAAGUCACUGAACUAUUCAAAAGUUUUUAUUUAAGUUACUAGGCUGUUAAGUUUUUUGAUAAACUACACCAUUAUAGGUAAGUUUUCGUUUUGAUCACUUAAUUAAAAAAGUUACAAUUUGAUCACUACUUUUUUUAAAUUAUUUUUUGAUCACUUGGUUGUUAAGUGACAUUUUUUAGUUGGUAUAAUAACAAUUUGGAUCCUCAACUAUUAUAUUUUCUUGGUAAUUUGAUUCAGGUUCUAUAUAUAAAUUAUAAAAAAAACUCAAAAUUAUUUAUUUAAAAAAUAGUAUAUAAAAAUUCUAAAAAUCUCGAUAAUGUUGUUAUUGAGAAACUAAGAUGUAUGAGAAAUAGAGAAAAUUAUCAUUUAAUAGAAUGUAAUAACAAUUUAAAAAUAUAAUAACAUCAAAAAAAAGUUAGAUCAUUACAUGCUUCCUCAGUAUUUCUCGAAACUAGCUUAGUAAUAUCUUCAAAUCGAGUUCAUACCCUUAAAAGUGCCCUAGAUUAAUACUAUAGAAACUUGUGAACUUGACUAUGAUACUAAUUUUUUUAAAAUAAAAAAUAUAUAAUAAAUAGCUGGAUAAAGGUAUCAAUUAAUUAUUAUAUUACAUAAUCAAUUAAUACUAAUUUACUUGGAUUAUAUAUGCUAAACUUGGGUCCGGUUCGGCUCAUAUUAAGUUUUUAUUAUAUUUUUAUAUAUAAAAAAAUUGAAAAAUAGAAUAUAUCAGAAACACUAAAAAUAUUAAAAUAAAUGUUUUCCAAACAAUUGAAAAUAAAUUUAAAAAAAAAUUAUACUUAAAUAACACUAAGAUAAAUACAACUUAACAAGUAAAUUCCUCUAAAAUAGUAGUAAAAUUAACAAUAAUACAAGAGUUAUAUAAUAUCCAAAUAAUAACAAUAAAAUAAUAAGCAAAACUGUGAGAAAAUAGCAGCAAAAAAAACAACAAUUUCUUUUUUGCAAAUUUGAGUUGGGCCGAGCUCGAGACAAAAAAUUUUAUCAAGACCCGAUUAUUUUCUAAACGAACCCUUUUUUUUUACACAAACUAAUUUUUCAAGCGUAUAUUUUUACCAAAAUCUUCCUACUUUUUGUGCGAGCCUUAAAAACGAGCCAUUCGGGACACAUGAACAAAUCUACAAUGUUACAGCACUUGUAAAUUUCUUGAAACCAUCUCAAUUUAAAUUCUAUAACUGACAAGUCUGAAUUAAGAAUGGUAGUCCAACUUACUUUAAAAUUUUGGCAUUUCUUCGCUUCAAAUGUUAAAAUUUUAUGUAGAUUAAAGGAGUAAACCGGGGGCAAGGGUGGUCUUGCUCUCCCUAAACCUUGUAAUCUUUUUAAAUUUUUAAAAGUUAUAAAUAAAUUUAAUGAUAAAUUUGUAUCUUAACCUUCAAAAAUAAUAUUUAUGAUUUAUUACUUUCCGUAAAAUAAUUUUCUGAAUUUGCCCUGAAAUCACUUGAUGAUUUUGCAUUUUACCCAUUAUAAUGUUAUACCUAUCUUUUUAAUAUAUAUACUAAAUAAAUAUUUAAAAAAUAGAUUCGAAUCCUAAAAUCGAAAAUUGAUUAUUAAAAAAAGUGAAGUGAAAUGAAAUAAGAUUGAUGAAAUUAAAUGGGUUGUGUUGGAUUGUAAUUCCUAAUCCAAAUGUUAAUAAGUUAAGGGUUCUCAUUUUUGCCAAAAUUGAUAUUUUUAUCUAAAAAUUAAACCAAUGUUGGAAUUUGAAGGAAGAAAUACUUAUGAGGAGUAAUUUAUGGAGUAAAAAAGUCAAACCUUAAACGCACAAAGGGCAAAGCAAUAGCAAAUUGCAAUUUGUAACAGGUUCAAAAGUCUCCCUCCUUUCUUAAUUCUUUGUUAAACAAAAUAAAAUUAAUUAAUUAAUUAAUUAAUGAAGUAAAAGUUUCCUUCUUUUUUGGAUUUGCUUUCGUAGAUGAUCUCAUCUUUUUCCUGUUUUUGACGUAUUUUGUUUGAAUCUUUGUAGAAUAUAUAAAUUUCCCAGAUUUAAUCCAUUUUGUAGAUUCUUUAUCAAUAUAAUUUAUUCUGUUUGCGUGCGUCCAUUAUUUAUUUAUCGUUAUUGAAUCUGUGUUUUGUCUUCUUCUCCUUCUUCAUCAACCAAUGUAGCUUUCUGGAUUUGUUAUUUCUUAUAUGAUUAAUUAAGGGGAUGCUACUGGGCAUUGCCUUGAUUCUUCAUAAAUAAUUAAAUAAAAAAUUGAACAGUUUUGAGUUAGAUUUGAAUAUUAAUGCUUUGGGGAUUUAUCCCUCUGUUUCUUUCCUUCUCCCAGAUAUGGAAGAAGGGGAAUUGACAAUGAUUAGAAGGAAAUAAUAAAAUGGCGGCAUUGUUCAUUCUUGGGUAUUCUUGCUUGUAUCAAUGACGGAAACAGUGUUGAUCAGAAUUGGAUUGGGGGAGUAAUAGCAAAUUUGGAUCAUCUUUCGAUUGAUCCCUGAAAUAAAACCUAUAAUAAAAGAAAAAUGAAGCUUGUGGUGGGCGUAAUUGAAGCAAGAAACAUACCGGCAAUGCAUUUAAACGGCUUCAGUGAUCCAUACGUGAAGCUUCAGGUAGGAAAAAAGAGGUAUAGGACCAAAGUGGUGAAGAAGACAUUGAACCCCAGUUGGGGUGAGGAAUUCAUUUUCAAAGUAGAGGAUUUUAAGGGGGAGCUUCAAAUCUCUGUGUUGGAUGAGGAUAAGUUCUUCAAUGAUGAUUUUGUGGGGCAUGUUAAACUUCCAAUUUCCCAGGUUUUUGAUGCGCCCCAGAAAUCUCUCGGCACUGUUUGGUAUCCCCUCCACCCCAAGAACAAUAGGUCCAAGAACAAGGAUUUGGGUAUGUUUUUUCUUUUUCCUAUCUUCAUUUUUCAGCAUUUACAGAACUUUAGUUGCCUCUGUGCUAGAAUUUUUAUGUUUAUUAAGGGUCUCAAUGUCCCUUUUCGAGUCUCAAAAAGAGGUUAAUUAAGUAGUUGGUGUGGGCUAAUGCUUUACUGAUUACCAAGAAUUAUUGUUCUCUUUCAACCUUGGGUACAGGUGAAGUGCUUUUAAAUAUCUAUUUUCAACAAAAGAGUUCUUCCAUGGACAUGAGUUGUAAUGGUGAUAAUGCAUCAUCAUCAUCAAACUGCCCUUCUCCUUUGAGACUAGAAGAUAGCGUGUCUUCCAAGGAAGAGAAAGAUAAAUCAUUCAAGGAAGAGAAAGAGAAAUCAUUAUCACAAAAAUCCCUAGCAGGUCGUAUUGCUCAAAUCUUUAACAAAAAUUCUGACAUUGCUGUGGCUAGCUCUACUGCUGGCAUUGAUUUGACUGAGAUGCCUGAAAAUUCAAGAGCUGAUGUUGCUGAUGAGAAGCCUGAUGAUCAAUUAUCCUCUGUGUCAUUUGAGGAAGCAAUGAAAACAAUGGAAUCUAAAGAUCAGGGAAGUGAAAUUCCAAGCAAUUUACCUGGAGGAGUUCUUGUGGAUCAACCAUAUGUGGUUUCGCCUGCGGAGCUAAACUCUCUACUUUUUUCAUCUGAUUCAAGUUUUCCUAAGUCAUUAGCUGAGAUGCAAGGAUCAAAGGAUCCACAGCUAGGGCCUUGGAAAUUUGAAGAUGGUGAUUCCAGCUUGAAAAGAGUUUAUACUUACAUCAAGGCACCAACCAAAAUGAUUAAGGCUACGAAAGUCACCGAGGAGCAAAUGUAUAUAAGAGCUGAUGCAAAGAGUUUUGCCAUUCUAGUAGUUGUGAGCACUCCCGAUGUUCCAUAUGGGAGCACCUUCAAAACUGAAUUGCUGUACUGCAUUACUCCUGGGCCUGAGCUUCCAUCUGGAGAACAAUCUGCACAUUUGGUUAUUUCAUGGCGAAUGAACUUCUUACAAAGCACGAUGAUGAAAGGUAUGAUAGAGAAUGGAGCUCGACAAGGUCUAAAGGAAGGGUUUGAGCAGUUCACUACUUUACUAACUCAGUCUGUUAAACCAGUUGAUUCAAAGGAUAUUGGUUUAAACAAAGAACAGAUUUUGGGAUCAUUGCAAGCUGAACCCAAGUCAGAUUGGAAGUUGGCGUUCCAGUACUUUGCUAAUUUUACUGUAGUUUCCACAGUUUUUAUGGCCUUGUAUGUAAUAGUUCAUAUCUGGCUAGCUGCUCCUAGUACAAUUCAAGGACUAGAGUUUGUUGGGCUUGACUUGCCUGAUUCAAUUGGCGAAUUCAUUGUGUGUGGUGUUCUGGUUCUUCAAGGUGAAAGGCUGCUGCAGAUAAUCUCACGCUUCAUGCAGGCCAGAGCUCAAAAGGGUAAAUAUUCACAUCUAAUUAGAACUCUGCUCUACAAGCAAGAAGAGUGGACGAUUUCCAUGUUUCAUUUCCUGUUUUUCUGUCUUUAAUUUCCUUUUGCUUUUGUCUCUACAACAAUAGGAAGUGAUCAUGGAGUGAAAGCACAAGGGAAUGGAUGGUUACUAACAGUUGCCUUGAUUGAGGGAAGUAAUUUAGCAACUGUAGAUUCAAGUGGGUACUGUGAUCCAUAUGUGGUGUUCACUUGCAAUGGGAAAUCUAGAACCAGCUCAAUCAAGUUCCAGAAAUCUAGUCCCCAGUGGAAUGGUGAAAACUAGAUUGCCCUUUGUCUAUGUUUGAAUUCAGUUUGCUUGUUUGCACUAGCAUCCUAUAUAAUAAUGAUUCGUUUAGUUUCUUUAGAUCAAAACCUUUCAAAUUUUGUCCAAGAAUUAUUUAAAUCUUACUUCAAUCAAUUGCUUAAAUGAGCUCUUAUCUUUGCAGAAAUAUUUGAAUUUGAUGCAAUGGAAGAGCCUCCUUCCGUACUGGAUAUAGAAGUAUUUGAUUUUGAUGGACUUUUUGAUGAAGCUACAUCCUUGGGACAAGCUGAGAUUAACUUUUUAAAAUCUAAUAUAUCAGAUCUAGCUGAUGUGUGGAUUCCUCUGCAAGGUAAGCAGGCUCAAGCAUGUCAAUCUAAACUGCACUUGAGAAUUUUCUUGGACAAUACAAGAGGUGGACAUGUAGUUAAAGAAUACUUAAGUAAGAUGGAGAAAGAAGUGGGGAAGAAGGUAAAUAGAUGGCUAUUCUUCUAUUUAGUUUCACAUGGCCAUGAAUGAAAUGUUAUUGUCCAUUCUUGUUAUCCACUUACAAGCAAAUGAUAUAUAUUUGCAGAUAAAUCUUAGGUCUCCUCAAACGAAUUCAGCCUUUCAGAAACUCUUUGGCCUUCCACCUGAGGAAUUUCUUAUCAAUGACUUUACCUGUCACCUGAAACGGAAAAUGCCUCUUCAGGUUCUGUUUGUUGGGCUAUGUAAUCUUUUGUAAAGCUCCCUUAUUUUGUGGUGUUUGCUCUGAGUAAUUAAUGUAUUGCAUUUGUCCCUUUUUGUUAAUCUGCAGUUGCAUCUAUGCAGGGCCGCCUGUUUUUGUCAGCUAGAAUACUUGGGUUUCAUGCCAAUAUAUUUGGGCACAAGACAAAAUUCUACUUCCUUUGGGAAGACAUUGAGGACAUUCAAGUUUCUCCUCCUACUUUGGCAUCAAUGGGCAGUCCAAUUAUUGUGAUAACUCUCCGUCUAGGAAGAGGACUGGAUGCUAGACAUGGUGCAAGGACACAAGAUCGUGAAGGCAGGCUGAAGUUCAAUUUCCAGUCAUUUGUAUCUUUCAGUGUAGCUCAUAGGUACUUAUAUUAACUGUGGUUCGUAGGCAAUCAAAUGUGAAACUAGUUCCAAACGGGGAUUUAAACUGCAGUUGCAAUGUAUAUUCGGCCAUGAUGUGUUUAUUGUGAUUGCAGAUGUAUCAUAUGCUAUUAAGUUAACUGCGGUGAAUACUGGUAAUAAAUAUAGGCGGUGGAGAGCAUGAAACCGCUAAACGACUGUAACAUUGAUGUGCAGCCUAUUUAAAUCCCCAGUCCCAUGUAUUAAAGAUCUACGAUGAGAAAAAAAAGGGUUGUGAAACCCUUGUUGUCAUUUCUUUGACUUGCAAAUUUUUUGUUCACUAGGACAAUCAUGGCACUGUGGAAAGCCAGGUCCUUGAGUCCAGAGCAGAAAGUGCAAAUAGUUGAAGAAGAGUCCAAAACCAAAUGCCUCCAAACCGAAGAGAGUGGAUCCUUCUUAGGCCUGGAGGAUGUUAGCAUGUCUGAGAUUUAUUCAACUACUCUCUCUGUUCCUGUAAGUUCCCCUUUCUCUCCCUCUAUAGAACUAGUUUUGCUGCAGUAUGCAUCCCGCUAAGAACCUUCUUUUUAUACCCAUCUUGUGUCUGAGGUACUUCAAGUUUUCCCGUUAUAGCUUUAUCUUUAGGAUGCUUCACAUCUAAAUGUAGUACAUUUAUGGAUGUGUUGCAUCUGAUGAUGGUAAAUUACUUUGUUGGUGAUUCAGAUUAGUUCCUUCAUAGAGAUAUUCGGUGGCGGUGAAAUGGAUCGUAAAGCUAUGGAGAGAGCUGGCUGUCUUAAUUAUUCUUGCAGUCCGUGGGAUUCAGAAAGUGCUGAUGUAUAUGAGCGGCAAAUAUAUUUCAGAUUCGAUAAGCGUGUGUCCCGUUUUAGAGGAGAAGUGACUAGUACUCAACAGAAAUCCCCACUUCCCGAUAAAAAGGGUUGGCUUAUCGAAGAAGUAAUGACUCUCCAUGGAGUUCCACUUGGGGACUAUUUUAACGUAUGAAUGCAAUCGAAACCAAGGAUUUUCUUUGCAUUAUCGGUUACUUUGAGUAUUAAACUUUUCAAUUUUUUGCAGCUUCACCUAAGAUACCAAAUCGAGGAUUUAAAAGCAAAGGGAUGUUCGGUACGAGUGCUUACUGGAAUUGCAUGGUUGAAAAGCACGAAGCAUAGGAAAAGGAUUGCCAAAAACAUCCUCUCAAACCUAGAAGAUCGCUUAAAGGAAUUUUUUAGAUUGUAGUAUAGACAGGAUUCGCAGAUGAAUGUCGAUAUCUCCUUACUGUAGUUUACAUGUUGAUUUUCUUUAGUGCUUGUUAAGUUUGCAUGUUUGAGAUCUAUCCAGAGUUGCAUAGUAGCCGCAAUCAGGAUGAGUAUCUCGAUCAAGUCAACCCCAAAUUUUUCUCAAAAGCGAAUGUGACAACCGGUGGCAGGCAGGUUCCUUGGCUUUGGAACCUAGCAGUGAAUGUAACCCUUCAUUGAAGCAGACCUACCAAAGGUUUAGUUUAUGAAAAUAGAGGUCUGUUGAGGCUCUUUUUUUUCCUUUCCCAUUUCUGGAUGAACAUAUUCAUUGUUGCUCUUUUUAGGAACACUUCGAACUGUAUUUUCUGUUGUACUUUGGAUGGAAUUGUGAAGAGCAACUGUUGUUUCUUUGACAAAACUGCUCUGUAAUCAUACUUUAAAUGCAAAAAAGAACAUACAUAUUUAAUAAAACUUGUGCUGCUGCUGACAUGCUGAUAUUUAGAGGAUCUUAAGAGGAGCAUACAUCCAUGUAUGUAUUUCUAUAGUGCAAUGGAGCUCUAGUAUAUUUUUGUUCUAACAUAAACUAAGGAUUUGAUAUUUACAUAUUUUAUCGAUUUAAUUUUUAUUUUUAUUAUAGUUAAAUUUAAUUCUUAAUCUUUUAAAAAAGAUAAAUUAUUAUUUUAAUGAAAAUAUUAAUUAAAAUGUUAACAUUUUAACUCGGUAAUAAAAUAUGGUUAAAAUUAGCUAAAAAAUAGAGUAAGAAUAAAAUUGAUAAAAGAUAUAUAUGUUGAGGUCUAAAUUAUCUUUGUUAAUAGAAUAAAGAUAGAUAAUAAAUAAAUUCAAAAAUCUCCAUCCCUUCAACAUCCUUCACAGCAGGAAAAGUAAAAAUGCAAGCUUGCAGAUUCCAACUCCAUUAUCCUCAACCUCUGCUUAAACAUCCGACCACCACCCCACCCAUACCCAAAGACGGCGGUCUUCUUUUCCGCCAAAAGCUCCUGUACCUCCAAUCCUUAAACAUCAAUCCCCACAAAGCUGUCAACUUAAACCCUUCCCUCCGUUCCACCCCACUUUCAUCUCUCAUUUCCCUCGAACGCUCCCUCUCUUCCGUCGGCCUCUCUCGCCCUUCCAUCGGCCGUAUUCUCGACAUGUGCCCCCUCCUCCUUACCUCCGACCCUCUCCCUCCCAUUAACUUCCUCCUCCACGAAGUCUCCCUCCCUUUCCCUCAUCUCCCUCUCUCCCUCACCCGUUGCCCUCGCCUCUUAGUCUCCUCCGUCCCCACCCAACUCCGCCCAACUCUUCUUUUCCUCACUUCCCUCGGCCUCGUCCUGAAUUCCCAUACUACCCUUCUCUUAGUUUCCAACGUGGAAAACACGUUGAAACCCAAAAUUAACUUCCUUCAAUCUCUGGGUUUUGACGAGCCGGAGGUGAACCGCAUGGUGGUGAGAUCACCCGGGCUGUUUACUUUGAGUGUGGAGAACAAUAUGAGGCCUAAAGCUGAGUUUUUUUUGGAGGAAAUGGAAGGUGACUUGGAGGAAUUGAAAAGAUUUCCUCAGUAUUUUUCGUUUAGUUUAGAGAAAAAAAUUAAGCCGAGGCAUAGAGCUUUAGUGGAAUAUGGGUUCAAAUUGCCAUUGUCAAAGAUGUUAAAGAUCAGCGAUGGAGAAUUUACUGCUAGAUUGAUUGAGAUGCGAUUGCAAAGAGUUCAUAAGAGAUAGCUUUUUCUCUUUUUUUUUUGGUUCAAUUUUGAGCCAUUGUUGAUAUUUACUAGGUUUCCCAUUGAAGAAUAUGUAUCUGUAACAUAGUGAGUUUAAUUUUAAGCAGCCAUGUGCAAUUUAAAGAUAUUUCAAUCAUUUGCUGAUAUGUGAUCUUUUUACUUCGUUUAUGGUACACUGUCUAUCACUCGUCUCGUAGAGAUUGCUCAGCCUAAUAUGUCCUAGGUCCCUUGGAAUGAGAUUGAAAUGGCGGUUUACUCUGGUUCCAAAGGAAUGCUGUUGCCAUUUAGGAGACUUAAGCUUUUUAUUUGUUUCAAUGGAGUGCCAAUAAAUACAAUGGUUUUGAGUCUCAGAAUUCUACUUUGAUCAUUUCCUUAUCUGCUCUGUCUUUAAAUUCCACUGUUACUUGAUCUUUGUUUAAUGAUCGUUGAAGCUAGCUAUUAACACUCAUAAAAAGUGUGAGCUUAGAGAUAAGUAUGGCUAAUUGUUUGGUUUCUGCUUCUUCAUUUUAUCAUUGCUUGGAAUUUUGGUUCAUACCAUUGCACUUCUUUCAAUAGCAUUGAAUCUGUUUGUGGUAAGGUGGCUUGUGCUUUAAUUUAUCAACUUGAGGAAUUUAGCCCGCUGGAAAUGCUCCGCUAUGAUGAUUCUUAGACUUGAGGGAUUACAAGGAAGCAAGUUUGUGAAUAGGGAUUGAAACUGCUGCUAGUUAUUUUCUGAAGUCUACAAGAUCAUGCUUGAUACGGUAAUAACAAAUCAGGACUUGCCUGUGCUUGUUACCCUCCAAUGGAAGAUCAAUGAAUGUUUGCUAUUAUGUAAAUUUAAAAAUUUUUAAAAUAUAAAAAGUUCAUGAAAUUUUCUAAAAAAAUUAGCAUGAAAUACAUGUAAAAUUGUAAAUUAUCAUACAAACACUAUGUUCAAAUAUCUAAAAUUUUAGUCAGUAUUUUUAUUAAAAAAAUAUGAUUCAAAUCGAUAAAAAUGUAAAUGAUAAGAUUAUGCCUUAAUAAUUAACUCAAUAGUUUGUAAAUGAGGCCAAGGUUGGCAAAUUGGGGGAUGCAAAAUGGGCUGAGCCCAACAUCAUUACUGUGGCAAAAGACAUAUUAUUGUAGUGGCAUCUCUUAACACAUUAACACCAAGUAGUGCAAAUAAUACCAAGUUUUUGGGUCAUUCAGUUCCAGUGUUGGUGACCCAAAGCUUGAUAGAAAGAAAGACGGUGAAUGGCAUAGCAUAAUCUGCACAGAGGGAUCGAAAGACGGAAAGAGUGUGAAGCUUCUUGUUGUUGUUUGCGGUUGAUUAGGCCUUUUGGUUUGGGGUUUCAUGAUGGAUGGUGACAGAUACAGUGUUGAAUUGAUUGCGAUGGAAUGUUUUUUUGUUCCCUGCCUGCCUUCACUCCCUCAGCGUUUCCUGCCUUAUGGCUUAUGAACCCUAAUUACUAACCAAGGUCAGUCAAUUAGUCUCUACUAUUGUUUAACUUUAGUAGAUUAUUGAAUCAAUUCUUGUGCAACACUUUCUGGGCAUGUGAAUCUCAUAUGUUAUUGGUUUUUUUUGGUUUCCUAUCGAUUUUCUGGAAAGACCUAAUUUUACAAACCUUAAAUUCUGUAUUAAUCUCUGUAAUUUAAAGUUUUAGAUUUAAUAGUCUUUUUUAAAAUUUAAAAUUUCAUAAAUUAAGUUUUGCUAUUUUCAAAAUAUGCGGCGGUGAACAUAUUAUCCUAUCUCUAAUAUCGUGUUAGCUUGUUAUUUCCAUGUAUUAAAAAUCCAGUUAAUGGGUUAACUAUGGCAUUUACGACAAGAUUGAAAUUUCAAAAUUCAAAACAAUAGGGACUUGCAAUAAUUCAAUUGGAGAAUAUGGACUAAAUCUACAAUCAUACAUAUAGUACAUUGAAUCUAAUAUGAUUGGUUUUAUGGUUUCCUAUCAAUUUUACAAAAUUUUUGUUUGUUCCGAUGUGUUCUUUUGGUGCUAUUACAUUAUUCAAAUGUUUAUAUUGGUUUUUUUUUCUUUUGUUGUUGUUCAAGGGUUGCUGUUGCGGUCUACGCCUGAGCUGGAGGAUUACUUGCUAAAAUUGUUGGCUGCUGAGUGGUGACAUAAUAAUAUUAGCAGCUAAUUGUUAAAUAUUCAUGCUUUGAUUUUACUUUGUUGAGUAAUAUCAUAUUAAUAAAGAAAGAAAAAAGGAAAAUGUAUGGGAGAGGUGGUCUUGAUAGAUUCAAAAAAGCUCAAUCCUUGGAACCCUUCUCGGUAUCCCUGAAUUCUUCUUCCCCCAAAACCGCACCCAAAGCUGGUCAAGUUGAGCAACAUUCACAUAUUCAAAAUGCAAUUGCUCAGCCUCAGCAAGAGGAGGAUGUUCAAUCCAAGCCAGCCACUCAGGUUGGGGCCAGUCAAUCCACUUGGCAACCUCCUGAUUGGGCUAUUGAGCCUCGCCCUGGUGUCUACUAUCUUCAAGUUGUCAAGGAAGGACAAGUGCUCGAAACCAUUAAUAUCGAUAAACGCAGACUCAUCUUUGGCAGGCAAUAUCAUACUUGUGAUUUCGUGCUUAAUCAUCUCUCCGUUUCACGUCAGCAUGCUGCUAUUGUUCCUCACAAGAAUGGCAGGUCAUUUCUAUUCCUAUUGCUUUAUUUAUUUAUGGUAAUAGAAGAUUUAAAACUAAAGUUGGUUCUGCUCAAGUUAUUUCUCUUGGAUUUGUAGUAAUUGGUAGACAACAUAGUCUAUUCCUCAUUACAUGAAAUAUUUAUCUUCACUCUUGCAUUUAUAUAUGUACGUAUAUAGUAUUUAUGUCUGAAGCUGGUAAAAAUACCAUGGAGGUCUCUAUACUAGGAGUCAGAUUGUAUUUUGCUCCUUUUACUUAAAAGAUGGGUAAAUUAGUCCCUAUAUGUUAGAUCAAAGAGUAAACAAGUUCUUUUUAUUAAAUUUUUUAUCCAUUUCUACUAUUGAAGAUUGGCGUGGUUAAUGCAAUAACCAGACAACCGCAUGAACAUCAUGCUCAUGUACAGGGACCAGUUUUUAAUAGUAAAAAUGGUUAAAAUUUUUGACAGGACCAAUUUGCUCUUAUUAUACGGAUUAAUUGGCCAAUAGAGGGGGCAAAAUACAACCCGAUUCCUAAUACAAGGGCCUCCAUGGUAUUUUUACCAUCUAAAGCUCCCAACUUAUUUUAGAACCUCUUGUAAUAAUGUGUUAUUCACCAGCUCUUAUAAUCUCAACAGCAUAUAUGUCAUUGAUUUGGGAUCAGCGCAUGGAACCUUUGUUGCAAACGAGCGUCUGACAAAAGAUACACCUGUUGAGCUUGAAGUAGGUCAAUCUUUACGUUUUGCUGCAUCAACGAGAACUUAUAUCUUAAGGAAGAACAAUGCAGCUCUAUUUCCUCGUCCUCCACCCCCCACCGAGAUAAAUCUACCCCCACGGCCUGAUCCUUCUGAUGAAGAAGCUGUCGUAGCUUACAAUACACUUAUAAAUCGUUACGGUCUGAGCAAAUCUGACUUGCUGCCCAAAUCCAUCUCAUUAGCUGAAAGUGAAGACAGCACACUGCCAGAGAGAGCCACUAAAAGAAUGAGGAAACUAAAAGUUACCUUCAGGGAUCAGGCUGGGGGAGAGCUGGUCGAAGUUGUUGGAAUUUCAGAUGGUGCAGAUGUAGAAACCGAAACGGGACCCAUAGGUGUAAAAGAAGGAAGUCUUGUUGGAAAAUACGGAUCUCUUGUACAAACAACAGUAAUUCCUAAAGGUAAGGAUGUAUCGUCUGUAAAAGAAGAUGGUGUUUCUCAGAAAGGUGUGACUGAUAAACUGCAAGAAUUGUUGAAUAAGGUAAAAAAUACACCAAAAGGUGGGAUUUAUGACGAUCUUUACGGAGAAUCUUUAUCCGAAAAAGUGGGUUCUUCUUCGUGGGCAUACACUUGUGAUAGUGCUCCUACAGGAGAUGAUGUUGUUGGUGGUGCCUCAAGUGGUAAACCUGGAACUAAGUCUGCCUCAUAUGAUGAUAGUGAAGAUGAUUUAUUUGGUGAUUGAUUGAUAUGCUCUUUGGCAACAAUUUUCCCACAUUGGAUUUUUGAUUAAAUGACACAAAAGUAAGUUCUUUCUGGCCUUAGUAGCAAAAGCUUGUUAUUAACUCUUUUUAAGAUGGAGAAAUUUUCGUUGUAAUUUAUUACUAAACUUCCUUUGUACAAUGGAUUGUCAACCUCUGAUUGGGGAUUUUAAAGUCCACGUUAGAGUAUGUUUUCAUUGCUUUUUAUUCUACUCUUACUCUUGGCAUGAACUAGAAAGUGGCCAUGGUUAACGAUAAAAAAUUACUAAGAGGUGGAUGUAGGAGUAAAAUCGUACAUUAAAUAAAGAGUAAAUUGAGUUUUCUGUUAUAAAUUCUAUGAUAAAAGUAUUAGAAGUUAGAUUGUAUUUUGUCUCAUUUAUUCAAAAAAAUUGAUAAAUUAAUCUUUGUACAUUAAAUUAAAAAGUGAAUUAGACUUUUCGGUUAAAAUUUUCAUUCAUUUAUGUUGUUAAAAAUUGGAAUCAAACAAUGACACAAUAACGUGUUAUGUGCACUUUAUGCUAAUUAAUCUUUAGCAAAAGAAAUGGAUAAAUUUUUUAAUAAAAUAAUUAAUUUAUUUUUUGAUUUAAUGUACAUAAAUUAAUUUAUCUAUUUUUUUAAUAGAGAGAGUACAACACAAUUUUACUCAUAUUAAAAGGGUUUAUAUGAUACUUUUAUCAAAUUUCAUUAAUUUAUUUUUUGAUUUAAUAUAUAUAUUUAUUUAUUUAUUUUAAGUAAAAAUACAAGAUAUAAUUGACGUUUUACUAUUUCAACCCAUCAUUAACACCAACAUAUCUGUUAUGGUUUUAUUGGGUCAUACAGACACUUAUCUCGAAGUGAAAUCAUUAUUCCUUGUAUUAGUGAUUUUGGGUGUGGAUGAGCAGUCAAAUGUGGGUUAUUAAGCUACGUGCCACAUGAGAUUUGAAGUAAAAGUGUGGUGAUGGUUUCUUUAGGUGAUUUACAUCACAACAUUAAAAGUCCCAACUUACAGAAUUUUCUUUAUUCCUUAGUGGACUUUUAACUUUAGUGUUGUUAGGUGCCGUACAAUUUAGGAGACUUAAAACAAACACCUUUUCCAUGGUUAAAACUUACGAUUGUAGCAGUAAAAGUACACAACUUCUGAUUGGGUCCAAAGCUCAGCCCAGUGGGGUUUCUUCUCCCAUAUCCACUCUACUUUUAACACAAACAAACAAAAAAAAAAUAGUUCACCGCCUAAAUCGUAAAAGUUUUUAUAUUAAAAGUCUGAUUGUAUUUUAUUUUAUUUAAUAAUAAAUAAAUAAAUUAGUGUCUGUAUAUUAGAUCAGAUAGUAAAUUGAUCUUUUAUAUUAAAUUUUUUUUUAUUUUUACCAUUAAAAACUAACAUGAUUAAUGAAAUAACUAGAAACGUGUUUGUACAUCAUGUUGAUUUAUAAGGAUCAGUCCUUAAAAGUAAAAAUUGAUAAAUUUUUUAACAGAAUGAUCAAUUUACUCUUUUAACUUAACAUACAGAGAUUGAUUAGAAUAUUUUUUUAAUAUGAAAAAAAAUAUAUUUAGUUAAUAUUGAUUGAUUUAAUUAUUAUUUGGUUAAACAGUCCACAAUUGAAUUAAGUUAAGCCAUCUACUUUAUCUUUCACACAAGGGACUGAAAAGAUGUGGAGGACCCUCCCCUUCGACAUCCACCUUAUGCCAACGGACGAGUGUGACCCCCACAACUAGAUUUUCUUUACUUACUCUUUUAUUUUAAUAUUAAUAAUAUAUUAAUAUUUAAAUUUGAUAAUUAAGUUUAUUUUGGUAUUUUUAUUUUUAUUUUUGUUAAUUUUAGUACGAUAAUUAGAUACAUUUUGGUCUUUAAAAUUAGAUUUUGUCAAGAUUUGACUAUUGCAACAUGAUUAGAUUGGUUAGUCGGACUAAUUGGAUUGAAAAUUAAUUGAUAUAUUAGUCUAAACAAAUGAGUUGAACUAAUUGAAACGAAAACGACUCGAAAUAGGUGAAAAUCGAAAAUUAAGACAAAAAUCAGUUAUUGAAUAGGUUGAACCAGUUUAGUAAUUUUUUUUAAUUUUAGUUAUUGUUAGUCUAGUAAUUAAAUAAGAACUUGUAAUCUGAUUGGUUUAAUUACUGAUUUAGUUAUUAAAUACUAGAUAUCACAUUUUAAGAUUAUAUAAAAUUUACAAAUUUCAUGUAGUAUAAUCUGAUAGUGCCACAUCAUCAAAAUUUUAAAAUAUUCAAUUUCUUAUACAGCCAAAAGCACAGGCAAAAGAGGACAUGAAUAGAGAACAAAAUGGUAGAGACGUAUGUAAAGGUCGUUGCCUUAAUAAAUACAAGUAGACUGAGAUGGGGAAAAUAUAUAAAACGUGAAGAAAAGAAAAGAAAAUGGGAAAUGAGGGACAAGGGUGAAAUAGAUUGAAAUGCCUUGUCUGAAUUUGGCCUGCGAAACAACCAACAGGCAAGGGGUCAGACGGCAUCCCAUCAACACUGAUUUUCGGAGGAGUGAUAUGAACGGUACAGGAUAUGACACGUGGUGACCAUGCAAAUCGUGUAAUGGCAAUGAUGGCCUAAGGGACAAGGGUCUAAAUGAGAUGGGAGAAUAUACCUACAUAGUGGGGGGUACCAUGAUGACUAAUGUACACAACCAUCUUUUUGCGUAAUUAGCCCCUUCUUUAAUUUUAAGUCUUCAACCCACUACUCGUCCCUUUGCUUUGGCCUUUUUUCUUUUUGGGUAAAUUUCAUUGAUAGUCAUCCGAGUUUCCUUUUUGGUCACUCAUCUAUGAAAAAUAACAAAAUAGUCACCCAACUAUUUAAUUGUAUUUUUUGGUCUUCAGUGAACUAAUGAUGGCAACUUUUAAAAUUGACAUAGUAAUAACUUUAACCUCAAUAUUUAUAUAUUUGUAUCAAUCUAGUCUUGAUUUUAAAAAUCUAACCCUCAAUAUUUACACAUUGUGUGAUUUAGUCUUUUUUAUAGUUUUACUUUUCUUUGUGAUCCUUUCAUCUAAAAAGCUAAAAUAAAUAAAUUUUUAACUAAAUAAUUAAUUGAAAAUAUAUAAAAAGUAGAAAUACCUAGAAAUCUAAGAUAAUAAUUUUUAUAUUUUCUCAUUCUUUUAAAAUUAACCCUCAAUGUCAUAAAGAAAAGAAAAACUACAAAAAAAGACCAAAUUAUACAAUGUGUAAAUGUUGAGGGUUAGUUUUUUUGUAGAAUCAAGUCUAAAUUGACAUAAUUUAUAAAUGUUAAGAAUUAAAGUUGCUAUUAUACCAAUUUUAAAAGUUGCCACUUUUCGAAAACUAAUGAACAAAAAAGACAAAUUUGAAUAGUUGGUGACCAAAAAAGAAAUUUACUAAUAGUUAGGUGAAGAUUUUGUAACUUUUCAUAGUUGAAUGACUAAAAAAGAAACAUACUGAUAGUUAGGUGAGCACAAGUGUAAUUUACCCUUUUAUUUUCCUAUAAUAUCAAAGCCUAUCCUCCCUGUUUUACGGUUUUGAUUCCUUAGUUUUUUUAAACAAACAAAGGGAGACCCUUCCCCUCCCCACAAAUAGAUGAUGGAUGUUAGAAGAUGAAAAAGAAGGGACUAUACCUUAAAUCCUACUUUCUUUUUUUCUUUUAGGAUUCGAUUCAAAGAAGGUAAUGAUGGCAAGCACACACACCAUUGAUGAUACAUUACAAUGUUGACUAAUCCCAACAAACCACUUUCUCUGUCUUAUUGGUAAGACAUUAGGGACACCCCCUCCCCACCAUUUUCCCUUUACUUGUGUCUAAUUGAAACCCCAUAAGCUAACCUAACCCUCUCUCUUUCUCUCUAUUUCUUUUAGCUCCCCAUUUACAAGUUAUUACAUGCAUGAAGCAAUUCAUAUAUCCUUUUCAUGCCUCAUCAUCAUCAUCAUCUUGUAUGCAACUGCAAUUGCAUGAUGUAAACUUGUUAGCUUUCUUACUUUACCAUACACACACACAAAACAGUCUCUCUCUCUCUCUCUAUAUAUAUAUAUAUAGAAAGUACAGGUUCUUUCUUGUUCUGCUGCACUCAAGGGUAAAAUAUUAGUAUCUAAUUGCAGCUUUUUGGCAUAUCAUUUUAAGUCGAUAACAGCUAGUUGCUGCUAUGUUUGGAAUAAGUUACUUUAAACUUCCACAAGCAUAUGAUUAAGGGUAUGUCUUUUAAGUUUUGAUUUUUCAUUUUUUUAUUUUUAGUGAUGAUAUACUCUUUCCUAGUGAUGAUAUACUGCAAAUUCUGUUAUUACAAUGCCUUCAAGGGGAUGAUUUGAUUGAUAGAAAUCUCAUUACUUGUUAUUAUUGGUUUCCCACUCCAACUAAAAGCACUCUCUCAAGUAUGUGCAUAUAUUAUGGAUUAUCACAUAUAUAGUUUUUGCUUUCCCACAAGAUUGAAAUUUAAAAAAUAAAAAUUACUUUGAAAAGUUAUAAAAGAAAGCUUUUUUUUUUAAGUCUUCCUAAAAUCAUUGUUAUAUGACCUCCUUCAUUUUCAUUAUUAGUGUUUGCACCAUUGAAAGCUUUUCUUUUAUUUCCUUUUCAAUCGAAAGUUUUCUUUUCAUAAAACAGCUUUAAAUGUUUCAAAGCUAUAUUGAUCUCUAACAUUAGAUCAACUUAAACUUAAGAUAUUUUUUUCUAUUUUUUGAUGGAUAUUGUCAUUGUCUAGAGUUGAACUAGCCAAACUUAGAAAAAAAGAAACUUAAUGGCUCAAUAACUUAAAUAAAAAUUUUCUAAUAGUUAAAUGAUCAUUUUAUAAUCUUUUAAAAUUGAGUGAUUCAAAAUGUAAAUUCACUAAUUGGUUAAUUACUUUUAUGUGUAAUUUACCAAAAAAAAAAAGGGGAAAAAAGAAGAAUAAAAAAACGAUACAAAACUUUUUCAAAUUUCUGGGCAGAUCUCUUUAUAACUUUUGAAAAGACUGCAGAUAUAUAAGUUGAAAAGCUUUGGAAGCCAUUUGAGCAACGCCUGCCAUGAACAAGCAUGUAAUGGAAUCUUCAUGUUCAUAAGGUAAGCUUUUCUUAUUUUGCUUUUAAAAACAGUUGUGGGUCAUUUUCGUAUUAGUCUAGACUGCCAUACUUGAAGCUCUUAGGUUUAAAUAAUAGUUGAAUAUGGAUAUCGAAAUAUUAAAAAAAUUUAAAAGGUGAUCAUGUUGGAUGAAGUGUCGGUCAACCAAGUUGUAGGAUAUUCAUUUUGGGUUGGCAAUUGUGUCUGAAUGCACUCAAUGACAACCACGAAAGCAAAAACCUCAGCCACUUAUUUUUUAUUGUAUCCUUUUCAAAGUAUAAAAGAGAGCAUAAAAAUAUUAUUAGUCACAACCCAUUUUCCUCUGUAUUAAAUGACUGUAUCCAAAUGUUAACUCAUGCCAUGCUAUUUAUAAUUUCAAAGAUUAAUUAAUAUCCAUCAUUUCAUCCGAACAACAAUAUCAAAACUCUAAAAAAAGAAAAUUAACUCAUAAUUACUGUCGACCAGAUAUUAUUUCCAUGGAAAAAAAAACACCAUUAGUAUAACUGCAUGCGCUAGAGCAGUGAUAUAUGUUCUUCGACUAUCCACCAAAAUUAAUGUAAGUGAGCGACCUUGCUAUAAUUCUGUAUAUGCUGUUAUACAAUAAUUUGAGCUCUUUUUGCACUGUUCUUAAGCUUCAUGCUCUGGACUUUGUGUCAAUUAUGAGUUUAUUAAAUCAAAGUAUUCUAAAUAAUAUAUAUAGGCUUUUCGUUUUCCUAGUAUGGUAUAUGGAAAUUGCUUUAUCUUAUCAAAUAUAUAUAUAGAAUAGCAGUAGAUACAUAUAAGGCCAAGUUUCAUUCAUUAAGUGGGAACCAGGUUCUGGGGGUUUUCAGUUUCAUGUAGUUACAUGUGUCUGGUAAUAAGCAAAAAAAAGCUGAAAAAACUUAAGCACUAACUUCAAUGGAAACUGCCAAAGAUUGAAAGGGUAUUAGCUGAUAUAUUUUUACAGCAAGGUUGGGGUUGUUUUGUUUCUUCAAGACUCUUCUAUGUCAGUGCAUGACAGCAAAGAAAUAUAAGUGAUUUUAUCUUUUUUGAUUUUGCAGGUAAAAGACAUAGUAUUACAGGCUAAAGGGUCUUGUAGGGUUGUAAACAGGGAACUGGUGAAGUUGAUGGGACCCUUUGUGUUGAAUAAAAGUUAAGGUAAUUUUUUUCUCUUUUUUUUUUUGACAAACUUCACAAUGUAAAACAAAUACAUUGAUUGCAUUUGUCUGUAACAGUUCAAAUACUGAUUACUAAAAGCUCUAGUUUCAUAGAACCUUUUUUAUAAUUUUACUUUACUCUUCUAUACAUUCUAUAUUCCUUCAGCUUCUUUUUUUUCUCUCACUUUCCUCUUUUCAUCUUCUUUUUGCCAUGCUUAUGAACUUCAUAGGGUGUUUACUGGAGUCUAGUUAAGGCGAUAUGUUUCAGUUUCUUACAUGUCUUUUUCAGUAUAUAUCUGCCAAAGACCAAAAUCCAAUAUGUUGAAAAGAACCAAAAGGGUUAAGUCUGGUUCAACUGUGCUUGUCAGAUUAUGCAUGUGCACGUGUUUAUGACUGUGGGUUCUUUUUGCUGUUUGUAUUAUAUAAUACAUAUGUUCAGCUACUUCAUUUUCAUGUGUUUACUGUGUUGCAAUCAAAUGUUGCAGUGUUGCAAAGGGAAAAAUUAAUCAGAAGAAACAUGAAGUUUAUGAAAAUUGGGACAAAACCAGACACCUUCUACACAGAAGAGGCUACCAGGUAUAACAAGUGUGACCAUGUUUAUUAUUACAGGAUAAAUCUAAUAGUUUUGGUCAUUUGGCAAUGUAGGACUGUGAUUUCUGACAUACCAAGUGAUCUUACAAUAAGGAUUAACAAUGUUUGUUUUCUUCUACAUAAGGUAUACUUCACUGACUUCAUGUAUUCUUGCCUUAUUUCAAUGGUUUCUACUUUCUAGCAUAUAUAUAUGCAUCAUAUUCUUAGCUGCAGAUUCCACUUGUUCCGAAGUGUGGUCUCUUACAACGGCUCUGUUCCGACGCUGAUGAUUCCGACAUUGUUACGAUCGAUCUUCACGAUGUUCCGGGGGGUGAAGAUGCUUUCGAACUCUGUGCUAAAUUUUGCUAUGGGAUAACGAUCAAUCUCGGUGCACAUAACUUUGUUCCUGCAUUUUGUGCUGCUAAGUUCCUUAGAAUGACUGAAUCUAUUGAGAAAGGGAAUUUUGUUCUGAAACUUGAAGCUUUCUUCAAUUCAUGCAUUCUUGAAGGUUGGAAAGACUCCAUCGUCGCACUUCAAACCACGAUCAAGUUACCUGAAUGGUCUGAAAACCUUGGAAUCAUUAGAAGGUGCAUUGAUUCUAUUGUAGAGAAAAUCUUGACACCAACAUCAAAGGUUUUUUUUUUUUUCUUUUUACAUUUAUUUUGCUACUUGAGAAAAAAGUAUAAUGAGACUCCUGUACUAGGAGGUAAAUUUAGAAGUCAAAUUAUAUUUUGUUUCCUCUAUUAAAAAAAGUAGUCAAUUUAAUCAUCAUACCUUAGAUCAAAGAGCAAAUACUUUAUCGAUUUAUACUGUUAAAAACUUGCGUGACUCAUAGAAUAACUAGAUAGUGACACAGCACCAUGCCACAUGUACCUUAUGCUAAUGUACAGAGACUAGUUUUUAACAAUACAAAUAGAUAAAAAUUUUAGCUAAAGAAUUAGUUUGCUCUUUGAUCUAAUGUAUAAAGAUUAAUUUGUCUAUUUUCUGAAUAUAUGAAGCAAAAUGCAAUACUUUUACUUGCAAAAAACAUAUGAUACGUUAGGUUGAAUUAUAUGAAUUCGUGCAGGUUUCAUGGUCCUAUACUUAUACUAGACCAGGGUACAUAAAAAAACAACACCAGUCUGUUCCGAAAGAUUGGUGGACGGAAGAUGUAUCGGAUCUCGAUAUAGACCUUUUCCGAUGCAUAAUAACAGCAGUAAGAUCGACAUAUAUACCACCGCCACAGCUCAUUGGUGAAGCUUUGCAUGUGUAUGCAUGUCGUUGGCUACCGGACACUACAAAGUCUAGACCUCUCCAUAGUUCAGGGUCACAAACCGAAGAAUCCAGGGAAAAAAGUAGACGGAUCCUCGAAGCUAUCGUAAGCAUGAUUCCGUCUGAUCGAGGCUCGGUUUCGAUAGGUUUCUUGUUAAAGCUUCUUAGCAUUGCAAAUUAUUUAGGAGCAUCCCCUGUAACAAAGACUGAACUGAUAAGGAAAGCUGGCCUGCAAUUUGAGGAAGCAACACUUAAUGAUAUGUUGUUUCCUUCACAGUUGCCCACUGAUCAACACUUUUAUGAUAUUGAUUUGGUUGCGGCUGUAUUGGAAAGUUAUUUGGUGUUAUGGAGAAGACAAUCCCCUUUGCCUACAGAAAAUAGCCACAUGGUUAGAUCGAUUAGAAAGAUUGGGAAGCUUAUUGAUUCGUAUCUUCAAGUUGUUGCAAGGGAUGUGAAUAUGCCAAUAUCAAAACUAGUUUCUUUAGCUGAAGCAUUGCCAGAUGUUGCUAGGGAAGAUCAUGAUGGUCUUUAUAAAGCCAUUAAUAUUUAUCUCAAGGUAAGACCAAUUUACUGAUCAACUGCAUGUUAUGGAUAGGGUUAAAUUACCUUUUGGGCAUCAACUUCGUAACUAUUCUCACAUUAGGUUUGAAUUUUUUCUUUGUCUAAGGUUUUGAACUUGGCUUCUCACAUUGGGUUUGAAAUUUUUUUUUCUAAGGUUUUGAACUUGGCAAUUGUCAAGUUUAGGGGUUAACUUGGAUAAAAAAAAGUUCAAACCUUAAUGUGAAAAUAUAUUUCUAAUUUAGAGUCUAACUCAAAUGGUGAAUUGACCCUUAUGGAUAAGCAUAUACAUACACACAUAAAUCAGUCUGUUUUAUAUGUUCAUCCAUUGAUAUAAACAGGAGCACCCGGACGUAAGUAAAGCAGACAAGAAAAGGAUGUGCCGAAUGCUGGACUGCCAGAAACUGUCCCCAGAGGUACGUGCUCAUGCGGUGAAGAACGAGCGGCUACCACUGAGAACAGUGGUCCAAGUCCUGUUUUUCGACCAAGAGAGUGGUUCCAGGUCCACAACUCAUAAACCAGAGUCAAUCACCAGAGCAAGACAAGCACCAAUUGAAGCAGAAGCCAAAGAAGAGUGUGACAAAAAGGUGCAACAUGAAGGGACAAAGAGUAGCAGCAGGGUAACUGAAACCAGUGAAAGAGAAAUUCAGAAGAGAAUGGAAGCCAAAAUGGUGAGAGGAGAUUCAGAGAAAGGCAAAGAAAGGAAAGGGGAAACCAAUUCAACUGCCAAAAUGAUGGAACCUAAACAGGUAUUUCAAAGGAGAAGUAGUAGAUGAAGAAUUAUUGAUUUGAAAGAUAUAAUAUAUAUAGUGUUGAAUAAUUGUCUUUGUUAUUGUGUUUUUCAUGUACACUUUUUUUUUCUUUUUUUUUUGCAUACAUAUGAUAUUAAAUUGCAGCAAGCAAUGCACCAUUUGUAAUAGCUUAGGAAAGAGAUUUCUUUUAAGCUGUAAAGACCAAUAAAUUAUAAGCUUAGCAUUCCAUCCAUCCUUAGUAUUUUAUUUAUUAUGAGUUUAAUACAAUAAAAAGGUUUGUAUUUGAAUUGAACCAUUUGUUCACUAGUCUUGUUCCUAUAUGGUAGGAUUCUUGUUCAUCAUAAUGGAGCCUAAACCUAUACUCUUCGGCUAAAGAUGCCACACUUCUAAGUCUAGAAAUUACACUUCAGUCUCUUUAUUAUGGUAAUUUUUUAAAAACGUAUUUUUAUAUGAUUUUUUUUUGUCAUAAAAAGUGUUUUUAAGAAAAGAAUUUUUUUUAGAUUAAGUCUUAGUUCGAUUGGUACAGAUUUUGUUGUUAAUACAGAAAGACGUGAAUUCGAAUGCAUUGAAAGGCAUUAUAUUUCUAUUUAUGGGUUGAGGAGAGACUAAUGGGUAGUUUUAAACAUUGUGUCAAAAAAAUAAAUAUGACAAAUUAAACAUUGUUACUCAUUUUUUAAAUUGACAAGAGGCUAAAUUAUUCAAUUUUUAGAUGGAUCAAUUUAUUUAAUUUUAAAAUUAAGACACCACUUUUGAGUUUGAACUUUGAGCCCAAUUAGCCCAAUAUAUAAGUAUUGAACUUAGCAAUUUGCAGACCAAAAAUUCAUUAUCUGAAUCAAAAGAGACAUGGCAAUGCCAAGAUAUCGUCCCCUUCAUCUCUGUCUACUCAUCUUGCUCAUCUACACCACUCCUUCCAUAGGAGGACUCAAUGGCACCGAGCUCCUCAAGGCGGCCUGCAACCAAACGUCCGACUACGCAUUCUGCUAUGCUAUUUUAACUGCCGACCCCAACGCAGGUGGCCCACAAGCCCUUGCCGGCGACCUUGCUAAUGCUGCUUUACGUUUAGCUCAAACCAAGGCCACCCACGCGCAAUCCCUCAUACCUCUCCUCCUUCAAAAUGCCACCACCUCUUUGGACCACAACCGUCUCCAAAUGUGCCAAAGUAGCAACAACAAGGCCAUUUCUCAGCUCUCAUCGGCUAACAAUGACUUCAACUCCGACUCACUCGACACCAUGGUGGAAGAGAUAAACACUGCUGCUCGUGCUACUAAUGACUGCUUGACUGAGAUCCAAGACAAAGGCACCCACUUUUCACUUCUGGCAACCAUCAAUGCAGAUUUGAUUAAACUCUAUGAAAUCUGUAUUGUAUCCACUAGAUAUUUUACUGUUGAAGAUUUGUACUAGUUUGAUCUUUGAUGCGGUGUUUUUAACCCAAUUCAUCUUUGUAGUAUACAUAUGGAUGCGUGAUUAGUGAUCUAGACAAAUAAACUAUAUGGUUAAUGAACCUUUUAUACAAUAUGUCUAAAUAAUACAAAUAGGUAGUGCCAAAGUUGAUGAUGGGGACCAUAAGCAGAUGCAUGUAUACCUUCAUGGUCACGGGUUAAACAGUUCGGUUUUUUGUUUUGAUCAUCCAUGGCGUAGGUGUUGGGUCUACUUCAAUAAGUCUAAACUCUAAAUAUGUGUGUCCCGCUCCUAUGUAUUAACAACAAAUUACAAAGCACUAACAAUGCAACUCUUUUGAGUUCCUUCAACUGAUAGGGUGAGACUUCAAAUUUAAAAAAAAAACAAAACAAUAGGCUCCGAUGCUUUCCAUAUUCAUUUAAUUGGUUAAAUCAUGAAAGUAGUAUACUAUUCAUUAAUCAUUGUUUCCAAUUGUAACCAUUAUUCAUAGAUGAGGAUAAUUGCAAUAGAAUGUUUGUAAAAAUGAAUAAAAAUAAGAACACACAGAUUUUUAUUUAGAAAUUUUUUUGAAAAAAAAUUACGGACAAAGGACAAUAAAUUCACUAAUGUUGAAAAAUAAAUGAUACAAAAAGAAUUUCGAUUUUAUCUAUUUAAAAGUUGAAAUAUCUUAUUCUAGUCAAUAUUAAAUAGAAGAAAGAGUUUCGACCCUUGGCCUUAAGCCCUACACAGAUUUCCUUAUUUUGUCAUUAUAAUUUUUUAACAAGAAUUCAAAUCACACAACUCUAUGAUCUUACUUAUUUCAAUUUCUCUUUUAAGUCUACAACUUUCAACUUCCCUGAUUUAUAUGCCUAAUCUUUUUUAGAGUUAAGAAGUUGAGUGGAAAAUUAUUUUUAUUCCUUUUAAAAUUUAUAGAAUUUUAUGUUAAUCUAUAGAAAAUUAUAUUUUUAGCUUUUCUUAAAUUUUAAAAUUCAAUUUUAACCCCACCAAAAUAAAAAUUUUAUAAUUUGAUCCCUCAAAAAAUUGUAAAAAAAUUACAUUAAUACACUGAUAAAAUUACAUUUUAACACUUUAAAAAUUAUAAUUCAAUUUUGACCUCUCAAAAAAUAUUUCAAACUUCACCCUUGUUUGGUUCAAUAGAAAAGUAUAGAAAUAGAAGAGUAAAAAAGUUUAAAAAAAAAAAAAAGAAAAGAAAAGGAAAGAUAAUUAACAUUUUUUAUUUAAUGUAUAAAAAUAAAUCAAUUCAUUUUGAAUGAUAAGAGGAGAUAAAAUGAAAGAGAUGUGCAUAUUUGUAAGAUCCUCAUUUUCUUUCUUCCAAUGUAUCUUUUAUGCCCGUUUUAUAGUUCAUGAAGAUUAAUUCUUUUAAAAUUCGUAGAUUUCCCUUUCAAUGAUAUUGUCUUUGAAAUUUAAACUUGAAUUCUCCCUUUAAAAAUAUAGUAUAUCUUACUACUCUUCCAUAUGUAAGUUAAAUCAAAGAAGGCAUGAAUUUUUCAUUUAAUUUUCUUUUCCUACUAAGUACACUAACAGUAUAUAUAAUGUUUUUCCUCUUUUUGUUUUUUCUUUUCUCUAAUUUCCUUUCUUAAAAGUAGAGUCUAAAAUUUGCUAGAAGGAAAAAAGAAUUGUCCCCACAAUCUGUUGAUGGAGGACAAGAAGAAAAGUGGUAAAGCAAAUCAUGUAGGCUUAAUUUCAUUCAAACAAUUUCCCCAUUAGAAUUGAGUAGUGAAUUGUAAAAUAUAUUGUAUUUUUUAAGGUAUCUAUCAAAGCGAGUCCAUUAACUAAUCUUUCACAUUCUGUAGGUUCAUUAAGGGAGUAAAUGCUGGUAAAAAUAUAUGUUGAAUUUUUAAAAAAAAAAUUAAUCUGAACUUUGAAAAUAAUAUUAUUGAGAAGAACAGUCACAAAUUUGAAAAAUUUGUUCUUUAUAGAUCAUAAAUCAAACAUAAGAUAUAAUUUGAUUGUAUCAAAUUUAUAUAAAAAGGGAUAACUAUUAAAUUUAUAAGUGAAUUUAUAUCCAAUGUGUAAUUUGGUACAUGAAUUUUGAUUUGGUACAAUUAUAUAUAUGAAACUUGAAUUAUGGUUUAUAUAUAUACAUAAAACUUUAAUUUUGGUUCAAUUGUACACAUUUAAUGAAAUUAAUACAUACAUUUAAAUUUCAUGUAUAAAAUAGCACAAAAUCAAAAUUCAUGUAUGACAUUACAUAUCAGAUUAAAAUAUUUUUAUAAAAAAUUAAAUAUGAUAAAUGAUAGUGUUAAAUUUUAAAUACUUGAGAGGAUGAGAAAUGAAGUCAAAUGAAGAGGGUAGCAACGAGUAAACAAUGUAUAUAAUUAGGGAUGGUAAAACUUGAACCCUCAAUGGAUUUCGAAUCAAUUUUUUAUUUGAAAAGUGGAUGCAAAGGUAGGUGGAAUUUUUCUUUUAGGUAGUAGGUAUGAAGCGAUUAUCGUAAUUGAUCAUCUCAUCUUGACUAGCUCUACCAUAUAAAAUUGUCAUUUUAUCGUUAUAAACUAUUAAAAGAAUAAAAAUGUAAUAACAUAAUAUAAAAAUAUAUAUAUCUUAUUUUUAAAUAUUUUUUUGAAGAAUUAUGUUUAAAUAUUUAUUUAAUUUUAAAAAUAUUUAAAAAAUUAAAUUGAAGCAUAAUAAGAUGAAAUGAGACAAAAAUAAAUGCAUCUAAUAUUCAUAAAAGUGAUAAUGGUUUUCAAUAUUAUAAAUGAAGCACGAAACAAAACGGGUGAUGGAGAAAAAUAUAUCAAUUAUAAAAGGGCAAUAAAUUUAGUAAUAUCGGCCAGCCCACUGGAUUCGGAUUCUUAUAUUUAAUGUAGGACAGGGGAAUUUGAAAGGGGUUUUGGAUAUUGGGAGGUAAAUAAAAAAGGCCAAUGACUAGAAGCCAAGCCAUGAUGAGUCAUGGAAAGUCGUGACAGUCAAUUCACAUUGACCAUACACACCCACACAGAGAUGUUCCAUCUCGGUCCAUCGCCACUUGAAAUUCAAAUCUAACGCCUAACCUAACGGUUCUUUUUCUUUUUACUUUUCUUUACUUUUGGUCCCUACUUGAAUUAAAAUGUUAGAAAUUUAAUAAAAAAAGUGAAAUCAAAUUUGAACAAAAAUAAUUUCGUUAUACUUUGAUUUGAAUUGGCGGUUGCAAAAGGUGGUAAGCUUGGCCAUUUCCUUAGUCGAGGUGUCAGAGGACUUGGUCCGGGACUAAUGCCCUUUGCUCACUUCAUUUUUAAGCUAAUCCAUGUAAUCUAACCAUAUAAUCUCUAGAGUUGCGUGAAUUUAUUAUAUGCUUCUAAUUUAAUGAGUUUUGGCUUACUAUUUUAUUAAUACGCAUAUAUUCAAUGUUUUAAAAAUUAAGAAUUAUAAAAUUUAAAGAAUUAACAUCCAAUGAUUUUUAACAUGUAAUCUUCGAAAAGAAAAAAACUCAAAAUGUAGAUAUUUGAAAGAUGAUUUAGUAGAAAAAUACCCAAAAAGAUAUUUUUUAUUCUUCAUAUAAUCUUAUUUCAUUUAAUACACAUAUUUUCAAUAUAAAAUAAAAAAGAAUAAAUUUUAUUUAAUUACAAUGCAUAUAUUUUUGAGAAUUAAUAUUUAUAAAUUAUUACAAAGGUGUGUUAAUGAUUUUCACAUCCAAACAUAUGGCUAGUAUUAAUAAUCAUUUCAAACACCAAAAAGCAUGUGAUUUGUUGGUGGAAUACUAGACUCUUAAUUCCAAUAAACAAAGAUCAAACUUUGGCCAAAUGAGAUGUAGUUAUUUAAUUCAAAAUAAAUUAAUUGCAUCAAUAAAAUAAAAGUACAACAUUUUAAAGUAAUUUAGCUUUCUUUAUUACAUUUAAUUUCCAAUUAUGAUUUCCUUUAACCAAAAAAAAUUGUCCCACAAAGCAUAAAUUUUAAUUAAAUAAUAAAAUUAGGGUCUACGAUUUGAGUUGUAUUAUUACAUGUAAUGUGAUCUAAAUUAUAUUAUUUUGAAUAUUUUUUGUUUGCAAAGAGAAAUUUAAAUGUGAUAUUAUUAUUUUUUUAAAUUGUUCAUAUUUUUGUUUGUAAUGUUGGAUGCAGCAUAUUGAAUAGAUUAGUUAAGCUUAAUAAAAAUAAAUUUAAAAAUAAGUAUAAAUAAAAUGGAGGGGAAUCACGAAAUUAUUGAGAAAUAAAUACUCAACGGACCUCACACUUAUGAGUGUCGAGGUAGCCUAAAAAAAUUGAGAAAUAAUCUCGAGAGAAAUGAUUUAAAAUAGUUGUAAUAAUAUCAAUAUUAAAAUAAAUUAAGAUGCAACAAUUACAUUACCAAUUUGAUAAUAAAUUUGUGUGAAUCUCAAGUUGAUUGUUAGUAAUAUUAUCUAUAAUUACUUACUUAUUAAAAAUAAUAUUAUAAGUCAAUUGAGUCAUAACUCGAUUGGCAUAAACAUUGUUGUCAAUGUAAGAGGAUGUAAGUUUGAGUGCAUUGAAGUGUAUUAUCCCAAUAAACAACUUUAUUUAUUAGAUUUAAUUUCGAAUUAUGAAUUUGUUAUAAAAAAUUUAUACCACAAUGUAUUGAUAUUAAUAAAAAAAAACAAAAACAAAUAGCAGUAACUAUGCUCAUAAUGCCUCUGUUAAUUUAAUAUUACUUAGAAAUAGAUUGAGGCUGUUAAGAUAUAAAGCACAUACUCUCAGCCUUCACAAACCUCGUAUAGUCAGAUAAGUUGGAUAAAAAAAGUAUAGUCAGAGAUAAUAGUAUAAUACUAUAGUAUGAAAUCCUCUAUCAAAUAAGGUUUAAAUAUGCCACAAGUUCCUGUUCUUUUUAAAAAUUAGAAAUUUGGUCUCUAUACUUAUAUUUCAUGAAAUUUUGUCUUUUACUUUUUAUAUUUUAAAAUUUAGAUCUAAUUGUUAGUAUUAUUAAAUUUUUUUGUCAAAUAAAAAAUAAUUACUUGGUAGACAUGUAAUUUCAAAAAUGACUUUAUAAUUAACUUGAAUUUAACAAAAAAAAAAUAGUGUUAACAAUUAGACUUAAAUUUUGAAAUCCGAAAAGUAAAGAGAUUAAAUUCCAUAAAAUAUAAGUAUAAUGACUAAAUUCCUAAUUUUUGAAUAGUAUAGAGGCUUGUGACAUAUUUUAACCAUCAAAUAAAUAUAUAAUUUGCUAGUGGUUCUAGUCUACCUCAAGCAAGUUUAACAAAUGGUGAACAACACUCAAGGUCACAAAUUAUUAGUAAGUUUAAGUUUUGAUUACUUAAUUUUUAAAAAAAUUAUAAAAUGAUCAUAAAAUUAUCUAGAAGUUUUCAUUUAAUUCACUGUAUUGUUAAAACCGAUAUUGUAUGGUAUUCUCUAUUCACACCGCCUGUACCAAUCGAAAGUUCUCAUUCAUUUUAUUUUUUACAAUUUUUUUUAAAAUAACUUUAAACAUCAUAAAUUAUGAAAUAAAAUCCAAUUCUUCUUAGAUCUUUGAUAUUGAACGUCAAAUCUAUUUAGAUCUCAAGUAUAUUCUUUUAUUCGUUGACGGAUAUUAAUCUAUUAUAACAAUCUGAUGACUUAAAUAAAAACUUUUAAAUACUUCAAUGACAGUUUUGUAAAUUUUUUAAAAUUGAUUAAUCAAAAUGUAAAUUUAACCGAUAAAAGAAGUUGAAGGCAGAUGGAUAGAUUAGAAGGCAAAAUGACCAUCCAAUCCAUCUUUUACUUUAGGAGCUAAGAGUGAAAUUGAGAGAAAAAGGGAAAGGCCCAAUCCCCAAUAACAAAAGAGUGCUCUGAACAAAGAAAAAAAAAGUGCAAUCUUACUAUUAUUAUAUUAGUGUCCAAGUGGUCCCUCCCAAGAACCAUCCUUUUGUUUUCUUUCUAUGCGCCUCUAGUCUACCACUUUAUAUAAUACAAUAUUAUUGUGAAAUAUUUACGUUUGUUGAAUACUCGUGAUCUAUUUACAUAAAAAAAGGGAAACGAUGGCGUGUACUGUGCAGCAUACAAUGAUAUAUGGCUCUACAAAUACACAUUGAAAUCAGAGAGAGAAAAUUAUAUUAUAAAAAAAAAGUGGAGGUGACAACAAACACUCAUUCAACAAUCAGCAAACAAAGGGGCUGGUUAAGACCUUAGAGAGUGGUAGACAUUUUGGCAGAUUUUGCAGAGCUUUGUCCCCGUUUCUCUCUUUCUUUCUUUCUUUUACUCUUUUUCUUUUCACGUCCUUCUGUUAUCUUCAGUACCAUCACCAAAAUUUGAAAGCUUGAAGAAGAAGAAGAAAGAGGGCAAUGGGGGUAGGUUCAACUGCAUCUUCUAAGCUCAAAAAAGCUGCUAAAAAAAUUGUGGUCGCUGCAUGUGGUUCUUUCUCAAAGAAUACUCCUCCUUCUCCUCCACCUCCUCCUCCUCCUGCUGUAAGCCUUUUUUUUUUUUUUUAGCUUCAAUGUUUUAGAUUAAAGAUCCCUUUUUCUUUUGGGGGUAUGGAAUGUGGACGAUUGGGUUAAUCUUUUUUUUUAUGGUUUGUUGUCCAUAAUGUUAAAAGCAUUGAAUGAUUCGAAGAGAACCCAGUUCCUUAUUUUUGCAACAAUUUCAAUUGCUUUUGGAUGGCAGCUCUAAUGUUAUUAUGUUAAUUAAUGUAGAUGUCAAUGUCACCAUUGAAACCAAAGAAUAAGUUGGAAGCAUUAUCAGCUGGAAUUGAAGCAGAAUCCAUCACCAACCAUAAUGACCUUGCAUCCAAGGUAACCCCUUUUGGAUUAGCUAAAAAACACCCAAUUUUCUGAAAGAAGUUUCAUAUGAUACUAGGAGAGAUUAUACAGCAGUUAAAGAGAUUAGGAAGGCAGUGUUUUAGCUCGGUUAUUUCGUGUAGCCGAUCUUAAGAGGUGACGGUCGGUUGUCUAGGUUUUGAAUCUCAUCAUCUGUGCUCCUUUCCUUUCUCCCCAGGCAAAGGCUUUGAGUAUUUUAGAGCUCAAAAGGCUAGGAAUUUGUGACUUUAAAGUAGAAAAAGGUAGAGUAAUACACACUCUUAGAAUCCGAAUUCCGAUAACCCUCGCCUCUCAUCGUUGAGAAGGGCAUGUGUGAGAGAUAUCUUAUUUAGAGAAUAAGUUAUCCGAGCUGUACAAACUCGCUACUUUACCAUCAAUUCUACUAAGUUCCCUUUUUCUCUAGAUUCAUGAUCUGGACAUUUGUCGCAGUGAAUCUAAUUGGAACUGCACAAAACAUUAGAAUAUUUACAUGUUAAUCACAAAUGUUUGCUGAAAUUCCUACUAUGAUAUUUACUUUUACCUUUGUAGUGAUACUUAUAUAGUAUUUUUAGCUUUCGGUAACACAGGAAAAAUUACAUUCUCUAGCUAUCUUGAUACUUGAGAAUGAUGGCAACAUUCAAUCAAUUUCAUUUCGUGAUUGUUUAACAUGGAUUUUCUUUUACUAUUUGUGAAUUGCUGCAGAAUAUUUGUGCAAUAUGUUUGGAGGUUCUGAGUUACAGUUCUGGUAGCAGUCCAGGGCAAGCAAUAUUUACAGCUCAGUGUUCUCAUGCAUUCCACUUUUCCUGCAUAUCCUCGAAUGUUCGCCAUGGUAGCAUCACCUGCCCUAUUUGCCGUGCUCAUUGGACCCAGUUGCCACGCAACUUAAAUCCACCUGCAUGUUCACUCUCUUGCAACCAAAAUGACCCUGUUUUUCGUAUCCUGGACGAUUCUAUUGCUACUUUCCGGGUUCAUAGACGCUCCUUCCUUCGAUCAGCACGCUAUGAUGAUGAUGACCCUAUUGAGCCUGAUCACACACAAAAUCACCCCCGUAUUGAUUUAGCUUUGGUUCCCCUCCAACCAACAGUUUUGACUCACCCUUGCUGCUUUCGGCAUCAACCUGGUUCACAUCCAUCUUUUCAGAUGCCGGGAGUUGGGCACGUCUCAAACCAUCAUCACCAUCAUCAUCACUUCAGCAGCUCCUCCUCAUCAACUUUACAGUUGCAACCACCAAGUGGACAAACACCUUCCUACAUGUGCUCCCCCUCAAACAGUAGACCAGCCUAUCUCAGCAUAAAAUUAGCACAUCCACGAGCUACGGACAUGGUCUUGAUUGCAAGCCCCAAUGGACCACACUUGAGGCUUCUAAAACAGUCCAUGGCGUUAGUGGUAUUCUCCCUCCGACCAAUUGAUCGUUUGGCCAUCGUCACAUACUCAUCUGCUGCAGCACGUGUGUUCCCUCUCCGGCGCAUGACAUCCUAUGGAAAGAGAACAGCCUUACAAGUUAUCGAUCGCCUUUUCUACAUGGGUCAAGCUGAUCCAGUAGAAGGGCUCAAGAAAGGGAUAAAGAUACUUGAAGAUCGUGCACAUAAGAAUCCACAGUCAUGCAUCUUGCAUUUGUCUGAUAGUCCAACGAGAUCAUACCACGCCAUGAACCUUCAAUUCCCUAUUCCUAUACAUCGGUUUCACGUUGGAUUCGGCUUUGGCACCUCUAAUGGGUUUGUGAUGCAUGAAUUUGAAGAGUUCCUAACACAAUUAUUGGGAGGUGUAGUUAGAGAAGUUCAAUUGAGAAUCGGGGAGGAAGGGCGAAUCAUAAGGCUUGGGGAUCUACGAGGUGGCGAAGAGAGAAGGAUAUUAAUGGACUUAGGUGAGUGUGUACAUGUAUCUGUAGGGUAUAGCUAUGUGGAAGGAGGAAGUGAAGAAUGCAUGAAAACAGGGGAAACAAUGGUGAGUGUAGAGGAUAAGAGGGAAACAGAAGAUGGGAACAGAGAGAAUGGUAUUAACAUUGUUGGGGGAAGGACAAGCAGUGUUGAGAAUUGGGAUUACCAUGAUCCUUACAUGGCUAGAAGAUGGGCUAAGCAUUUGCAUGGAUACAGGUUCUGAAUCUGAAAUCAAGCUAUCCCAAAAUCCCACUGUAGAUAUAUGGCUUCACAUUUCAUUCAUUUUCCACAGGGAUUUUGGUCAUUCAAUCCAAUGGCUUAUCCUCUAUAAUAUAUACUCCAAAAUCUUUCAAGAUAUCUAAUUUUGUUGGUGCAACACUUGAACUUCAUUGUUCAUUUGAGUCAAUUAUUCCAUCAGUUAGGAUAAAGUUUAGGACUUUGUUGAUUGUGUUGUUGGUUGGGAUUGGAAAAAUCACACCAUUAAUUAAUACUAUAUAUAUAUAUUAUAAGGUGAUUAUUUUGGUAGUUUGGGACUACAAAUUUAUUUCUUUGAUUGAAAUGACUUUUAUGUUGAAAUGAUUAAAAAGGAAUCUAAUAUGAAAAAUAUUUAAUCAAGCAGUUCUGCAAUUUUCCAUAAAUAAAAAAAAGGUUGUGCAGUUCUAUUAUUGGCCAGCAACCACCCUUGGUGAAUGCUCUCUAUUAUAACAAUAUGAUUAAAUUAGUCCCUAUUAUUAAAAGGAUUGUUUAAAAAAAAUAAUUUAUUAUUUAGUAAAGUUAAUAUUUUUAAAUCACAAAGUAUAGGAAUUUCGUGAUACUUUUACUCACUUAUUUGUUUGUAUAUUUGGCCAUCAACCACACAUUAUUUGAUCACAAUGGCAAAGCAAAUUAUGUUUUAAAAAAUGGAGAAAAAAGAAGAAGAAAAGAUGAUAAUAUUGUUCGUAAUUCAACUUUAUUAAUGAAUUUUUAAAAAAUUAAAAAUGUUUUAAUAUUUAAUAUUUUAAUAUUACUUUGGUUUUAAUAGAUUUAAGGGUAAAUUGUAAAAAUAGUCACUUUUAUUUACCUCAGAUUAUAUUUUAGUCACUUUUGUUUAAAAUGUUAUGUUUUAAUUAUUUACGUUAUCGUUUUGUUUCGAAGUGAUCACUCUACCAUUAACCUUAUUACCUCCCUAACGACGGUCCUACGUGACAGUCCAAAUGGGUUUUAAAUGUCAACUUGGAUGUCCUGUUGCUGAGACAAAAAUAGGUUUUAAAACCCAUUUAGACUACCACAUAGGACUACCGUUAGGGAGGUAAAGUAGCUCAACGGUAAAGUGACUAUUUCGUAAUAAAAUGAUAACGUAAGUACUUAAAACGUAAUAUUUCAAAUAUAAGUGACUACAGAAACAAAAAAAAAAUGAGUAUUUUUAUAAAUUCUAAAUUUAACUAUUAAAAGUUUAUACCGUAUUUUCACCUAUAUUCUUAUUUGUAAGUAAAUAGAUAUUUAUAAUAAUUAUUUACCAAUCAAACUCAAUUCCUAAACUAUACUGUAUAUAGCAUAAAAAUAGAAAGAAAAAUGGAAAUUAUUGAGUAGUAGAACAAGUAUGGAAGUAGAAGGUUGAAAAUGGAUAAAUUAAAUUGUAAAGGGCGUGGGAGCAACAGCAAGAGACCAGUCCCAGCCCCAGCGGUUUGAGUGCUUGUUUUUUGCUUUAACCAUUUGCGGUUCAAUUCCUUUGUUCGAUUGUUCCUCUUGCAGCUUGGCCAUCAGCAGCAGGGUGGAUGUGGGAUUUUUUACAGUGAAACAACAAAAAUGGAUAUGUAUCAUCCAAGUUCAAGGCUCUCAUCACAAGAAGAAAUGCUUAAUAAUCUCAAUCGCAAAGGUAUAGGAGAGCCUUACCUCGUCUUGACUUCCGAUCCUAAGCCUCGUCUCCGUUGGACUGCUGACCUCCAUGACCGAUUCGUCGACGCCGUCACACAACUUGGUGGCCCUAACAGUAGGAUUUCCUUUUUCUUCUUUCAAUUUCUUUCUUUCGUUUUUUCUAGUUCUUUCUGGGUUUUUGUUCAUCGCCUCUAAUUUUACAAUUCGAACCAGCUUUAUUUAUGCUACAUUAAGAAAUAAGCAUUAGCUGCCUGGUUAUUUUCAUGAUGCCCGACAUUUAUGAAAAUAAAAACUCUUUAACUGGCUGUAAAGAUGUGAUUUUCUGCUAUUAGUUUACUUGUGGGCGAAUUGCCUUAAGCUGACAAAAAAAAAAAACCUUAAUUUUCCAAUGUAAUUAGGUAGUUAAAUGAUAGCUGAUUUUGCUGAAACCAAGUGAAACUUGAUUUAAUCUUAAACUUGAUUUGGCAUUGCACAGCUUAUUCUAGUCUAAGAUCCAAGUUCCUAGCAGUAUGUGCGGCAAAACCAGGAAGCAUAGUUUUAGAAAUGAGUAUAUCCAACUGUAAAUUGGGAUAGCUCUUAUAGAGGUUAAGUUAGUAGAAAUUUGUUUAUGUUGGUUUGGUCGCAUAAGCAGAUGGAGUGAUGCAUCUAUUCGAAGGAUGGAGCAAAUUGAUGUUGCACAGGUUAAAAGGUUUAAGGAGUGGAAAGAAAAAAGAUUAGAGAACUUAAAGAGAGGAUGAUAGUUGCUAGGAUGAUAAGGAUUUAUAUGUGUUCAAUGUAAUUUUUUGUCUUUAUUUUGUAGCCAACCCUAAAUAUAUUAGAAUUAGGGCUUAUUGAUUGGGUUUGGUUUGAUUUUAAGGAACAACUUAGACUUAUGAAUUAUAAGUUGUGCGCUAUUUCUUACGAGGUUGCUAAUUAUAAUAAUAAUUACUAGAAUAGUGAUAAGAGUAACUCUUCCAAUUUUACAACCAAUCUGUCAGUCAUGCCAUUAUUCCAAAGCAACAUAAUUCAUUUAAUGGUUGUCACUAUCUUGCUUCCCAACAUAGGCAUAUUUCCCCUGAAAUUGAGAAGUUUGCCUGUUUGUACCAUAAUGGGUUUUUGCAGGCCAUUACCAGUACUUGUUUUGUCCUUGUCAAAUUAUUUUCUUACUUGCAUUAUAACGUUGGAAUAUUCCUUUCUUAGCUAUGUGAUAAACUGUUGGUCUUCUUGAGUAUCUGAUUCAGCCAAUGUUUUUAUGUUAAGUCUAUUUUUGGUUAAUCAUAAUUAUAAUGAAUUCUGUAUUUUAUGUUAUUUCUUCUGAUAAUGCAUAGCAUAACUACUGCAGAAGCUACACCAAAGGCUAUCAUGCGGACAAUGAAUGUGAAAGGAUUGACUCUUUUUCACUUAAAGAGUCACCUGCAGGUUUCUUCAUUCUUUUCAAUUUUUACCUCGUCAAAAUUUUUUUACACUUAAAAGUUUUUGUUAGAAAUGAUUCUCUCAUGGACAUAUUAUACUGUGUGAUAUUUUCAUUGUCGUACAGAAAUACAGGUUAGGUAAGCAGUCAGGGAAGGAUAUGGGUGAGGGACCAAAAGAUGGUUGGUUCAGCUCUAACUCUUUUUCUUUCUUAGUGUAUACUUCCUAUGCUACUGUAAAUGAACCUGGCUAAUUUGAAUCUUAAUUUUAAGUUUCUUUCACCAAAAUGAUUUACUUUCCUUGUCUAUCUUUUCAGAUUUAUAAAGUGAACUAAAAUAUUUUAGUGACUGAUUUGAAUUGGAUGGAUGUGUAUUUGGGUAUUAAUUUAUAAGGUAAUCUGUGAUAAGUAUUUAAAACUUGAGACUGAAUUUUCUUUUUCUGAUUUUCAUAAAGGGAUAUCAGCUUCAUAUCUUUUAGAAAGCCCUGGAACCAAUAAUUCUACCAUUAACUUGUCAACUGCCGACGUGAAUGAGUGAGAAUUUUCAUCUUUUGUGUGAAAAGUAUGGUUUUGUUGCUAGUAUGUCAAAUUUUAAGCUAAGUUCCGGAUGUAAAUGAGUUUUACGUGUAGGGGUUAUGAGGUAAGGGAGGCAUUAAGGGCACAGAUGGAAGUACAGAGUAAAUUACAUUUGCAACUUGAGGUAAUCUUUUCAUCCUUCUCUAGUACAUUCUCUUUUGUGAAUGUGGCUGUGAAGUAACCGAAUAUUUUGCAGUUCAUCUUGAAUGUAUCUGUGGUUUUAUGCAAUUCAAUAACUUCUAUGAGCUUGUGAAUGUUGUCUGGAGAAACUUGUAAUGAGGCUUAUACAUGCUCACAACACAGUAUUGAUUGAUAGUGGAAAAUCCUACUAAAUAUGUUUGAUAGAAACCCUCUGGAUCAGUGUCAACUCGGUUCUCAAGCUGGGUAAUGUCAUUAUGUUUUUCCUGUACAGGCUGAAAAGCACUUGCAGAUUCGCCAGGAUGCAGAACGAAAAUAUAUGGCCAUGCUUGAGAGAGCUUGUAAGAUGCUUGCCGAUCAUUUUAUCGGAAGUGGUGCAGUUACCGAAACAGAUAACCUGGAAUUUGGUAGUAAGAUGCUGAGAAAUUAUUCUGUUGAUCCACUGGGAUUCUACUCCUCCCAAUCUGCUGAGGUGGAGAAUGCAUGCGGCCAGGAAGAAGAAAUGCCAUCCGGUCUGCAUUCACAGAGGGGCGAUGGUUCUACUGAAAGCUGCCUAACUUCACAGGAGAGUCCAGGAGGAUUAACAAUGGAGGGAUCACCUGUUGAAGGGAAGAAAAAGAUGGUUAACAUGGAGGCAACAACAGGAUCUGUGAUAUGGGGUGAUACCAGGGUUAAUCCCCAAGGGUUAACUGGAUAUGGAAUGUAGAGAUGUAAAAUGAGUGCUACUCUUUUAUGUUUGCUCAAGUUAUUAUUAUAGUAUCAAGUGAAAAAAGAUGGUGAUAUAUCUAUUGGUUAUUAGUGAGAGUUUGUCUCAAAAUUGUAAAUCCAAAGUUGCUUAUGCAGUGCUCUUAAAUAUCAAAAACAUGUAGUCAGUCUCUUAGAAUAUAUUGACGUAUGCUGAUUUUAUUGGAAAUUUAUGGAAUCUCUAAAUUCCAAACUAGGAAUGAACUUCCGUGUAUUCUUGGUUUUAACUCUUCGAUCUUAACUUUUGGUGUUGCAGGCAUUGAAGGUUAUGAUUCAAUGGAGGUUGGACCGGGGGUAUUGGUCUAGACUGCCUUGAAUCGAUUCAUCAGUUGAAGUGAAUAAAAAAUCAGUUAAAUCAGUUAAAUCGGACGAUUGAAUUAAUAAAAUCAAAAUUUUUAAUAAAUUUAUAAAAUUUUUAAUAAUUUAUUUAAUCAAAUCAGUCUUAUGAUUAAAUUGGCGAAACGAUUUAACCACUUAGUCAGCUCGGUCCACUCGGUAUUUCCACUUAACGGGGCGGAAAUAGAAAGGCCACAUAAAAUAAAAUAAAAAACGUGAUAUAAUAAUUAAUUAACGUAACAAUCAAGACGAGAAAAGACAGAAAAUACCGGAAUCAUUGAGGAAUGGACGGAAUAUAACGGGGUAGAUUCCGUAGAAGGCCGGUCGCUACAGGCCAAUAUUUAAUUUCUUUAUUAUUUUACAAAUACUAAAUAGAAAUAUUAAUUAAAUACUUCUUUAUCAGUUUUAUGAUACUAUUGUUUUCGACUCAUAAUGAUUGAUAUGUUUUUUAAUAAUAUUUUAUUGGUAUUAAACAUUAUGAGUUUAUAUUUAAAAUUAAAAAAAAAUUAUUAUCAAGUAUAUAAUGAGAACACUGUAAUAUUUCAAAUCCUUGUAAUAAAUACUUGAAAAUAAUUUUAAUUGAUUAUUAUAAAGAACGUGUAAAUGUUGUGGACUGAAUUUGUUAAAUCAAAGACUCAAUUGAUGAAAUAAGUAAAAUUUAAAGAUUAAAUUUUUAUUAUACUAAUAAAAACAUGUAUAGAUGAGAAAUAUUUACAUUAUUAUUAAUUUAUUUUAGUUGCUCACUUGUCGAAUUUGAGAAUGAAUAAUUGUUUUGAAUUUUUUUUGAGAAGGAUUAAUUUGCUCAAUAUUGAAAUAUAAAGGGACCAAAGAGACCUUUUUACCAAAAAAAUAAUUGUCUGGCCGAAAAGCAAAUUGCUUUAAAGAAUGCUAACGAAAAUGUGAAGGAAAAAAAAAAAGCAAAGCAGAAAUAAGCGUCUGGUCUGCGUCUUUGGACUUUUUCGUUGGCUACUUGGCUUUGAUUUUGGGGUCCAAAAAAUUGGUAAUUCUGUUUUUUGCUGAAAAACACUAAAGAAGAUUUAAAUUAUAGUUAAGUAAGCCAUCGUGACAUUGAAGUUAUGGUGGGAUGCUCAUAGAUCUGUUUCUGGUAUGCUUUGCUUUGCUUUCCUCUUUCUCCUCUCUCCAUAUUCCAAACUUUAACUGCUCUCUACCUUUCUUUUCAGUUUUCUUUUUCGAUUUUGGAGUUCAUUGAAUGGAGUAGAAUUAGGAAUUAUGUUUGUUUAUCCUGUAACUUGUUCCUAAUUUAGGGUUUUAUAUGAUAGAGGAUUGCAUCACAUAUCUCUUUUUUGACCUAAGAAAAAACAAGCAAAAAAAAAAAUCAUCUCUUUUCUUCACCUGUCUUGUUUUGUGUUGUAUGCUAAGAAUAUUCAUAUUUCGAGUAUACAAUAACAAUCAGCUGGACGCCCCUUUUCUGCUUGUAUAAACUUACGCACUUCAUUUUUUUUGUGUGUGUUUCUGCCUCUUUUAACUUAAAAUUUUCCUAGUUCUAAUACCCAUUUCAGGGACGGUGGGGAUGUAAUAAAGAAAUUAUAUUUCUUAUUUAAUUAGUAUGUACGUCAGAGGGCUUUUAUAAGACUUAAAGAAACAUGAAUUCUCAACUCUAAAAACUAGGAAAACAAUCAAAACUGAAUAUUUAAUCUUGUAAUUAUGGAACAAAUUAGGAACAGAAUAAAACUAAUUUCCUCCAACAACUCAGCAGGUUUUAGGAAACAUAUAUUUUUUAGAAGCAGAAAUCAGGUAAAUAUGUGAAAGACUGAAGCAGUCAAUGUGUAUACCUAAUAUUUGCUUACAAUGGAUAAAACUUAGGUUUUCUUUUCUAUUUGACAUCUUCACUUCCUUGAUCUCUUUAAACUUUUAAGACUGUUUUACGGGUUGUAUUACAUAUGGUAUGGUGGUUUUGUUCAGUGGUUGGAGAAAGGGUAGAAGUUUUAGGCUUGAGAUGCAGUGUUCUCAGUUGCAUCGAGACAGGCAAAAAUGGGGAGUUAUAUGCAAUGUUAGUGCAUAACAGGAAAAUUCAGUAGAUAUGGAAAUGGUUUAGGGUUGUUUAUGAUUGCAUGGAGAUAUGGUUGAUGAUUCUUCUCCUACUCUGUUGUUUAUUUUAGAAGGAUAUAUUUUGACCAAUUAGAAACUUGUGACUUUUCACGGCUCGCUAUAGUCUGCCUUUAUAAUUACAUUUGAUUUGAAUCACGGUCUUCCUUAUUAUGAAUUCUUUGGUUUUGUUCAUUAUCACAUGAAUUACAUUGAUAAUAAAAGUUUUUCUAGCAACUUCUAUUAAGGUGAUAUCAUGGAAAUAUUUCCUUGUUAACUGCAAAAGUUGACAAAUAAUUUGAUGGUUAUAAAUGCAUUUAGUGAUGAUAUUUAUUAAAACAGUAACCUUGAAAGCAUCAUUAGGUGCUUGAGGAAAACGCUAAAAUAAUAAAAAGAGAAGAGGAAACAUUAUGGGGUUGGUUGGCUAAUGGUGCUAAUAAUCCUUCUAUUCAUGCUUUCUUCGCCAGCCUCUGUGAGACUGUGAAAAUUGCUUCUAUGAUGCAUUUAAUUAUUUCUUAGUAUGGAAUCUAGCUGUGCUUUGCAUUUAUUAUGGUCUUUAUGUAUCUUUUAUUCCCCAUCGUUUGUAGAUGAACAGAAAAUGUAUCAUCCAAAGACUGUUCCAGGUUCGAGUUUAGUUCGCAGCAACUCUUUAGUUCAUGGUCAGCAUUUAGAUUGUGGUGCUAGUUCAAUGGACCCUGUAAGUGGAGGAAACUCCAGCAACCCUAAUCUUGCAUCGAAGCAACGAUUGCGCUGGACACAUGAGCUCCAUGACCGCUUUGUCGAUGCUGUAGCUCAACUUGGUGGGCCAGAUCGUGAGUCUCGUUAAUGAUCACCCUUGCUAAUAAUUAAUUCUUAUCCUGAAUUUGUAUGUGCUUGUAAUGACUAGGUUGGCCAUAAAAAAAGGGGUGCAAAAGGUUGGAAAUUAUGAUGCCUUUAUUUUGCUGCAAGAUUGAUGAAGUAAGACAUUUUUGAAAGAAGGAAAACCAAUUCUCUAAUUCCUGGAAACUUAAAUGGUUAAAAGUGAUUUCAUAACUUGAGCAUCCCUGUUUCAUCUAGUCUCCUGUUUUUUUGAGAAUUAUCCAUAAAACAUUUCCUGUUAAGUUGCAUGAGAAACCAUUAUGUACCAUGGUGGCUUUAAUUUUUACAUGGACGUGCUUAUGCAGAAAUUUUAAUUACCAUAAAAUUUUCAUGUUUAUAUAUGGCAAAAGUGUAUAACGGUGAAACAAGUUUCCUUCUUUUUACCCCUCAGGAGCCACACCAAAAGGAGUUCUUAGAGUCAUGGGUGUGCAGGGUUUGACAAUAUACCAUGUCAAAAGCCAUUUACAGGUAUAAUUCUUUUUUCAACCUAAUGAAGAACUAUUCUUAUUUAUGUGCAUAGUUUUGGAGCUCCCCAGAAAGUGAGGUUUUUGUUGAAUGGUUCAUGUAUCAUCUAUGACGUUUGUUAACCCUACUGUUCUGAUACAUCCAGAAAUAUCGACUUGCAAAAUAUCUCCCUGAUUCUUCUUCUGAUGGUAAGUUUCUUUCAUCAAUUUUUAUUUUUUAUGUAGAUGUAAAUUGAUGUUAAAAUUGUUGUUUUCUUGAAGUUUAUAUUCUUCAUACUUAAUUAUAACUCAGGUUGUCUUGUACAAAACUUUUAUUCUUGAUAUUGCUUGUUUAUUCUAUUUGUUAAUGAAGGUAAAAAGCCUGACAAGAAAGAAACUGGAGACAUGCUAUCCAAUUUGGAUGGUUCAUCGUAAGUGAAGCUGCUGCUUUUUCAGUGAUUUUUAGUUUUUGAAAAUAUCCUUUUUCAUAUAUAUUCACCAGUUUUCAGAAGAGUAAUUAUUAGUUUCAACUUGUUUCUUGAAGUUUAGGAUGGUAGAUUUUAUAUUUACAUGCAUAAGAAAACCUUAAGGUAUGCUGGAAUAAAGAUAACAUUCUGGAAAUUGUCAGUCAUAUCAAAAUGGCUGAUUAAAUAGGGUUUUGGUACCUGUGAACAGGUAAAGCAAAAUUUUAAUCCAAAUUGGGUUUGUAUAGAGACACCUUUGGUUCCUGUUGUUCUGACUUGAUAUUAUUGUGUUGAAGUAAGCAAAUUUUAAUUGUAACAUUAUACUUUUAUUUCCUUAUAUCCUCAAGUUAGUGGAUUACUUUUUAAGGUAUUAUAUUCUUCAACAUAAUCAAAUAAUUUUAGUUAUUGAAUUGGUUGUUAUUAGAAUCAAAUGGAUUUUUUAGUAAUUUCCUUUCUAAUACCACUAUCUAUAAAACUCAGUAUUAUACAUCUGAGUUGAAGGAUUUUUUUCCUUUCCCUGAUUGCAGUGGCAUGCAAAUUACUGAAGCUCUAAAGUUGCAGAUGGAGGUGCAAAAGCGCUUACAUGAACAACUGGAGGCAUGUAUUCUCAAUGCAAAUUUAAUAUUAAUUUGGUUAUUAUGUUUGUUUGGCUCUACUUGCUAUUUGGAGUAGCAUGGUAUUGAGUAUCAACAACAUUCGGGCUCAGUAUUUUUCUCUGUAUUUAUUAUGAAACCAGUGCAAUUUGCUAUAUUACUAUGCAGUGACAUGCUUUAAGUUUUUGGUGUUUCAUUUACUUGUCUUCUCAAAACACAGAUUUCACCUCUGAUAUACAACAGGUGCAGAGACAGCUACAAUUACGGAUAGAGGCUCAAGGAAAGUAUUUAAAGAAGAUUAUUGAAGAGCAGCGCCUUGGUGGAGUCCUUGCAGAAGCACCUGGCACAGGAGCUUCAGUCCCAGCGUUGGGUGACAAUGGCCUGGAAUCUGAGAAGAAGACUGACCCUGCAACUCCAGCCCCAACUUCAGAAUCUCCUUUGCAGGAUAAGGCUGCCAAAGAAGGAACUUCUGCGAAGAGCCACUCUGUAGAUGAGUCUUUCUCAUCUCAUCAUGAGCCUUUGACCCCAGAUUCUGGUUGCCAUGUGGGUUCUCCAGCAGGGAGUCCUAAAGGGGAGAUGUUGAAGAAGAAGCAACGGGUGAGCAUGGCUGGAGCAUUUGCAAAACCGGAGAUGGUACUUCCACACCAGAUACUAGAUUCGAGCAUAAAUGCCUCCUAUCAACAAUCGCAGUCAGUUUUCAUGGGAGAGCAAUUUAAUCCUUCAUCUGGAAUAUCGAUCAGAAAUGAGAAUCAAUCAGGGAAGGGUUCAGGAACGGAGCUGUAGUUUUUGUGCUACAUGGUAAAUGUUGUUGGUUUCAUUUUGGCCAUGUAUUCCUGAUGAGAUUUCUGAUUAGGUCAAAAAGAAAAAAAAAAAAAAGAACUUGUUAAUCUCUGUUGUAUGAGAUAAUUAGACCGAAGUAAAUGUGUCCCUUUGUCCUAAUAUAUGUAGCAUCCAUAUAGUGUAGUGGAAUUAAUUACAGUGAACGGUACUGGGGACUUGGCUCGAGUGCCUUGUCUAUCAGUAUUAGAGUACUGUGAUUGUUGUGUAUUUUGGCUAAAGGUCUUAGAAAGACUUUGAUGGCUGGCUUUAAUUGGGUAACGUGGAUUAGCACUGUUACUGUUGUUUUUAAUCCUUUAAUAACUUACUAAGUCGACUUUGUUCAUGGGAUACUGCAGGUAGUCAUGAUGUCAACUUGCAGGCCUUCUACGUCAUAUUUGCAAAUAAUAUUUUAUUUUUUUAGGCAAGAACUAUCAUUCAAAUUAGUUCCAACCUUUUAGGGAUUAUUUACAUAUUAAAAUUGUGAUUAGGGCUUUAAAAGAAAUAAUAAAAGAUUAAAUUAAGUGAUUGUUGUCGUGUUUAGAAUAAAAUAUGUGAUAGUAGACGUCGAUAUUAUUUAAAAAGAAAAAAUGAAAAUAAUAAAAGCAUAAUUUGAAAUGUUAGGCUUUUUGUAUAUCUAUUCUUAAAAAAUAUCUUAAUUUGAAGAUUUAGCGAAUUACGGUGUAAAUAUAUAUAGCAAAUUAUAUUGCAAAUUUGUAUCAUCAAAGGGAAAAUAAUGAGUGGCCAAAAUCCAAUAUAGCCAUUCAAGAUGAAAAAGGAAAUUAACUUAGAUUUAAAAGAAUUAAAUUAUUAUUUUUAAAUAUUAGAUUUUAUUAUAUAAAUUGUUUGGUGUAUUAUUAAAAAUUAAGUAUUAGUUUUAUUACGAGAACCAUAAUUUUCUUUUUUGAUAUAAUUUUGAUUCAAAAUUAAAUUAUUCUUGAAAUACAUAAACAUCUAAUUAAGAUUUAAAAAUAGAAUUAGUGAAUAUUGGCAAUAAUUAAUUUUAAUGUCACAUUUGUAAGGGAAAAAUAAUUUGAUUUAGGCCCGUGUAGCAUAUAAUAAUAAUUUGAUUCAAUAUAAGGGAAAAAGAUACUUACGAAUACUCUUUAUAGUUUAGAAACUACUAACAUAUCCCUAAAAUAACAUUAACUCAUCCUCUACAGUCGCAUUAACUUGUUAAGGUCUAUUAUUAAAUAAAUUUUCAAUGAAAAUAUUAUUAUUUUGCUAUUAUUUAUAUUGAUUUACUUUUCUAUAUUUUUAAUUACAAAAUCUAUUAUAUUUCACAUAUAUUUAUAAGAUAAUGCAAUUUACAAUUUUAAUUUAAUAAUUAUAAAAUUAAUUUUAUUAUUUUUAAUUAAAAAUUAGUCAAUAAAAAAUAAAUAGAAUAAUUAAUAAAAAAAUAACCUUUAUAUUUAAAGUUCAUUUAAUAAAUAAACUUGAGUUGGUAUAUUUUUCAUGACUAAAGUUAACAUAUUUCAGUCAAUAAAUUGAGAUUCAAAUAUUUCAUCAAAAAAAUAAAUAAUUAUAAAUUAAUUAUUAAAUUAACAAAAAAAUCAUGAUUAUUGUGUUCUUUUCUUUUUUCCACUUUUCUAUCAACAAACUUUUUUUUUUUUUUUUUUAUGUUAGUUUCUUUGCGUUUAAAUUUUAAUUUUAUCCCCAACAUACGGAAUCGGCAUAAAAUCAAAUCAAAGUCCUAAAAAUUAAACAAAGUCCAAUCCAAUCAAACACAAUUCAUAGAAAGUAAAACUCCGACGCCAUGUCCAGCUCCGAUCCCAACAAGCUCAUUUCCAAAGCCGACAAACUGUUAGCCUCCUCCUCUCUCUCUCUCUCUCUCUCUCUCUCUCAAGCUCUUACUUGUAUGUAUAUUUAGAGGUUGUGUUGUAAUUUACUUAGCUUAAGAUUCUUAGAUUUGCACUUUUUGGUUUUUGAUAUCCGAUCCCAUCGCUUGUAGAGUUAAAAUGAUCAAAUUGAUUUGAUGUACAUAAGGGGAAAAAAAAUGGCAAAAUGAAUCAAUUAGCAUCCCCCAACUUGUAUCGAAAAAUAUUAGCUAAUGUCUUAAUCUGUUUAUAUUUGUAGAACAAGGCUAAGUCUUACAAGGUGGAGUGCAGAUUGGAAAAGUGCUACUCUUUUAUAUGAACAAGCUGGUAUGCUAUCUACUUAUUAUUCGACAUCUAGGAUUUUAUCUAAAAUAUUUAGUUGAUUUUUUAAAAGAAUUUUCUACUACAAAAUUGAUCAUGUAAAUGUCAUGGUUCUAAUGGCUUUUCUCAUUGAUGCUCAUGCUGUAUGCAGCAAAUGGAUUUCGAGUUUCAAAGGAUUAUGAGAAAGCAAAGUUGGCAUUCGAGAAAGCUUCCAAAGGACAAGAAAUGCUAGCUUCGUAUCCUUAAUUCUUUUCUUUCACUUUAUAUUAUACAUUUUUUUUAAUGCUAUUCUUUCUAUUUCAUAUCCAGUGUGUAUAUACUUAAAGACUUCAACUUGGAGGUCUAAAGUUUGAAUCUUGAGACAGGGAUGGUAUAAUAGAGGCUUCAUGUCCCUAUUUUGUGUCAAGAGCCCUAGUGAAUAUGCAUAGGUACCAAAAAUAGAAGGCAAAUAUAUCUCCGUUGUUUCAUCCUUUAUAAGCUAAUCAGUCCCUGGGAUGCUGCUAAACACAUGGAGUCUGCUGCUGCUUUAGCAAAGGAACUACGCAACUGGACUGAGGUUAUCGACUUUUACAGAAGGGCAUCUGAGCUAUACAUGCAGUGUGACAGACCACAGCCUGCAUCUGAUUCACUUGCCAAGGCUGCCCGGUAUGGACAUUGCUUGAACCUUAUGUUUUCUGAAUUCUGAUUUACAUCAUUUCAACUCUACUAAUCUCCAAUUCAGGUUUUUCAAUUACAGCUAGUACUCUUGCAUAUACACAUUUGUUUUUAUUUAGAUGGAACUUGACGUGAUGUUCUUAAGUUCAAUUGAAGUUGAACUUGCUCCAUUAAGUGUUUUUUGUUGAUCUUAUAUGGUCAACUUUUUUAUUUAGAUGGAACUUGACAUAAUGUUCUUAAGUUCAAACGAAGUUGAACUUGCGCCAUUAAGUGCUUUUGCUUGAUCUUAUAUAGUCAACUGAAGUCCAUCUUGUAAAGCUUUUGAUAUGACUCCACCAUUCUCCUCCACUGUUGACUUAUUAUAGGAGAUGGUGGAGUUUUAUCAGCUUUCCAAUGUCAUUAUAGUUUCUUUUUACUGUCACAUCUGUGAAUAUGCUAUUUGAUUCGAAUUGGCUGUCAAACACUAUUAUUUACAAUAUGCAAGAAAAUAUCAUGAAUUAAUCUUAUUUCUUGGUAUUUUCAUGAAAUUUGAAAAAGCAUAGCCCAAAUGUCAUGGAUGUGGAAUAUUCUGAAUUUUCAUUCAAAGAUCCCGCUUUCACUCAUUCUUUUUUCCUCUUUCAUGUUUAUGGAAUUAUUAUUGAUCCCUUGAGAAUAUUGAUUUCCAAUGCCAAUAUGCAUUCAAAUGAAUAUUCAUGCAGGAUGUAAUUGUUUUUGUUUGUAUUAUACAUGUAUUUAUUUCCUAGUGCUUUUCUGCUUAAUAUUGUCAAUUAAUUGUUGUAAUCAAUAAUCAUUUCAAGAAACCUUUAAAAGAAAGAAAAAAUCUCUUUGUUUCACAUGCAACAAUAUAGUUGCAACAUCACAGACUGAAUCACAACUGCAAUUUCCUCUUUAAUCUCUUAGUACUUUUUCUUUGUAGUGCUUUGGAGGAUGCUUUGCCUGAUGAUGCUGUUCAACUAUAUACCGAUGCUUGUGUUAUUCUCGAAGAUGAUGGAAAGGAACAGAUGGCCUUUGAUCUGUAUCGAGCUGCUGCUAGUAUUUAUGUAAAACUUGAGAAGUAAGGAUUUGCUUCUUAAUCUGUUGAGAGGCAAUAAAUUAAAUACUCAUUCAGAGGAUUGAUGAAUGAAAGUUACACCCUUGUGGUGUAUUACAUUCCUAAAAUUAGAAUACUGCUGUUUCUUAAAAUAAAAGAAAAAACCUAAAACUGGAGGAUAGUUUUUGAUUUUACUACGAUAUGAUCAUUAAUUCAUAGUUAAAUACGGACCUAUUUUCAGCUAAAGGAUUUCAAAUGGUUUUUUGUGUCUUUGUCUUUAGUCUGGAACUAUGGAGUUCAGGUUGAGUAGGCCCAAAGCGUGUGAAUUGUAAUUCCUUUUUUAAGCCAAUUUUUAUCUUUGUUUAGUUGCACAUCUAGUAAGUAUUUUUUUCUUUCAUUAAGCCACUAUCCAUGUUAACUCCUGGCAGCAUGCACUGCUUCAUGACUGAAAUGUCAAAUGAGUUAGAAUGCUUGUAAAUUUAGAGAAUCUGGUCCUAGGCAACUACAUUGUUUGCAUAUAUAAGCAAACCUUAUAUGAGUAGGCAUUAUUUAUGUUUUUGUUAUCCUCAGGUUCACUGAUGCUGCUACUUUCCUAUUGAGGUUGGGCUUAGCAGCUGACAAGUGCAAUGCUAGAAAUAGUCAGUGCAAGGUGCGACUUUAUAUUUUGCAGCCCAACUAUUUCCGUUAUUACUAAAUAUCCAUUUGUUGCCAUUCCAUUCCUUUGUUUGUAAGUCAGCUGAUAAUUUUUUCCUGAGAAGUAUAAUGUGGCUAAUUUUUGCUAAUUUCUCUCUAAAUCCAUGUAUGCUUUUAGAAGUUGUGGUGUUGAACUGCUUUAUGACUUAAUUAACUUGCAGUUUAGUUCCAUUACACAUAUUUUUGGUACUUUCUGCAGAACAUUUUAUGUUUCCAACCCUUUAUCUCUUUCUUAUUGUGGCUGGUAGGAGAUAAAACAAAACUUUCUUUUUUGUUAACAUUUUUGCAAGGAUGAAAGUAGGAUUUUUGUCCGAGUGGCUACAGUCUUGCGUGAACGUUUUUAGGACUAUAUAUUGAAACCAUUUAAAAUAUUCCUUCUUUUCUCGAAUUGAAGGCGCCUCUCUUGGACUUGGUAUGCUGAUCAAGAAAAUGCUUUCCAAAUCAAAUUUCCCAACAAAUUGGUUGACUCUGGAAGAUGUGACAUAUACCUAUUUGCCUGUAUAAACUGAGAUUUUUCAUGAAUAAACUGACUUUUUAAUCUGAUUUUAAGUAUUGUGAAAUUACUCCCUUAAGUGGUAUUUACUGCAUGGUUCUACUUAAUUCGGGUUACUUCUUUAUGCACCAUCUCUAACAAAGUAUAGCUUUGUAUAUGUGAUAAAAACUUAAUCCCAUGAGGUGUUAUUGAUCUGUGUACCAUGUGAUUUAAUAAAGAUCACCUUCGUGCUAUCAUCUGAAGGCUGUUGUUCUUUUUGCUUGUUUGACACUAACAUUUUCUUCUUUUGUUCAUUUACUGAAAGGAACUUUGUUGGUAACAAUAUGCUAACCCUAAUACAUAUAAUUUCAGGCGUAUCUUAGUGCAAUUAUUGUGUAUCUUUAUGCUCAUGACUUAAAGCAAGCAGAGAAGUGCUACAAUGAUUGUUCACAGUAAGUGCAGUUAUCAUUGAGCUACCUUUCAAACCAAUAUGUAUUGAGGUAUUUGUAGUACUCAGGAAUGUGGUUAGCGGCUCUGGACUGGCUGAUCUUGUUAGUGCACUAUCAUUUUAAUUUUGAUUGAUAUCUAGGUACUCAUCACUAUCAUAUGAGACAUUGCAUGAGAAAAGUGAUUCUCCAGCAACUGAAAACAACCAUCAAUCUAUAUGUUGGGUGUUUGUUUUCUAUGUGAAUUUUCUCAAAAAUUGUCAAUCUAUAUGUCUACCAAAUGCAUCAAAACACUAGCAUUGAUUCUCUGCCCUGCCGUCUUACUGUAUUGUAAAUUGUGUUUAUUCCCCUUAUUUUAUAAAGUUCUCUCCUCUCCCCUUAAGUGUAAAAAAAUGUGGAUCCCAUUCACAAUUUUCUUUACGACUUUGGAAACUUUUGUGUUUAUUAUUACAAUAUUAUGUCCCCCCCCCCCAAUAGAUGUUGUUAAGCAUUUUCAUGUAUAUUAAAGGCAUCAAGCAAUAGAAUGAUGAUAGUUAAACUUCCUGCUACUCUAACUUGUUUUUUGAUUGUUAUUGUGAAAAUCACAUCAUAUAUUCCUACCAUUUCAAUGUUUGGUUUUUAAGGAGUAAUGUUGUCUCCCCUGCCACAUAAAGGAAAACCAGUUACGUUAUGUAUCCUUAAGAUUAAUGCUGUAGCUGAAAGCCUCUAGAAGAAACCAACAAUACUGUCUACCCAUUUGUUUUUGUUUCCUGUUUUAUCUUUUAUACUUAAAAAUAAUGACAUUUUCUUACAGAAAAGGUGAUCUAAACUACUAUUGUCUAUGGAUAUUUUCAGAAUUGAUGCUUUCUUAAGAAGUGAUCAGAACCGUUGUGCUAGUAAACUUCUUUCUGCUUAUACAGAAGGUGAUGUAGAAGAAAUCAAACGUGUGGCUCAGUCGAGUACUAUUUCCAAUCUUGACAAUGUGGUAUGUUUUUUUGACCAUUUGCACCUUUGUUUUUGGAAAUACAUGUGCCUCUCCUACAAUAAAGUGAAUGAUUUUGUGGGGUCAUUUCAUCUUCUGCAUGCUAUAGUUGGAUUAAAUCACUUAACCUAAGAUUCGACCUAUGCAACCAUGGAAGAUUCUAAUUGGCCUAAAACCGUGCAGUUUAUGUGAUACUUGGCUUAUAGUUUCCCUUUUGGCUUAGAGGAUCUUCUAAAGAACUAACAUGGGAAUAAAGGAAUUCAAAAUUUAAAGCACAUGUCCAUGCACACCUGGGCCACAGAUAUAAUAAAUACAUGCGUUUUGAACCUUUAUAUAGCCAAUUAAAAAACUGAGAUCAUAAAGUUGACCAUGGUAGGAAAAGGGAAAAUAUCAUUGAAGUUGGAAGAUUUUGGUUUUUUUUUAUAUACUGUCAUUUGAGUUUCUUCUUCUCCUGAAAAAGGGCUAAGUGGAGCAUACUUCUAUUUUGUUGUUUCUAUUGUGUCCUAGUUGAUUUAUUUUGGCAUUUUCCUAUUGAACUCUUUGUAUAUUAAAAUAUAUAAUAAAAAGUGUACGAUUUCCAUUUUCUACAAUGUGGAAUGGGAUGGUGGGAUACACAACAGUGUAGCUCCCAUCUUCUAGUUGAUGCUGUUCUCCUUUGCUUAUCAUCUAGCUUUCAGUGGUCAAACUAGAUAUUAGAAUAUGAUUUUCACUCUGCAUAUCAUCAUGGCUAAGAGAAGAAGGCAUUAAAGAAAAAAGCAUAAGGUGUUGUUAGUGGGGACUCCUGAAAAUCUUGGUUGCUUUUGAAUGUACCUGUCUAUAUUUCAUGUUUAUCUUACUAAGCGGAUAGACAGUGAUUCGGGACAUGGAAUGCUAUUCAUUCAAUUGCAGACAAUUUGAGUGAGAAAAUGAAAUUGUGUGUGCAGAUCAUAAAGCUUGCAAGGAAGUUGCCUACUGGUGAUGUGGCUGAACUAAAGGAAGAAGCUGCUAAAGGUGAGGAAGAAGCACUGGAUGAAAAUGACCUGACAUGAGUUUUACCUGUAAGGAAUUGUUUCAUCCUCUGCAUCCAUGGGAUUUGUGUGUGCUGCUCAUCCCAUCCUUUCAUUUCAUGUAAUUACAUAGGCAUAUAAACAUGUUCCAUUUAAGUUUGCUUUAACUCUUGUUGUGCUUUGCCUACUUGAAAAAGAAUGAUGUUUAAUCAUUUUUAAACUGUUGCUUGUUUAUACGAGUGGGCUUCACAAUGCAAUUGCCCUUAUUGGAACUUUCUUCUUUCAAACUAAGUUGCACGUUUUACAAAUGUAUGCUUUGGGGAGUAAAUUCAAGGCUCAUUAGCUCCUUUUGUAAGGUGGUUUUAAUCUCAGCAAGACGAUGGCACGCUUUUAAGUUGUAGUAAUGUGUGUUAGAAUUGCACAUAUAUCUUGCAAUAAGAAAAAUGUAUUUGUAUGAAUAUUAAAUAUUUGUUCAUUGAACAAUAAUAAAUUCAUCCAAAAUGCAUGGCAGUGAUGGCAAGUUGUUCACAGUUGAAAUGCAUUUAAGAGUUUAAACAAUGCAUAAAAACUAAAAACCAGGAUCAUUUUGCUAGUAAGUUUGUAAAGAUAAUGAUGCACAGUUUAUUAGGAUGAGAUUUAGUAAUGAUGCACAGUUUAUUAGGAUGAGAUUUAGUGGUAAAGAAUUCGAUAUAUGUAUAAAUUUAAAUUAUUUGUGAAAUUUUUCCUUGAAAUUUCGCUAUUUAAGUGCUAUUUUGAAAAGAAUGGCAAAGUCUCAUUUUUAUUUUGUUCACAUAGCUGGCGUGAUUGGGGCAUGUAUUUUUUGCUUCUAAAGGUAGGUAGUUCACCAGACAUGCAUGUUUAGCACUAAACUGCAGAACACUAUUAACUCAUAUAGUGUUGUAAGGUUACUCUUUCAAUCUAUAAAUAGAGGCUCAUGCAUGUUAGUACUAAAUCGCAGAAAACUAUUAAUUCAUGUCGCGUUCCAAAAUUACUCUACCACUGGAGGCUCGAUAAGUAAUCGAGUUUCCAUUUAGUCAUAUUCAAAUUAAAGAAAUUGAGUACUCCUAUGGAUGCUAAAAAAAAGCUUCAUCAAAUUCUUUGAUUCAAAUCAAAGAAAUGUUGCAAAUAGGCUUCCCCAAAUUCGAAUUAAAGAAAUUGAGUAUGCAGGCUUUCAUCAUAUUCAAAUCAAAGAAAUUGAGUGCAAUUGCAAAAUGAAAUUCAAGAGCACUGUAGAGUGCUAAACUUCCAGAAGUGUUGGAACAAUAGAUCCUGCAAGGAAAGAGGCGCGCAUUCAUGCUACCAGAGAGCGCAUAGAGGGUUUGGAGGGGAGGUAGCAAGCGCUCAUUUUUCAUGGAGCACUCGGUAGGUUGGGAGACUAGAAGAAAUUAACAAAAAGUAGUUAAGUCACCUUCAGUUUUCUUAUUCUAGGAUAGUAUUUACUUGCAAAAAUAAAAAGUAUAAAUUCUGCAAAUAGGCUUCAUGUACUACUAUGUUCCAAAUAGGCUUUUUGCAAUUUCUAUCGAAAUGGGGAUAUCUGGAAAAUUAAGUUCAAAAACACCAUGGAGUGCUAAACUUCUUUUCGAGAAGUGUUAGAACAAUGGAUCUUGCAAGGAAAGAAGCAUACACUCACCCUAUUAAAGCAUGCAUUGAGGGAUUGGUUUGGAGGAGAGAUAACUAAUCUAUAAGCAAAAUAGCAAGCAUUCAUUACCAUGAAGCACUCAAUCGUUGUUUGAAAGAUUAGAAGAAAUUACCAUAAAACAAUUAAAUCAUCUUUAACCCUUCUUAUAAAAAAGUUAUGUACUUGCAAGAUUAGAAGAAUUAACAAAAAAAAUAAUAAAAAAAAACAGUUUUCUUAUUUCAAGAAAUUGUAUAGUUGCAAAAAAAAAGUUUUAAGGGUGUAAAUGACCAUUAUUCAACGAUUAGUAUAGUGUAAUGUGUUCAUUACGAUUUUAAGGGUUUAUAUGACUUUUUUUUUUUACAAUUUCUAAUUUUUAUAAACAAUUUAUUUGAUGUUAUGUGUUCAUUAUUAUUUUAGGGAUUUAAAUGACUUUUUUUUUCAUAAUUUCUAAUUUUUUUCAAAAUUUUUAUAAUUUUUUAAGUAUGUUUUAUUAAUUUUAAAUUUUUUUAUAAUAUAUUAGACUUUAUUAGUUUUUUUUUUAUAAUUUCUUUCAUUUUAUUCACCAAUUCCUGCUUUUCACCCCCACCAAAACCACAUUCAUUUCUUCUUAUAACAAUGCAUUAUGUAUAUUGGACGACCACAAGCCGCUGCCUCUCCCUCCUUGUGACAAAACUUUUUUCUUUCAAAAAAUUUUUGGUUUUACUCCACAAACCUAGAACCCCUAAACAUGAACCAAGAUUCCUAGCCUUCUGAGCAGGGACAUUAUUAGUACUCAAGAUAGCACUUGACUUGGCCAAAUUAAUAAUGUCCCGACUUUGCAAGAUGGACUUUAAGGCAUCAAUAUUAUUGGAAGAACAACGAAUCAUCUACAAACAACAAAUGUGACAAAAAUAGGAAAUGCAUUCCAUAAUCCAUUCAAUCCAUUUAUCAUCAAAACCCAUCUUCUCCAUAACAACCCCAUAUGUCAACUUUCAAAGUCAUCUCAAAUUUCUUCCCCUUCUUUGUCUUUUGAGUGAUGUGAUGAAAAACUUCAUUUGCAACGAAUCUGUCUAUUUCCAAUGAAUGCACUCUGCUCUUGGGUUAUGAACUUCUCCAUAUAUUAGUCAUAACCUUGGACAUUAUCUUAUUGCCAGAGUUGCAACAAUUAAUAGGACUAACUGGAAGACCUCUUCUUAACAUUUAACUUUCGUAUAAACAUCACAUUUAUGUAGUUCAGAUCUUUCUCCAAACACCCUUUUUGAGAAAAAUUCUUGCCUUGCCUCCACAACCCCUUUAGCUAUCUCCUAAUAAUUCUGGUAGAAGAAACCACAGUAACCAUCAGGCCCUGGUGCCUUCACUGCACCUAGCUGAUAUGCAGCUUGCAUGAUUUCAAUCUAUCGACCUCUCUACUUAAAUCUUUAUUAGUAUCAGCAUUGACCACCCAUUCAUCCUCAAUCCACUGAUCAUCAUCCCCUUUCACCCUAAGCACCUUAUUUUUCCUCCUCCUCUGCAAUGUAGCCAUGUGAAAAGAAAUAGUAUUCCUAUCCCCAAACUCUAACCGCUUCACCCUACAUCUUUGAAACCAAAUCUUUUCCUCCCUUUCCCAUAUCUCUUUUAAUUCCCCAGUCAGCUUCCUAAUUUCCUCUUAUCAUUGCACCUACUAUUUUAAAUCUCCCCGCUUCUUUCUAGAAUCUCAUCAAUCAGCUUUCUAUUAUUAGGGAACAUCUUUCUGCUCCAUUUUUUGACCAUCAGUUCACCUUAGUUCUUGAUGUAGCCACUAUCCUCCAUCCAACUUGCCCACAUAACUUCAAAUUUAAACUGCUUCGGCCCUUCUUAUCCUUCACUUCAGUAUCAACCAGCAUAGGAGGAUGAUCAGAUCCUACCAUUAGCAGAUUAAAAACUUAGCACUAGGGUACUGCUCAAUCCAUGAUAAAGUUCCCAAAGCCCUGUCAAUCCUUUCCUCAAUAAGACCAUCCUCCCUUGUAUUAAACCAUGCAAACCUCAAACCCUUAAAAUUUAAAUCAAUGCAACUUAAAUUCUCAAUCAUCUCCCUAAAAGCCUGAAUCUUUCUCUUAUUUCUCAUUCCCCCUCCCUCCUUAUCAUAGAUAACUUUCUGAUAAUUUUUAAAACAUAUACUUCUAAAUUUUUUUUAAAAAAGUAGUAAAAUAAACGGUUGGCCUAUUAGUUGUUGUAGUUACGAGCAUGUUACUUGUUUUGAAUUUAUCAUUAUUUUAUUAACUCUUCCCAAUAAUUUUUAUUUUUAAUUACUUAUUUUCACUAAAAAAAAAUAUAAGAUUAUCAUUUGUCUAUAUGUCUAGCAUGAGUUCAAUACUCAGCCACCGAAUAUCUUAGAUUAAAAAGCAAGAGAAAAUAACUCAACACACAUAUACACAAUGUAUAGAUUUAUUUUUGUUGGUUUCAUCACCCAAUACUCAGCUACCAAAUAUUGGAAUAUCUCAGAUAAAAAAGCAGGUAAAAAUAACAAUAUAGCAGAUAAGAUGAAAGUACAAAUUCGGUAUUAUUAAUUUCACUUUAAAAAUCAUAUAAAUGAGACUUUCCAUCUCCAUCAAUUCGUACACUAAUAAAUGUACAUCACACUUUAUCCCUUCGAAUACAAUGCUAAUGGUUUUGCCAGUUUCAACUUGAUAUACACAAUCAAUUCCUCAACAAUCAAACUCAAGUAUCACACUGGAUUAUUCAUUUUUUGCCAGUUGUUAUGCCAACCACGACAUUGCUCACCUGCAAAUGCAUAAUUUUAUCACUAUCCACCUUCACCAUGUGGAAUAACUUUGAAAAAAAUGAAUAGCACAUAUUAAUACUUAAACAUAUGCUGUUAAAUCUAUAUUUACCAAUUUCCCACUCUCGUCAACAGACAUGGGGUUCUCAACAACAACAGUUUGGCUCUGAUGAAUACAAUAUUUAAAGCCAAAGGUUAGAUUCAGUAAACAGUUGACUACUCAAAAUCAUCUACCUUUCCUCAUAAUAAACCCAGCAAAUAUGUAAAGCUUCAGAACUUACUGGCGAAGCAGAUGGCGUAGCCAUAGACCCCGUGGCAGCUUUCCCAUUAGGUCUGUUUACGGGAAGGGGAACCCUUACAUUGCCCAUCUGAAUGAUAAGAGAGUAAGGAAUGGGUGAACCUCCAACUACAGUUCUAACUUUUUCCCUAUAAACAUACUCAUGCAUAUACAGUAUCUCACAAAGGUUCUCAAAAAAAUAUAUAUUGGAUGAGCAAAAGCGGAUAAUAAGCUCUAAUCCUUCCGAUUAAAUUUAGAAAACUUAGCAAAGAAAAAGCCUUUUGACUGGUAUUUAUUUGACCAGGGGCAAUCGAUACCAUUAAACCAUUGAUGUCUAAUAUAUUGCAAUGUAAGAAAAUCUAUACCCCAGCAUGAAAGGCUGCAUAAAAUUUGAAUAUUUGAUAAGAGAAUGGCCAGUAAGACCAAAUUUGAGAGGUAUGUCCCCAGAGGAGAGAGGGAGACCCCCUUGGGGGGGGGGGGGACAGAAGGCACAAAAAGAAGAAAAUAUAAUUAUAUUUUGAACAUCACUACGGCAAAGGGCUUGCAGCAACAGUAAAUGCCGCACACAAAAAUGGAUAAUGCUAAAGAAAUUAAAGAUUUUGAAAAACUGAAACUCAUUUCAGGGGACUUCAUAGAUCAGAAAACAAGAAAUAAGAUACGAAGGGAAAUAAUGACUACUGUCGACCAAAUUAUGAAAUAAUAUGGCCCUCUCUUAGCCUCUUAUGAAAUGAAAGCAAAUCUUUGAAUCUCUACAAUUCUUUUAUAUUUAUAUAUAUAUAUAUAUGUUAACGACAGAUAAGCUAAUUGAAAGUUGCAUCAAUUCAAUCAUACUUACACCAACAUUAGUAACAUAUUGACAGACAGCACAUUUGACUGAUGGAGCUCCAUAUGGAUACAUUAAAGUUGUACGGCAGUGCCCGCAAGUGAUGUGAGAAAUCUGGUUGGAUGCUACUCCAUGUUCAGAAAAACUCAGUAAACAAGCUGGGAAUCACAAAGGUGAAAAAAGAGAGAAGAAACUGGCAAAACAUAAGAUAACCUAUUAAUCGUAUUGCAAGGCAACCUGGAAAACCAAUGGUAUGAGAUGAAUGAAGAAACAAAACAGAAAAUACUGUAUGGUUUGUACUCACUCCCAAAUUUGAUUAGAACAGCCAUUAUCCACCAGUGAUAUCUUGAACUAAAGUAGCUCAGAAGACUACCAAACGAAGAUGACAAUGACAAUAGAAACAAAGAAUAUAAAUGUAAUAGAAGACAUCCAUGCUCGACACAUUGUAACUCUGGAAAACCAAAUACAGCACAAAGAAGCACUGAUCAGGAGAUGGAUUCACAUUCCCCCUUUUUUAAAAAAGAAAAAUGAACAAGAUUCUUUAAAUUCGUUUACAGUGCAGAAACAAAUUGAAGAAACAGAUCUUCAACCCACAAGCAUAAUAUUUUCUUAAAAGCACAAAAAUAAUUUUCCAUUCUUCUUUAACAGAAUCAUUUCUGCAAUUCCAAACAUUACAACCGCAAAUUCAUAUCACACGCACAGAAUCAUUAAAUUGUACCUGGUGCAACAUUAAUGGUGUGACAGCAAGAGCAUCUUAUACUUGCUGCUCCACGUGUAUACAUUAGCAAUGUUCGACAACCUCCACAUAUGAGUUGAGCCAUUUCCAUCCCUGCAUGCUUAUUUACAAACUUGGUGAUCAAGCCAUAAUAAUUUGAUUCAACUUAUUUACAUAUCUAAACACAAGGAAUAUUACUGACCACCCCAUGUUUUAUUUUUUUUUCACUUAAGUUUUCUUAGUUCUCUCGAAAAUUCGGGAUAACAACACCAUAAUUAGCAUGAACAGGUGGUUUCGAACUAUCAAUCAACAAAGGAAACCAACAUGAAAAAGGAAAAAGAAGAUUCAUCUAAAAAUACAAUAGAGUGGAAGUUCAAUCGAAUGUCUGUUUAAAGGAUUGGAAAAAACUCUACCUAGAGCAUUGCUGGCAGGUUAACCCUGCAAUUAAUGAGAGCCAUCAAUAAUCUUGUCAAGAUAACGACCUUCUUUUUUUUUUUUUGGAGGGGGUUGGAGGCACAAUCAAGCCAACUUAGGUGGUAGAUUUCAGCUGUUGGCAAGACGGAGUCAUAUUUCCAACAGUUCAAAUGGAGAAUGGUUUAUGGACCAUAAAAAUUGUUUAUGAAUUGUUUGGAGUGCUCAUAUAAGUUGAACUCAGUCGUUAUCUAUCUUAUACAAUCAAGUCCACAUAAAGAAGGAAGUAUAAAAGCAAGAAAUUCUACCAUAAGACAGACUAUGUCAAACGAAUAAUAUAUUCAACAAUCAGCCAAGAACAUAACAGCCAAAUCUCUAACACAAGCAGCAUUAAGCUGAUACAAGCAAAUUGCCAAGAUUUUGAUUUCACUGUUUCUUUAUUACGCCAUGUACUAAACAUUGAUAAGGCCACUUAGAACAUAAAGAAAAAUAACAACUUUAUGAACUAUAUCUCUGAUUUUCAAGCAGAAAUGAUCACCAAUUGUCCAUUAUACUGAAAGCCAGCAACUGCUCUCAACUUCAAAAAACCAAUGAAUGGUUUGACAUUUGUAAAUGAUAAGAAAGAGAAAUGAAGUGUACCAGGGGGAGUAAUUGUAUUGCAUAAUGCACAGCAAACACUGGUAGCACCUCUAGGAUAAAGAAGAAUGCUCCUACACCCACUACAGAUAAGCUGGCUCUGCAUAUCUGCAAUCAUUGAAAAGGGCCAUAAUAAAGAUGAUUUUUCCAAAGUGCUGGUUGUAAUGGAUAAUGUUGGUUUGAAAAUUCAAUAUGAAAUAGAUGAUAGAACAUUCCAAAUUCCUGAAAUUACAAGCGGAAAAAAAGAAAAGGAAACUAAUAGUGAAAAGCAUCUGACUGAAAGAAGGCGCAAACUCAAUCAACAACUAGCCCUCAGCGGGAACUUGAUGAGAGUGCUGUCUCUUAAGACAACUAUUAGAUAUACAGAAAUCGUAUGCGAUAACAUUCACAAUAAAACAACAACAACAGGGAAUGAGAAUUCGAAAUUCCAAAAUUCGGGAAGGAAAAAUCAUUAAAACAGAAUAUUAGUAUCUAAUGCUAAGUCUUUUUUUCAAUCACUGUCACCCUUUUAAUGAUAGUUGGCAACACCUCAGCACAAUUAAGACUUCUCUUUCUAAAAUCCCUUGUUUUUCAAUUAAAUCCUUGGCUAAUCAUCUAAUUUUAUUUGAAACCAAAUUUACAAAUAGAAUUACGGAUAGUUUCACGUAAGACAAUUCCAAUUCUAAAAAGAACUAGGUUUGACGAACAUAGAUAAGAUCGGAAUUAAAAAACCCCAAAAUAAAGAAGUACCCGAUUUCACCACCUUCAACUAGGAACCAAUUCCAAUUCUUUGAUGAGCUAUCGAAUUGAGAGUUAAAAUUCCUAUCAAACAGAUGAAAGAAAAGGGGGGAUUAAUCGUGAUUAAGAGGUGAAAUUUAAGAAAAAAGAUAACACAAAAAGUUCGUUUUACCUUGAAGAAGGCGGAGGAAUUGAAUAUAAGAAAAAUAAAUUGUUAGUAUAAGGAAAUUAGAUGCCGUGAUAUUUUUGCAAAAUACGAUGCGAUGAGAUCCGCGUAAUUCGAAAAUAUGCUCCCUUUUUUUUAUCCUUUUUGAAAUAUGGUUUUUGUUUUUGGGAUAAAUAAAAAAAAGUUAAACUAUCUAAUGAUACUAAAGUAAACUAUUAGUAUUUUUUUAUCAUUUAAUUUCAAAAAGUUAUUCGAAAGCUUUCAUUAUUUGAAAUAUGAUUUUUUGUCAUUUAAACUAUUAGUAUCGUUCGAAAGCUCUUAUUCUUCUCUUUUUCUAAUAGUUCCAUUUAUUUUUCAUAAAAUAACUUUUUUUCAUAAAAUAACUUUUAACGUUAAGAAUCUCUGAAUCAAAAUCUAAGCAACUUUUUUCUCCCAUCUCUGACACAGAUUGUCCAAUUAGAUCUAAGCUACAUUCUUUUACUCAUUGAUGGAUACUGAUCCAUAAGUACUGAUUGUUGAAUUAUCGUUUAGAGCUCGCUAGCUGAACUUUUUAUAAGAAAAAAAACUUAACAAUCUAGUAGCUUAAAUAAAAAACUUUCGAAUAGUUUAAUGAUAUAAAUAAAAACUUUUGAAUAGGUCAAUGAUCGUUUUAUAACUUUUUGAAGUUGAGUGACCAAAAUAUAUACUUACUAAUAGUUUAGUUACCUUGGGUAUAGUUUACCCAUAAAUAAAGUUUGCAUUUGUUAAAGGUUUUGUCAAAUUUUAGUUACUUAGCAUAUGAUUGUGUUAUAGGGCUAAAACUUACAACUGCACAAACUUAGGCAAUUUCUUUGUUUCAAAUCUGCCUAAGUCAACCUAACUCUCGUAAAAUGAAAAUUCUUGAUAGAAAUUCUCUAAGGCACCGAAAAUAAAGCAGAAACAACUCAAAGACAAAGAAGCAAUGGGAGAACAGAAUAAACCACACAAAAAAAAGCAAUGCUCUCAAAGUACUCUAUUACUCAAGUAUGAAGAAAUGAAUGAGAUGAAUACAAAUAAGGGGGAAUGCUUCUAUUUAUAAUUGUGUUCCCCCAUAUCCAACGGUACAAUUUACUUUACAUUGACGGUUGAGAUCGAAGUAAAUUUGCAAUUGAGAUUCUUAAGAGAUUUAUAUAAUCUCCGAAGAUUACAAAAUUAAACCUUCUAAGAUUUGUUUCCAUAUCUACCAUGGCAACCCUAGUUUUCCUCAAGUAUUUCACUAGACCGCCAAGGCUUCAAGUAGAUGGGCUUCUCCACAUGUUCUAAGAAUCAAGUCAAUUCAAGUGGAUGAAUGAGUCACAUUUAAUUAAUUGACCUUCAAAUGAUGCUUUUUGUGCAUUUUUCACGGAUUUUGAUUCGCAGACCGUGACAUUCUCUCUCACCAUCUCGCGACGCCUUUAUCGCGUCUUCAAAAUGACAGUGGUUUGACUCACCUCGGAACUUUUUCAAUGCCUCGAUUGGUUCCCAACUAGCCUCUCUAUCGGGUAGUUAUGCCCUUUAGAACAGUGGCCUCGACUUAUGUCUUUACUUUUGAUGUUCUUAUGUAUUUCCAAAGGGGUCUUCUUAACAUCCCAAUCCACCAAGUUAAUAUUCUUACCAUAAUGAACAUCCUCGACUAGUUGAAUUGUUGAUAAUAUCUUGGUUCCAUCUUUCUCAUCACAACUCAUCGGCACCACGCAUUGUCGUUAACGAGUAUCCAAUAUAUAUAUGUAAUUGGCAAAAUGAACUAGAAGAGUAUUACUCUAGUCAAGGAAAUUCAAGACAAGUAUGAAGUUUUAAUCAUUUAAAUGAAUUACAUUGAAAUCUUCAUUGUCUUUCCACUCCCCGAUCUAUAACUCAACUCUUUAUGUUACUUCCAUACAAUUGGGACCUAUUUGGAACUAACCAUCCUGAUUCUCUUAGUCGAUUUGCUAACUGAGAAACCAAGUUUACCUACAACUUUCUCUGAUAUAAACAAAUCAGAUGCUUCUGUAUCCACAAGAGCACUCCUCAUUCGGCCUGCGAUGUUGAUGUCCACAAAUAUCAACCUUUUAUGCUCACAAUCCAUUUUGUUUUAGUAGAUUGAGUAUUAUUGAUCCAAGACUUAAUACAUUUUCCUCAUCAUGCUCGAUCUUGUCUUUUUUACUAGUCACAGAUAACAUGGAUCACUGUGGGUAGUACUGCACCCUAUGUAAAUCACUACAUAAGAAGCACUAUAUUGACUUCUUUUCAUUCUCUUUGUCCUUUAGAUGAUUGUUGGUUUUUCUCUUCCUAUUAGAUGGUUUCCCAUUGCCUCAACAAAAUAUUCUACCUUGGUCAUAGCUUUGGUAAGUUCAUUGGCCUCUAGACAACGCAAUUCUUAUUUCACUCAAGGCUUCAACCUAUCCUUGAACUAAUAGAAUGCCUCAUUCUCACUCAAAUAAGGAAUUUGGAAUAACAACUUAGUGAAACCCUAAACAUACUUGUUGGAUCACUGGUACGUCCCGUGACGCAACAUAAAAUUAUUUCAAUGAUUAUCAACCAAGGAUCCAAGUAUAAGGAACGAAUCGGGUUGAAACAUGGUUAAAAAAUAUACUAUUUCAAUCUAAUUUCCUUUAGAAUGUCAAUUCUAAGCCACUACAGAAUGGUCUUGGCCGCUACAUAGUCUACCCAAUAAAGCACGGGCAACAAAACUCUUUCAACUUUUCAGAGAGAAUUUAAAAAAUAUUGGUUGUUAGACCUUUUUAAAAUUUUCUUACUUCUUUCCAUACAUCGUCAGAGAUCUUAUUCCUUUUAUUAAUCACCUAUAAUAAAAAUGGAAUAAUUCCCUUUUACUCCUAGAGAAAAUUAUGGAAGGUAUUAAAAUUUUAUGUUCUUUCCAAAUGAAUAUUAAGUCUAGGAAAGUGUUACAAAUCGUGUUUGCCAGGUGAUACUAUCUGCCAUUGAUGUAUGUAGGAUGGUAUACGCCUAUUGUAUUUUGCGUGAAGUCUGUUGGCUUUAACCAUAGGGUGUGACCCUAUAGGCUCUUGUAACCUUAGUAGUAAUACUAGAACAUUUCUAAUGUUACAAGUAAUGAGUGACAUCUAGCAAUUCAUUGCUACAUAAGUUAUAAGAAAUCAUGAUUUGACAUAAGGUUUCUAUGAUAAAUUUUUUCCUUUUAUCAUUUAUAUCUAGAUUGGACACAAGUCAUGGAAUAGUCACACCUGUAGCCCGAUCUCAUAUUUCUUGAUAUUCUGAGUAGGCUACAAUAAACAAAUAAAUGUUAUAUCUCAUAUAAACUUAUUUGAGCAUGAUCAUGCAUUUCUAAUCUCACUCUAUCAAGUAGCCCAAGAUAUUUCUCCCAUUAUGUAGGAGGGACAAAUUCUAUCUUGAUCAAUCAUAUCCCAUUAUAUGGAUUGUGGUAUAUCCAACAUCGGUCUUUAUAGUACAACCUAUUAUGGUAGACGUUUGACUGCGUCAAAAUAUACAACUCGCGAUGUUAGGACAACGAUGAUCUGAAGUCUGAGGAUCAUAUACAUACUUAUCACCAUGAGUAAUGUUGUGACUAUUACAUAAUAAUCUAAGAAACAUACUCAUAGUGGAUCAGUUCAAUAUGUUGUUUUCUAACACAUACUCAUUUAUAGAUUUUGACAUCCCUAUGUCAAUGGCAACACUUUGUCAUCAAUCAACUACACGUUAGUCUCAAUGCAUUCUUACUAUCCAAACCUACAAUAAUACUUGAUUAAGGACUUUUUAAGAAUAAUCAUAUUAUUUUCAUGACUUUAUUAUUAAUCAAUUUAUUUAUACACACAUAAAAACAAACUGAAACAAUAAUGACAAUGUCUUAUAUUAACAAUAAUGUAAAAUGAGUAUGUAAUUACAAUCAUCUCAUGAAUGGUCUUUGAGUAUACUCUAACAAUACUCUUGAAUAUUUCUUUUUCGUGUAAGUCGGUACAACUUAGCUCGAGCCUCAUUCUCGGCAUAUUGUGGGCGAAAUUACUUUCUAAAAUCAUUCUGAAACACCACCCAAGUCUCAAUAGUGGUACUACCCCAUCUCUCAUUCGUGAACCUACGAUGCCACAAUAACAGAGUGACAUCAGUAAGAUAAAUUAGAGUAUUUUUACCUUAGUGGCACCAUUCUCAAUUCUUAUUGCAAGGAAGUAUUGUUCCAUCCUCUAGAUAAAGUUGUCAACAUCCCUUGUAGUCCUCUUUCCCUUAAACUCUUUUGGUUUGAGAACAUCCAUCUUUUGUUGCUUUAGUCUUGAAGCCAACAUCCCAUUACCCAAAGCAAUCUUAUAGACGAUGAGCUCCUUCUUGAACUCCUCAACUUGUUCCUUCAAGUCCGCCAUCGUGGUCUCAAGGGUAUCAUCUCUCACAUUCAACUUAUCCGCUGUGGAAUUGAGAAUCCCUUGCAUCACCUUUAAAUUGGAAUUGAGAGACACCAACACAAAUUCCCUGAAUUUCUCCUUCAUUGAGUUUAGCUCCUCAGUGCAUCCCUCAACUUCUUUGAGUGUCUCCCUCACAUCUCUCUUGGAUUCCUCGAGAUUGACUACUCGACUUUCAAAAGACUACAACAUGUCCCUUGAUUGCCUAGCUUUCUUAGCCCUCCCAUGGGUCUCCAUUGGCUCAAUCUAAUCUUCUACUCCUUUUCUCAUCUCAACCAAUGCCUUUGGACCUUAGCUUGGAUACCAACUGUCAUGAGGUUAGAACUUUAGCCUCACAAUCUGUGCAGCUUUAGGUAAAUUUAUUUUUUUCAAAUCCACCUAAGGUAACUUAACUCCCAUAAAGUGAGAAUUCUUGAUAGAAAUUCUCUAAUGUACUGAAAAUAAAAUUGAAGUAACUUAAGGAUAAAAAAGCAACGAAAGAAGAAAAAAGCCACAAGAAAGCAAUGCUCACAAAGUGUUUGAGUAAAUGAUCUCAAAGUAUUAUAUUACUUAAGUAUGAAGCAAUAAAUGGGAUGGAUACAAAUGAUGGGGAAGACCUUUAUUUAUAGUUGAGCUCCUCCAAAUCCAAUAGUACAAUUUACUUUACAUCAAUGGUCGAGAUCGAAGCCAAUCUACAAUUGAGAUUCUUGAAAGAUUUACAUGAUCCCCUAAUAUUACAAAUCUUUUAAGAUUAGUUUUCAUAUCUACCAUGACAACCUUAAUUUUUUCUUAAGUGUUUCACUAGGCCACCAAAGCUUCAAGUAGAUGGGCUUCUCCACAUGCUUUACGAAUUGAGCCAGUCCAAGUGAGUGGAAUGAGCCUCAUUUAAUCAACUGACUUCCAUGAGACACUUUUUGUGUCUCAUGACAUUUGAACACACCCAAGUAAUUAGACAAAAGUCUAGUUAUUAUAAAUAAUUACAUCAUUUUGUAGUUACAAGAAAAUUUAAAUUUUUUAUAUGUUUUGAGUUGAUAAAAUGUCUCUAUAUCGUGUUUGGUAGCAUAAAUUAUAACUGAACCCCUAUCUAAUAUUAAAUUUUAAAAAAUAAUAUUAAUUGUAACAUCCUUAACCCAAUCGAGAUGUUAAACCCAUAGGAUGUAAGUGGAUCUAAAAAAAAAAGAAAUGUAGAUGGAAAAGUGAAAAUUUAGAAGUCUAAACUUGUAGAACAAUGUUAUACUUAGAAAUAAUGUAUCAAUUACGAAAAAACCUUGUCUUUGGUUGGCAUGCUCAAUUCAAUCUGCAUAUUGUUAUCCAUUGCGGCAGCACUCGGUUAUGAGAUCUAGCAAAUGGAUGUCAAGACAACAUUCUUGAACAACUAUCUUCAAGAGAGCAUCGACAUAAUGCAACCUACUAAAUAUAUAGCUAAAGGAAACGAGGUUAAAGUUUGUAAACUGCUUUAAUUCAUAUUUGGACUUAAGCAAGUAUCCCACUCAUGGAAUGAAAAAAUUGAUCAAGUGAUCAAAACUUUUAGAUUUGAGCGAAAUAUAGAUGAACAUUGUGUUUAUAAAUGUAUUGAGAAUGAAAAAGUGGUCUUUCUCGUUAUCGAUAACAUUCUACUAAUUGGAAAUGACGCAAAUACAUUGUCAUCAAUUAAAUUGUGGUUAACUUAAUAGUUUAGCAUGAAUGACUUAGGAGAGCUAACUUUAUUCUAGGUAUUCAAAUCCUAAGAGAUUAAGAGAACAAUGUGAUAACAUUAUCACAAGCUUCAUACCUAGGUAAGAUAUUAAAAUGUUAUGUCAUGGCCGAUUCAAAGAAGGGAACUCAACCUUCUGUAUUGGGAUUUAUCUUUCUUUGGAAGAUUGUCUUAAGACAACAAAAGAAAGGGAACACAUGAAAAAAGAAAUCGGCAUUGGGUUGUGUCUUUGUCCUAGACGGCGGAUCUAAAGUAUGGAGAAGUGUCAAACAGAGCUAUAUUGCUGACUCCACUAUGAAAGUCGAAUAUGUGAUUGCUUUUGAGGCAACAAAAAAAGAAAUAUGACUUCAAAAGUUCCUUACAGAAUAAACAUAAUAUACAAGACUUAUAUUAUUAUUAAUUUUUUUCCUAACAAAUGUUUCUAUUAAAUCUUGAAUACAAUUUUGUUGAAUAAUCUCAUUAUAGGUUUUAGUCAUAAUUGUUCUUUUUAAUACAAUACCUAGAACUACCCGUAGAAAAGCCUAGAACUACCUAUAGCCCCUCUCUAACGCACAAAUAGGAAGAUAAUGCGCUUAAACGCACUCGGACUCAUGUCCUACUACAUUGACAAUAAUGCCCAUGCCAAUCGAGCUAAGACUCAAUCGACCAUCUUGAAUAUAAAAUUAUGUUCAUAACAAAUUAUUAAUAUAAAAUAAUUAUUAUUUUAUUAAUAACGUUUUCAUUGUCGAUGUAAUAAUUAUUAUCGCUUAAUUGGACUUUAGAUCCAUAUUAAAUUAUAAUUUUUAUUUUAGAUUAAUUAUCACUUAAUUAGUGUUACAAUUAUAUACCAAUUAAAAUUAAUAUAUAACACCAUAAAUAUAUGUAUUAGCAAGACAUUUUCAUUUAAAAUAAUAUCUAAAGAAAUACUAAAAAAACAUAUUUUAGCAUUAUUUAAUAGGUUUAUUUCUGUCACAAAAAAAUGCAUGAUUUUUAUUAUUAUUUAAUAUGUUUAGUUAUUAUUAAUUAAUAUUUGAUAGUUUUACUAUUAUUUGAUUGUAGUAAUAUUUACAUAAUUGUGGAUGUUGUUUACCAUUGUAUUGUAAAAUAAAAUAUUAAAAGUAAUGAUUUUUUGUAUUAUAGGUGAAAUUUUAACUCAUAACAAGUUAUUUUAUCUAAUUACUUAAUAUCUUAUUGUAGGAUGUUUCCCCUUUUUGUUUUAAUUAAUUUUAAAAUGUUAUUUUAUUCUCUUAAUUAAUUUUCAAAAUUAAUUGGCUUUUAGAUAAAUUAUCAUUUAAUUAGUAAAUAAAUAUUUUUAAAGAAAUUCCAAAAGAAGGGCAAAUUAUUUUAUUUAAUCACUUCAUAUUUUAUUAUAUAGGUUGUUUCCACUUUUUGUCUUAUUUACUUUUAAAUGUUAUUUUAUUCUCUUAAAUAUUUUUCAAAAUUAAUAGAUUUUUAUUAUAAAUUAGAUUAAUUCUCAUUUAAAUAGUAAAUAUAUUUUUAAAAAAUAUAUAAAAAUAUUAUUUAAUAAAUUUAAAAAGUAAACAUGAAAAAUGAAGAGAAUUAUAACGAAAUAAAAAAAUAAUUAAUUACUUAAUUAUUAAUAUUAGUGACCAAGAUCUUUAGGACUUCAAUAAAAGAAGGUAGGAACAAUGUGUAUAUGCCAACACAGCUUAAGCUAUGCGCAUAUUUAUGCGUGUGGUAGGUGAUCAUAAUGAUAUCUGGAAAGUCAUGUCGGCCUAAUGGCUACAUUUUUAAUCGGAGCAGAGGAUUUUUCCUGGACCCUGCAGGCGGCUCACGCUUGACUUUGACCAAAUGUCUCAAAACUUUGGCAUAGCGACUCAUAAUUUCUUUGAGCUUCAGUCCAUUAUCAUGUUGGUGCUUCGUAACCAGCUGAAGCUGUUUCUCUUCUUCCGUAAAGUGGUGACCUAGUGUCAGAGAAGUGCUACUCUUUGCUGAUCUGCCCAUCAUCUCCUUCGAGUUUGCGUUUUCGUCCCCUUUGAUGAGUUGCUUCAAGCUUUUACGAUCACCACCUUCAUGCUCACCUUUUCCUGGGGAGCUUUGAUCCAAAAUAUGAGCAAUACUUUUGAGAGGGAUUAUAUCCCAUUCAGAGGAAUGAUUUUGAAUUUGACGAUUAGCUUCUUGGAGAUUCAAUGGCUUCCUGGUUCUCUUGGACAUUGUAAUAUCAUAAUGGCGCUUGCAAUGGCUGCCCAUUUUCUCCCAAAAACAAUUAGGCAUACACUGGGACUAAUAGAAGGGAUGUACUAGCUAUGUGGUUGUGAUCAGAGAGGUGCUUGCUUAAUGUAUGAGAAAUUAUAUAUAAUUAGGGGGGGUAGUUUAAAGGUAAAAUGUCUGUUUUCUCUCCAACUGAAGGAUUAACCUUCUCCCUCUAGAAGUAGCUGCAGAGGUUGAAAUUUUACCAACCAACUCCUGCAAUUCCCUUUGUUUCAAGUAAGUAUGAUGCUUCAUGCUCUUGUUUAAAGCUUAAUUAAUUAAAAGGGAAGAAAAUUAUAUAUUGAAAUCCCCUCGAAUUAUAUUUGAGCUACUUACACAUCCAAAUCAUUUUAUUGUCAAAGAGACAUUAAUUAUACCAAAAAGUUAGUACAUGCUAAGCUUUUCUUAUUCAUUUUUUUACUUGUGAAUUAAGCAUUAAUCGAUGUUGUAGGCCAAAAUAGAUGGGAUAUUUAGUAUGUCACUAAAUAUGAAUCACCGUGAAGACUUCACUUGUAUUAUCACUCAAAAUGCUUGUGAACAUGCUUUGAUUUCAUCAUCGAUCCUCUCAACGAAGGAGGCAUAUUGUAACUGAUAAUGGAUGACAAAAUCAAUAAUAUAUAAAUAUAUUUUCUAAUAAGUGCCAUCAAUGAAAAUUAAUGAAAAUGCAAAACUAGGCCACAAACAAACAUCACCCAUGCAUUAGUAGAAGAUUCGUUUUGGGGAGAGAGAUUUGUGCAAUGACUAAUUUAAAGCAACCCUUUAAUGAUGGUCGAUCUACCCAUUUAAUAGAGCUGCUCUCAACGGUUUCUUUGCCGGACUAGUUUUGAGUUAUGUAUAGCCACGUUUCACGUUGGUGUAUUAUAAAAAGGGGGGAGUUGCCAAUGCCAUGCAGAUGCAGACAAGGCAACUUGUGGUUGUGGUUUAAUUAUUUCCGUCUAAUUGCAUCUUGUUUCUUUUUCAGUCUAAACCAAAUGAUUCACCCAAUUCACGAAGCUAAUGAAAGCUGCCCAUAUGGAGACCUCACAAGAGAGGAGUUCUACCAGAAGCAUCAGAUUCUCCAUCAGGAGGGCUUUAUGUUGAACAGUCGAAAAAUGAGAAUCUUCACUCAAUCAUGGCGACUGAAUUCAACACACAAUCUGAGAGGGGUAGCAGCAAUGGUUCAUGGCUAUGCAUCCGACAGCGGCUGGCUAACCGAGCUCACUGCAGUAGCCCUUACCAAAUGCGGAUUCUUAGUGUGUGCACUUGAUCUACAAGACCACGGUUUAUCUGAUGGAUUUCCAGGCCAUAUCCCCAGUAUCAAACACGUCAUCCAGGACUGCAUUCACUUCUUUGAUUCUGUAAAACAGGAGUAUCGCAAGUUGCCAGCAUUUUUGUAUGGCGAAUCACUAGGAGGUGCUGUUUCUAUUCUGAUAUGCUUGAAGCAAAAGAAUGAAUGGGAUGGUUUGAUUUUGAAUGGUGCAAUGUGCGGCGUCUCAGCCAAGUUCAAGCCUCCAUGGCCCUUAGAAAAGCUACUUCCUGUGGCUGCAUUCCUCGCACCAACAUGGACAGUAGCGGCUGCAAAACCUGUUGCUAGCAAAUCAUACAAGGAGGAAUGGAAGAGAAGGCUGGCAGCAAAAAACCCGAAUCAACGAGCCUCAGGAAAGCCACCAGCGGCGACUGCUUUGGAAUUUCUGAGGGUGUGCGAGUAUAUUAGACGGCACAGCCAGGAGCUACAGGUUCCGAUGCUAAUGGUGCAUGGCGAAGAUGAUAAGGUAUGUGAUUGUAGGUCCGCUCGGUUAGCGUACGAAUCAGCUUCCAGUCAAGACAAAACAUUGAAGAUCUUUCCUGGAAUGGAUCAUAUGUUGAUUGGUGAAGGCAAGGACAAUGUGGAUCUUGUUUUUGGCACGAUUUUAGCCUGGUUGGGAGAGCGAGCAGACCAGAUCAGACCGGUCUAAAUUUAUUUGCCAGACCUAUUAUUUUUAUUUUUAUACUUAUCUUGCUAUUAUUCUAAGUUUGAAUAAGAUUGAGAAAUAAUAAAAAAAAUAUUUAUUAAAGAAAGUUAUUUGAAUUAUUCGAAAUUUAAUAUAAUUAGUUUACUACCCAACGCUUGGAUGAAUUUUAUUUGUUUAAUUAAAAUAAUUUCUUAUAUUUUAAAAUUAAUGUUUUACUAGCAUAAUGUAUAGGUUUCAUUGUAUGUAUUAUUUAAAUUAUUAUGAAAACUGAGACGGAUUUUAUAAAAUCUAAUUCUUUGAGAACUUGUAGACUUAUUAGAAUAGUUGAAACCCACAUAAUAUAAGUGAAUCUAAAAAAAGAAAAAAAUACAGAUAGAAAAGUAGAAACUUAUAAGGCUAUACUUGUAGACUUGUAGCAAACGGGCAUGCUCAGAAAGAAUAUAUCGAUUACGAAAAAAAAUAUUUUCUCUGGUUGUUAUGGUCAAGUCAAUCCGCUUAUCAUUAUUAAUUGUGAUAGUUCUCGAUUACGAGAUCUGAAAAAUAGAUGUUAAUAAAACGUUCUUGAACGACCAUAUUGAAGAAAGCAUUUAUAAGAUGUAACUCAUCAAAUAUAUAGCUAAAGCAAACAAAUAUAAAUUUUAUAAAUUUCUUAGAUCCAUAUAUGGGCUUAAGCAAACAUUUUACUCAUGGAAUCAAAGAUUUGGUUAAGUGAUCAAAACUUUUUGGGUUUGAGCAAAACGUUGAUGAACCUUAUGUUUGUAAACGUAUUAAAGAUGAAAAUGUGAUCUUUCUCGUUCUAUAUGUCGAUGAUAUUCUACUCAUUAGAAAUUAUGUGGAGAUAUUGUCAUUGGUUAAAAUAUCCUAGGUCUUGUUGGAGAGGCUUAUUCACUUAUAUACAAGGAUAUUAAAAUAGUUAAGGCUUAAAUCAUUGGGUGUAUUAUGAAAGUUGUUUAGUAGAUUCCUUCCUUGAGUAAGGCUCUACAAAGAAAAAAUUAUUAUCUUGAUAUCUAAAUAAUUUCGGUUUCCAUCUUUACUUUAUGAUAUAUUAUACAUUGCUUCGAAGUUUUGCUCAAACAAGUGUUAGAAUACCAAUUUCAACAUCAAAUUAAUCAAUAAUUUUUUAUUGUAAAAUAUUUUAUAUGUUCAUUUUUAAAAAAUUCAUGCGUGAAUUUAGAUAAAAAUUAAAAUAAAGGAAGAUUAUAUUUUUGUAUGGAUAUUAAGAAUUGAAUUUUUUUAUAUUUUAAAUUUAAAUUUAAAUUUAAAUUUAAAUUAUUAAUAUAAUAUAAUAAAAUUUUAUUAUAUUUUAUAAGGUUAUUAAAUUAAUUUAUCAUAUUACAAUUUUGUAAUAGCUGAUAUUUAAAAGAAUUUAGAUAUGAAAUAAAAUGGAGAUUUAUUAGAUUGAAGAGUGAUAUUUGAUAAUUUGAGUUUAUCCAAUAAAGAAGAAAGUUCUAGAAAAAAGUCAAAUUUGUAUAUGAUAAUUAAAGAGGUGACGCGGAUUUAACUUUCAUACGGGGAAACUGGCAUGGUUCAAAAGAUUUUAUUACUUAAUUUGAAAUUAAUGUUUCCACACCUCAUUAAUGGGGAAAACUAGAACUUUUUUAAUUUCUUAUUUGAAUUGCAUUUUCUUUUCUAUACAAAUUCCAUGAGCUUCUCGUGAAUUUGUACACACUUCAUUAUUGAUGCUAUUUUUUUAUUAUAUAAAUAUAGGUUUUGUCUAUUAUUCAAAUGUGUUUAGAGAAGUCUUUAGAACAAAAUGGCGGCCAGGUCACCCUCAAUUUCUUUUUUCUUUCUAGAUGGUUUAUGAGAAGCCUACAAUAUUAUUGUUGUUUUAUUUUAUUUUCUUAAAAUACAUUUGUUUGAAGAUUAUUUGUCAAAAAUGUACCAUUUUUAUAUUAAACGAUAUUGACGUGAAUAUUUUUUUACCAACUUUGACAUUAAUGGGUGCAAAGUAAAAUAUUACUGAGAAAUUUGUAACAACAUUAGUCUAACCUCAAAACCCAAUGCUUAUUUUGCCUAUAAUUAUUUCUUUAAACUUUCAACCUUAAAUAUUUUAUAAACAUCCUUCAAAGUAUUUUUUAAAUCUAUUUAGAUUAUAAUCUUUUAUCCAGUUGGAUUUUGAUCCAACUCUAACAUUAACUAAAGUUUAUAUUCGACUCUCUUAAUUUGCAUGUUUUCCUGAAGCAUUAUCAUUCACAAAUGUUUAAGAUUUUCUUUUUUAUAUGAAGAAAUCUUCUAAGUUAACCGUAGUUUAUCAUAAACCCUAAACUCUAUUUUGGGUUAAUUAGGCAAGAUAAUUUCCCCGCACGCAGAAUGUUUAACACUUAGGGGAGGGGACACUAUGCUAAUAUUCAUUUAAGGUUUUAAAUGAAUUACGCUUAACAUUGGGUUUAAAUAAUUUUGAAUUUAAAAUUUUUCGGAUUCAAGUUUAAAAAUAUCUGAAUUUAAAUUUAAAUUUUUAGAUUUUUCUAUCAUGAUUUAUAUCACAAAUGAAAUUGAAUUCGAUAUAAUUUGAGAUUAAAUUCAAAUUUGUAUAAUAAAAAUUAUUUAAAAUUUAUAGAAUUCAAAACUUUUAAAAAUCAUAUUUAUUGAGAUAAAAGCCUAAAAUCGACCCAACUUAAAAUUUAUUACAUUUUAAACUCAUAAAAAACAAAUAUUAUAAUUGAAAAUUAAAUAAAAAUUAAUAUAAAAAACCAAUGGGGUUGAUUUGCAGCCAAAUUUUAUAGAAGUUUAUUUUUGGAGGGCUAAAAUUAAAUUAUAAAAUUUAAAAAGGACUGAAAUACAAAUUCAUUUUUACAUAUGCUUAUUAUUUUAGAAUUUUAAAAAAUUAAAUUGAAAAUUUUUUAUCUUUGAAAGAGAGAAAAAUGUAUUUUAAAAACUUCAAGAUAUUUUACCAUUUGAGUAGGAUCAAAGUCCCUAUGUACCUUUUUGACGUGUUCCAUCGUAAACCACCCAUAAAACUCUAAAAUAUAAUAUUAUUCUUAUUAUAUUGGAAACGUUUUUCAUGAAAAUAAUAAUGUCUCUCAUUAAUAAAGAAAAAGGACUAGGAAAAAGACAGAAUUUGUAUAAAAGGAGAGAGAAUUCUGAAUGGUUUGUAUUUGAUUUUUCAUAAUUGCCUAUGGCCCUUUACACCAUAUUUAUAGGAAAGAAAAUUGAAAGGAAAUAAAGCUUUAAAAGUUGGUUAAAAUAAAUGGUAAAUUAAACAACAUUAAUUAAACCAAAAUGCCUCGUUUAAAUAGUUCAUUCUGCGCAUCGUUUCAUUAAACAAUUCCUCCCAAAACGCAUCAUUUUGCCGCAGUGAUAUUUUAGCUUGUGACAAAUACCCCUUGCUCGAAAGGGUCAUUGACCUCAAGGAUCAAUGUGUGGGAAUUUCUUAUUGAGUUGCAGCAGGGGCUCCCAUGUUGCAUCUUCUGCAAAUGAGUUUGCCCAUUCUACCAAGAUCUAAGUGAUAGCAGCAUUACCCCGUUUAACCAUCGCCCUUUCUAAAAUCCUAGUAAGUUCAUUUUCCUAAGUCCCUUGCUCAUCGAUUAUUGGCAAUUGUGCUUGAACAGGAGUUGCACCCACAUGUUUCUUCAAUUGUGAUACGUGGAAAGUGGGAUGUACACGAGACCCUUGGAGGAGUUGGAAUUUGUAAACCACCUUCCCAACUUUGCCUUCAACCCGAAAGGGCCUAAAAAAAUUUAGGUGCCAGCUUCUGAUUCAAGAUCCUUCUCACCGUGUGUUGCCUAUAAGGUUGGAGCUUUAAGUAAACAAAGUCCCCAACUUCAAAAUGCCUUUUGGUCUUGUGCUUGUCUGCUUGUUUGUAACACCCCUAACUCAUAUCCAUCACCGGAACAGGGUUACAGAUUAUUAUCGGAGUUUACAAAUUUAAAAAUAAUUUAUACAUAUCAUCUACUAUUCAUAACUGAAAUCAAACAUAGUCAAUCAUAAUGUCCCUUGAAUGGACCUUCGAGACCCAAUUUAUGCUUUAAAAAUAAGUCGGGACUAAAUAGGGAACUUAGAUAAAUUUUCGCAAAAUUUCAAAAUUUUUCUGAAGUGAAAGGGACACAUGUCCGUGUGGGUAGGCCGUGUGAGUGACACGCCUGUGUCUCAAGCCGUGUGGGUACUCGAUGUGAGGCACACAGCCGUAUCCCAGCCUAUGUCCAUACCCGUGUAACUCUCUGACUUGUGUCACAUGGCCUGCCACACCCCCGUGUGCUAGGCUGUGUGGACAAUUUAAUUUUAGAAAAUUAGGUGCAGGGGACACACGGCCAAACCACAUACCCAUGAGCAUGACCAUGUGUCACACACGGCUGAGACACACGCCCGUGUCUCUACCCAUGUGGACAAAAAUAAGUUAUUUUCAAGGCUAUAUUUCUCAACCAUUUUGCCUUCCACCUACAACAACAUUUAAAGACAUUUACCAACUAAUUCAAGACAUUUAAAUCAAGUCAAAUACAAGUAUUAUGCAUGACAUAUCAUCACAUAUGUUCAUGAUUCAAACUUCCCUAAUUGUGUAAUAAUUUACUAAAAUCAAAUUCAACCAUACUAAAUACACAUAUAUCAAUCAUAAUAUAGCCUCAUGCAUAUGAAUACCGAACACAUCAUCACUAACCAUUUCAAUGGCUAUUUACAACCAAAACAUUUCAUCAUUUUGUUUAACAAAGCCUAUACAUGCCAUUAUACCAAAAGUAGUAUUACUAAUUAUACCAAAGUGAGCUGAAGGAUAGUGUGAUGUUGCUCCAACCCACGUCCAAACUUUACGAGCUUCUGAGUACUAUAAAAUAGAGGAAAGAAAAUCAAGUAAAUAUUUAAUGCUUAGUAAAUUCGCGUAACAAGAAUUUAACUCACCAUUCAAGUUCAUUUAAAGUUAACAUACAAAUAACAUGCAUCCAAAGUCAAAUUAACCAAUUGCCUAAACACAUAUAUUUAUCAAGCAAGUUAAUCAUGAAUUCCAAGUACUUUUCAAGUAAUAAUGAUGAGCUCAUCAUAUAAACAUUUCCAUAUAUUUUCAGGUAAAUACAAUUAUUAAUUUAUUUAGUUUUUGUCUUAACUUAUAUCGGAACUUUGCCCAUUGAACGUUAUGAAAAAUCGAUGGAUAUCAGGUAGUAGACAUGAAGUGUACAAAUCUAUAAUUCGUUAAUUCAUAUUCAGGAGUAUUCAUAAGAAUACUUAAACAGGAAGCACUCUCUUGAGCAUAUAAUAGGAAGCUCAUGUGAGCCAUAUAACGGGAAGCUUAUCUUGGCUAUAUAAUAAGAAGCUCAUGCGAGUCAUAAUCGGGAAGUUUAUGCAAGCCAAUAACGGGUAGCUCUGAAGAGCCAUUUAUUGGGGAGCUCCGGAUAGCCAUAUAUCGGGAAGUUCAAGCGAGCUAUAUCGGGAAGCUCACAAAGAGACAUAUACAGGAUGCUCAUAAGAGCUAAGGUAUGUCCACAACACAUGUAGGAUCACAACUUAUCGGGACGCUCUGAAGAGCUUUAACAGGAAGCUCGAGAGGGCUAAUAACAGGAUGCUCAUGAGAGCUAAUAACAGGAUGCUCUUUCGAGUUGUGGUGUGUCUACAACAUAUGCUAGAUCACAACCAAUUGAGAAACUUAUAUCCAUCGAAUUUCAUUAUUCAAAUAGGACUUAACUUUUCUCGGGCAUAUCGGAUAUAAAAUUAUUUUCAUAUACAUAACAAAUUCAUAAAUCACAUAUAUAACAUUUAUUUCAUGCAUAUAAAUGUACACAAUUUAAUUACACGAACUUACCUCAACACUUGCUCUUGUAUGAAAAUCUACUAAUCCGACACUUUUUUUUUCCUCGAUCUAACUCCUUAUUUCGUCCAUUUUGCCCCUAUACUUUUGAUUAAUUCUAAUUUUUAUCCCUAGGCUCAGAAAAUGAAAUUCAUGCAAUUUAGUCCUUAUUCCAAGCCUAGCCAAUUUUUACAUAUAACAUUUACAGCUCAUGUAUUUCACAAAAAUAAAAAUUUUUCCAUGAAUUUUACAUCUUUACAAUUUAGUCCCUAAAUCACAAUUUCAUCAAAACUCACUUUACAAAAGUUGUUUAUCUAUCAACAACCUUUCAUUCUCUACCAUAAAUUUUAAAAUUUUAGCAUACUCAUCCAUGGAAAAAUUUUAAUACUUUGAUAACUUUGCAAAUUGAUCCCAAAAUAGAUAGAUUAGGUUAUUACGAUAUUAAAAAUGUAAAAAUUACUAAAAACGGGACAUGAUUACUUACCCAAUUAAGCUUGCUUGAAUUUCUUUCUCUUAGCUAGGGUUUCAUAGAAAAUUUGGGGAAGAUGAUAUAAAAUGAUGAUAUUUUCUAUUUAAUUAAAAUAUCAUCUUUUAUUAUUUCCUUUUUCUAAUUUAGUCCUUUUCUUUCUUAAAUUUCAAUGGAUGAAUCAUCAUAAAUAUUUACUAACCCUAAUUAAUGGUCUAUUUACCAUAUAAGGACCUCAAAAUUUGAAUUUCAUAGCUAUUUGAUCAUUUUAGUUACUAGAAUUCAAGUUUUGUACUUUAUGCAAUUUGGUCAUUUCCUCCUAAUUAAACAUGAAAUUGGUAAAAUUUUCUUAACGAAAUUUUCAUAUGUUUUUCCUAUCAUAAUGCAGACCAUGUAAUAAUGUUAAAAUAAUUUUUCUUUCUGACUCGGAUUUGUGGUCCCGAAACCACUAUUCCAAUUUCACUGAAAAAAUAUUGUUAUAUUGUUUUAUUUUAUCUUGGGAUCUUUUCUAAUGAAAUUCUAGCAGUUUCCUCACAACCUAUAUCUGUUUUAGUUCUUUAUCCACAGUAGCUACCAUGGAUGCUCCAGCUAAGUGAGGCAUAUAUAAGGGAGGGGUUUGCCCAUACAAUGCUUUAUAUGGAGUGACUUGGAUAGCUGAGUGAAAGGUGGUGUUGUACCACCCUUCGGCUAAAAGGAGCUACUUUUUCCAAUCUUGGGACCUUUCUCCUAUCAUACACCUGAAGUACCCCUCAAGACACUUGUUUACUACUUACGUUUGCCUAUUUGUUUCUGGGUGAUAUGCUGUGGACAGUUGGACCUUGGUACCUACCCUCUUAAAGAUAACUUGCCAAAAAGCACUGACAAAGAGCUUAUCCCUAUUUGAAAUUAUGGAGUCUAGCAUCCUAUGCAGCCUAUACACAUUAUCCAUGAAUUCUCAAGUCAUAACUAUAGUAGUGAAGGGGUGUUCCAUGGCUACAAAAUGAGCAUACUUAGUGAGGCGGUCAACCACCACAAAUAUGACACUCUUGCCUCUGAAGUUUGGAAAGCCCUCGAUGAAGUCCAUGGAGAUAGAAGACCAAGCUCUGUCUGGAAUUGAGAGUGGCUGUAGAAAGCCUGAGGGUGCUAUUGUUUCUGACUUGCAUUUUUUACAUAAUCUCUUGACAUCAGUGGUGAGGCUCUUCCAGUAUUCAAGGCUUGUCAGUCUCUUUUUAGUUGUGUUUACCAUCGAAUGUCCCCCUAGAAUGUUGUCAUGGAAGAGCUGAAAUAAUUCCUUUCUGAGGCCGGUAACACUUCCCACCAUAAUCUUCCAUUUUCUUCUGAGAAACCUACCAUCCCAAGAGUAUUUUAGAUGUUUGGAACCUUGCUAUUGGACCUCUGAACAUAACCUUCGAGCCUUAGGAUCCACUAUAUAGGAAGCUUGCACUCAAGCCAACAAGUUAGAACUGAUAGUACUUCUAGUGAGCUUUAAAGAUUGCCCUUCUUUCAGUGCUUGAUCAUUGAUAGUACAUUUGCAGCCAAGUUACCAGACCCUUUGUCUGUAGAUUAUUUCAUAGUUAUACCCAAGUAUAUUUGCGACCCACUUUUGUUGGAAAUAAGUAAUGACAAUUUAAUCAAUAAAAAACUAAAAGCUUUGCUGGUCAGUUUUGAUUUUGAACGCCCACCAGAUAAGAAUGGCACUUUCUUACUGCUAGAAGUACAACCAACAUUUCUUUCUCAUAUAUGAAAAGGGCUUGAUGCCUUAUUGCCAGUCCCCUAUUGAAGUAUGCCAUUGGUUUACCUUGCUGUUGAAAAACUCCCUUCACCCUAUAUCCUGAGGCAUUCGUUUCCACACAGAAAUCCAUGUUGAAAUUAGGUAGAGCCAAGACCAGUACUAAGCAUAAAGCUUGCUUUAGUUGCUUAAAGGCAGCAUUGGCUUGCUCACUCGACCCCCAAGUAUUUUUCUUAAGCAAAUUAGUGAGAGGCCUGGCAAUAACACUAUAGUUCCUUAUGAACAUUCUAUAGUAACUUGAGAGCCUUAAGAAGCCCCUCAACUCCUUGAUUGAAGAAGGGAUAGGCCAAGCUGCUUCACUUUCCACCUUGGUCUUGUCCAUAUAGAAAGUCUCAUUGAAGAUGAUAUGCCCCAAAUACUCCACUUGACUUGUUUCAAAGGAGUAUUUACUCUUUUUAACAAAAAGUUAGUGUCGUCUUAACAGCUCAAAAACCUCUCUCAAAACAAGAAUAUCAUCAAAGAAGACCAAUAUUGUUUUCCUCAACAAUAGUCUAAAUAUGGUGUUCAUCAGCCCUUGGAAGGUAACAAAGGGCUUGGUGAGCCCAAAGGGCAUUAUCAAAAACUCAUAAUGGCCCUCAUGCAUUUUAAAAGUUGUCUUGGAAAUGUUGGCUUCAUGAAUUCGGAUAUCAUGGUAACUAGGUUUCAAGUCCAGCUUGGAAAAAGCUCAUCCAACAAUUAUUCGAUAAUAGGUAUGGGAAACCUAUCUUUGAUUGUUAGCUAGUUAAGGUGCCUAUAAUAAACACAAAGCCUCCAGGUUCCAUAUUUUUUCUUAACCAUACCCACAAGUGAAGCAAAAGGGCUAGAUAAAAUUAUAAAAUUUUAAAAAGUUAAGAGUCUAAGAUUUUGUGUUAAAAAAAAUACAAAUUGAAUUAUUAAAUUUUAAUGAAAGCCAAAAAAAUAAAAAAAUUUAUUUCCUUUCCUUAAAAGGUUAAUAUUUAAUAUAUUAAAACUUUUUUUUCAAUUUUAUAAACAGAAUUAAAAAAUACAACAAAUAUUUAAAUUUUAAACUGUUUGAAAUCGAAAAACAAAUGUUAGUAAAUAGGGACAAAGUCAGAAAUUUUUUUUUGAAGAGAGUCAGAGAUUAAAUUAUGUAUUUUAACAAUAGUAAAAAUAUAAUUUUAUUACUUUAAUUGUUUAAUCUUUAUAAUUUAAAAAAAUAAAUCAAUUUUUUUAUGAAAGAAAAUUUUCAAAAAACCAGGCGAAUAUCAGCCACUCACAUGAAAACAAAUAUCCACAAAUAGAGCUGAUCAUGGGCCGGGCAGCCUGGCCCGACCCGAAGGCCCGCCCGAAAAAUAGGAGAAUUUGGGUAAAAAUAUAGGCCCGAAAAAUGGGCUUGGGCAAAAAAACGAGGCCCGUUUAGAAAACGGGCCGGGCCUCGGGUAAGAGUUUUUUGGCCCAGCCUGAAUUAUAAAUUAAUAUAUAUUUUUUUAUUUUUUAAAAUUAUUUUAAAUUUUUAAUAUAACUAUUUUUUAUUAUAUUGUUAAUUUGUGUAUUGUUUUAAGAAUUAUUUUAGUAUUAUUUUUAUUUGUUUUAAUAUUUGUUUUUAUGUUUUUAAAUAUAUUUGAUUUAUUAUAUUUUUAAUUUUUUUUAUUUAAUAAAAUAAGAAAAAAAUUUAAUAUGGGCCGGGCCGAACUCAGGCUUAGUAAUUUUAUUUCGAGCCGGGCUUGGACAAAAUUUUAGGCCCAUAUUUCGGGCCGAGCCCAGGCCUAAUAGACGGGCUUAAAAUUUUAUCCCAGCCCGGCCAUGAUCACCUCUGUCCACAAAUGUCAUUAUCGUAAUCCAUGAGAACCCAAACACCAUCGCCCCGCAAAUCUCACAAGACAAAUCGUCAUUCAGAACGCCAAACACCAUAAAAGCAAGCUAUAACCAUAGUCCAUAAGACCCACACGCUACGUUCCAAAUGCUGCACACACAAAACAACACAGCACAACAAACUCUACGAACAUAACAAAAUCAACGAAAAUUAGACAGCCAAAAUUUUCAUUUAACUAACGUGUUAAAUUUGACGUAAUUGUAUGAUAUUUUUAGAAAAUUUAAAUGCGUAGCUUUUUUCUAUUUAUUCAAUUAUAACCACCAAAUGUAUUCGUAUCAUCAGCGAAAUCAGAUUAGGACACCAGUAUAAAAUUUAAAAACAUUGGGAAUUCAAACUAAUUAUUUUUAGUUUAAAUUAAAUUAUUAAUUUUUAAAAAUGGUCAAAAAUGGAAAAUUUUAUUUAACAACUAAAACUAAGAUUUGACGGUCAGCAUGCCCGGCCCGUGGCUUCCUAUAUAUAUUGUACAAGGACUCGUUCCAAUGUAAAGAGUAGUAAAUUAAGUAGGAGAAUACAAGGAAAGGAAACAUUGGCGGUGAGGAGGAGUGAGAGAAUGAGCAGUGAGAAGAGCAAAAUUCUGAUUUUCGGUGGCUGCGGCUACCUUGGCAAAUUCAUGGUGAAGGCAAGCGUUUCCCUGGGCCAUCCCACAUUUGUCUACACUCGCCCUCUCAACCCACAUCCUCCCAACGCUCCUACUUCCAAGUUUCUUCUUCUCAAGGAUUUUGAAUCCGUGGGAGUCACCAUUUUCUAUGUAUUUUUUUUUAUUUCCUAUUCUUUUUAAAAAGAAAAUCCGAAAUAAUCAGCAUUUAUCAUCAAACUGAGAAUGAAAACUUUUUCCUUGUAUAUUGAUUUUUAUUAUAGGGGGAGCUUGAUGAGCAUGAGAAGCUAGUUUCAGUGCUUAAACAGGUUGACGUUGUCAUCUCCACAUUAGCAGUCCCACAACAUCUUGACCAAUUCAAAAUAAUAAAAGCCAUCAAAGACGCUGGCACAAUUAAGGUUACUUACUGCUCCUAAUUGAUCAAACCCAAUAUUCCAAAUGUUAUAUCUGUUUAUACUCAGUUGAUGAUGUUUUAUCGAAAAUUAAUAAUCAAUUAAACUUUCAAAAUUAACAUUUUCGUAAAAGCCUUUAAACGUAGUGGAUGACGUGACAAAAACGUAUUGACGAAUGGGAUCUAAAGAUUGAUAUUUUUUAUUUAUGAGUUCUUUUUUUUUAUAACAUUUAAGCAAUAUAUAUAUAUAUAAGGCUUAAAUGGUAAAAUAUAUUACAUGUAACCCCUCCUGAAACGGGAAGAAGCCGCGGAGCUGUAUUUGUUAUUUGAUGGCAUAGUGAUGUUAAAUUUUAAGUGCGUUAAAUUAUGGUGAAAAUUGUAGAGGUUUGUGCCAUCAGAAUUCGGAAAUGAAGUGGACAGAUCAAGAAAUGCACUUCCACCAUUUGAAGCUUUACUUAGCAACAAAAGGAAGAUCAGAAGGGCAGUUGAGGAAGCUGGAAUCUCAUUCACUUACGUAGCUGGAAAUUCAUUUGCAGCCUAUUUUGUUGACCUCAUUCUUCAUCCUCAUCAGAAUCCUUCAGAAGUUAUGGUUUAUGGAACUGGGGAAGCCAAGGGUACGUAAGCUUAGCUAAAUUUAGAAUUUUAAAACAGAUAAAGAGUCUAGAAAAUUAACAAAUUCAUGCAUGUUAUGCAUGCAGUUGUGUUAAACUAUGAGGAAGAUGUAGCAACCUAUACUGUAAAAGCAGCGACAGAUCCAAGGGUAGCCAAUCGUGUUAUCAUAUAUAGACCGCCAGGAAAUAUUGCUUCUCAGUUGGAACUCAUUUCUGCAUGGGAGAAAAAGACUGGCCGGACUUUGAAAAGAGUUUAUGUUCCUGAGGAGGAACUCGUGAAGCUCUCUGAGAGUAAGCCCGCCUUCGUUUCAUUUUCGUUUCAUGUUAUAUAAUAUUAUGAUGUAACUUAAUUUUGUAUACACAUAUUGUGUUUAGCCUUGUCUUUCCCGGACAACAUUCCGGUGGCGGUUUUACACAACAUAUUCGUAAAAGGAGAUCAAAUGAGGUAUCAAGUGACGGAAGAAGAUUUGGAGGCCUCCAAGCUUUAUCCUGACUAUAAUUAUACUUCCAUUGAUAAGUAUCUUGAUGUAUGCUUGGUUGACCCUCCUAACCCCAAAUUAGCUGCUUUCGCUUGAUCCCCACCUACGCAUAUGUAUUUCUCAUUUUGGAAUUACAAAGAUAGGUUGUUCCAUGGUCGGUUCGGUUGAAUUUGGAUGUCUCAUGGUGGUGUCGUUUUGUUCUUUCUCAUGGAGAAAUCAUCUAAUUAUUUCUCCGACUUACCAUGAACGUGUUGUUAAGACCGGGAGAAACUGCAAUAAAGCCUGAAGUUUUAUUAAGUCCGAUGUUAGGGAUUAUGAAUGGAGUUUUUGUUGUUCCAAUAGGGUCGGAAGCGUGUAAAUUAUUGUACUAAAAAAUCACACAAAGUUCAAUUCCCAGGGAAGAGAGGUGGAUCACAUGGAUCUCUUAAAUACCAAGUCUUUCCUUAGUCAGAAUAUCCCUUCUAUAGUAAUUUAAUAGCACAAUUAAAUACUACUAUUAUACCCUCAAAUAUUGAAAGAAAAAUAGGACAAAAAGAACAUAAGAGUUUUAACGAGGUUCGGUAAAUUAUACCUACGUCCUCGGGCACUAACACCAGAUGAUAACUUUACUAUCUCCAAAAUAUUACAAACAAAUAGAAUUCCUUAAGAAUUCUCAAAUGGGAGAAGAGAGAAAACUAAGAGAGAAAGAUUGGUUGGGAUGAAUUGAAAUGAGAAAUGAGAAGGCCUAUUUAUAGUUGAGGUUUAAGGACCAAACAAUAAAUAGCUCAUUAUCUCAAGGACCAAAAAAAAAUUAUCCCAUGCCACUUUUUCAAAGUCAACUUUAGGGUGCUAAACUUGCACCACUUUGUAUUGUUUGCCAUUAAUGUUGUCUCCCAUUAAUGUUAACAAUCUCCACCUUGAAGAUUUGAUUAGGAUAAUCACAUCUUCACACACUUCCUUCAACUCCCCAAAUUCGAUAAAGCUAUCUUUUGUAGUGCCUACAAAUGCACUCUCGAGCGCCAUACACCUGAAGGUGCUCAAAUUCUCAGGAUGUUAAUCAAGUUCAAACAAUGAUUAAACUUGAUUGUUGUUACCACCUUGGUCAUCAUAUCUGCGGGAUUAUCUGCUGUUGGAAUCUUCUGAAGUAGAAUUUUUCCUUUUUCAAAGACUUCCCGCACAAAGUGAUAUCUUACGUCGAUAUGUUUGGUUCUUGAAUGAUAGACUUGAUUUUUCGCUAAAUGAAUAGCGCUCUGACUGUCACAAUAUAAACUUAUGUGACUUUGAACAACUCCUAAGUCUUUCAACAAUCCAUUAAGCCAAAUAGCCUCCUUAACAGCUUCUGUAACUGCCAUAUAUUCUGCCUCUGUAGUAGACACAACUACUGUAGACUGUAAGGUAGACUUCCAACUCACUGGGGCUUUCGCAAGAGUAAACAGAUACCCCGUAGUUGAACGACGUUUAUCUAAAUCACCAGCAAAGUCGGAAUCAACAUAUCCAACUACAAACUGACCAAGUGCUUCAUCCUGUUCAAAAAUUAAACCAACAUCUACGGUUUUUCGAAGAUACCGUAGAAUCCAUUUCACAGCUUGCCAAUGUCCUUUUCCAGGAUCAUGCAUAUACCUGCUCACAACUCCAACAGCUUGUGAAAUGUCAGGCCUCGUACACACCAUCGCAUACAUCAAACUCCCAACUGCAUUAGCAUAUGGGACUUUCGCCAUAUAUUCUCUUUCUUCUUCAGUUUUCGGAGAUAAUUGAGCACUAAGUUUCAAAUGAGAAGCAAGUGGGGUACUUACAUGUUUUGUGUUUUCAUUUACACCAAAACAUUGUAAUACCUUUUUCAGAUAUUGCUUCUGAUUCAAACAAAGCUUGCCUCUCUGUCUAUCUCUACUUAUCUCCAUGCCGAGAAUCUUCUUGGCCUCACCUAGAUCUUUCAUCUCGAACUCUUGAUUCAACUGAGCCUUCAGCUUAUCUAUCUCAUUUUGGCUAUUCGAAGCGAUUAACAUAUCAUCAACAUACAAGAGUAGAUAAAUGAAAGAUCCGUCAUGCAGCUUCUGCAAAUAUACACAAUUGUCAUAUUUGCUUCUUGUGUACUUCUGCCUUUUCAUAAAGCUAUCAAAUCGCUUGUACCACUGCCUCGGGGAUUGCUUCAAUCCAUAUAGCGAUUUGUUAAGCUUACAAACCCAAUUUCUACCACCAGCAUCUGUGUAUCCUUCUGGCUGAGUCAUAUAGAUCUCCUCUUCUAACUCACCAUACAAGAAAGCCGUCUUAACAUCAAGUUGAGCUAGCUCCAAAUUCAACUGUGCUACCAAGGCCAACAAAAUUCUAAUGGAGGAAUGCUUCACAACAGGGGAAAAUACAUCAUUGUAGUCAAUUCCCUCCUUCUGAGCGUAGCCUUUAGCUACCAAUCUUGCCUUGUAGCGAAUAUCCUUCUUGCUAGGAGAUCCAUCUUUCUUUGCGAAUACCCACUUGCAUCCGAUUGCCCUUUUACCUUUCGGUAAUUGCGCCAACUCCCAAGUAUUGUUCUUCCGGAGAGACUGCAUUUCUUCAUCCAUGGCGCUUUUCCAUUUAUCACUUUCUAAGCUUUGCAUUGCUUCUUGAUAAGUGAUAGGAAUAUCAUCAACAACAGGAAGGGCGUAGGCCACCAUAUCAAUAAAUCGAGUAGGUUUACGAAUUUCUCUCCGUGGCCUUGCAACUGCAACUGGUUCUGGUGUACUUAGUGGUUCUUGGGUCAGAACCUCUUCAACCUCUAAUUCCUCCAUUGUGGCUGGAAAAUUAGACUUAUUAACUAGGCAAAUCCCCAUUUGCUCAAACUCCACCUGUUUUGGAGUACACUCCACCUGCUGUGGAGUAUUGCUCAUCUGAAUAUCUUUAUCUGCUACCUUUUUCAAUGUGGCAGAUUCAUCAAAGGUAACAUCUCUGCUACAGAUCAUUUUCUUUGUGCUUAAGCACCAAAGACGAAAUCCCUUCACUCCAGAAGUGAUUCCCAUAAAGAGAGCUUUCUUUGCCCUCGGAUUUAACUUUGACUCCUUCACAUGGUAAUAUGCAGUGGUUUCAAACACAUGUAAGGAAUCAUAAUCUGUAGCCGGUUUUCCAGACCAUACCUCCAUAGGAGUUUUUCUUUCUAAUGCAGAUGAUGGCAAACGAUUAACAAGAUGGCCAGCGUAUGUCACAGCCUCAGCCCAAAAUUGCUUGCCUAACCCAGCAUUGGACAACAUACAUCGAACUUUCUCCAGCAAUGUUCGAUUCAUACGCUCUGCCAAUCCAUUCUGCUGUGGUGUAUCCCUAACUGUGAAGUGUCGAACAAUACCAUACUCUUGGCACACAUCGAAGAACGGAUCACUUUUAUAUUCCCCUCCAUUUUCCGUCCUAAGCCGCUUGAUUUUCUUGCCAGUCUGGUUUUCGAUCAUAGUUUUCCAUUUAAGAAAAACUCUAAGCACUUCAUCCUUAAUUCUCAUGGUAUACACCCAAACUCUUCUGGAAAAGUCAUCAACAAAAGUAACAAAGUAGUGUUUUCCUCCCAAUGAAGGUGUCUUGGAAGGCCCCCACACAUCUGAGUGAACAUAUUCCAAAACACCUUUUGUAUUAUGGAUAGCAGUACUGAAUUUCACUCUCUUUUGCUUUCCCAGAAAACAAUGCUCGCAAAAUUUUAAUUUGCAAGCCUUUGCACCUUUCAACAAUCCUUGCUUUGCCAGAAUUUGCAAGGAUUUUUCGCUGGCAUGUCCUAACUUCAUAUGCCACAACUGCAUUGAGUCCAAUUCUUUGUUACCGGAAGCUGUAGCGACUGCUCCAAUAAUUGUACUACCUUGGUAGUAAUACAAGUUAUUUUUCCUGAUGCCCUUCAAUAUCACAAGUGCGCCAGAUGUCACUUUCAAAAUCCCAUCUCUCAUAGUAACAACUGAACCAUUGGAUUCCAAGGCUCCUAAUGAGAUGAGAUUUUUCUUCAAACUGGGCACGUACCGAACAUCAGUCAGAACUCUGGUUGAUCCAUCUUGAUUCUUUAAUUGGAUUGAACCUAUCCCAACAGUUUUACAGGCAUUGUCAUUGCCCAUAUAAACAACUCCUCCAUUUAGUUCUACUAAAUCAGAGAACCACUCUCGGUUAGGGGACAUAUGAUAGGUACAACCCGAAUCCAAUAUCCACUCAUCUGAAUGGAACGACGAUGAUGAUGCAACCAGUGAUAGUUCAGAGUCACUAGUAUCAUGCUUAGCAACACAAGCAUCUACAGCAGCUUUUCCCUUAUUCUUCAGCUUUGGACAAUUUUUCUUCCAGUGGCCUUUCUCAUGACAAAAAGCACAUUCAUCUUUCCCGAGUCUGGACUUUGACUUUGAUCUCCCCUUUGAGUUUUCUUUCGAGUGUAUGAACGACCUCGGACUACUAAAGCUUCUGUAUCUCUAAUUGAGUUUUUCUGUUUGUCCUUCUUUCUCUGUUCAUAACUGUAUAAGGCCGUACAGACUUCGCUCAGAGAUAUAUCACUCCUGCCAUGAAGUAGAGUAGUUUCUAGGAACUCAAACUCCUCAGGAAGUGACCCCAACAGCAUCAAAGCCAAAUCUUCAUCUUUGAAUGUCUCAUCCAUAUUCAGCAAAUCAGUGACUAACUGAUUAAAUUUGGUGAUAUGAUCAUUCAUUGUGGUACUUGGGACGUAAGUGAAGCGAAACAGUCUUUUCUUCAAGUGGAGCUUAUUUUGACUGUUUUUCUUCAAAAAAUUUUCUUCAAGUGCCACCCACAACUUAUUUGCAGAAGUCUUCUUUGAAAAAGCAUACCUCUGCUCUCGAGAAAGGCAUGAUCGAAUUGUGCCACAUGCCAACCGAUUGAUCGCCUUCCAAUCUUUCUCCUGUACAUCAUCUGGUUUCUCUUCAUCAAUGGCAAUGUCUAGACCCUGCUGAAAAAGGGCAUCUAGAACCUCACUUUGCCACAUACCAAAAUGGCCCGUGCCAUCAAAGAUCUCCACGGCCAAUCUUGCAUUUGCAAUUGUCGGUCUUGUCCACAUGGACGAUGUUGAAGCUCCUACACCGACCGUUUUCUCCAUAAUCUUUCAAUAUACCUAAGGAAAUCUUUUCUGAUAUGGAAGAUCAGUUUAAACUGCAACCACAGAGCAUACUACGAUUAACCUUCGGCUCUUGAUACCACUUGUUGUUCCAAUAGGGUCGGAAGCGUGUAAAUUAUUGUACUAAAAAAUCACACAAAGUUCAAUUCCCAGGGAAGAGAGGUGGAUCACAUGGAUCUCUUAAAUACCAAGUCUUUCCUUAGUCAGAAUAUCCCUUCUAUAGUAAUUUAAUAGCACAAUUAAAUACUACUAUUAUACCCUCAAAUAUUGAAAGAAAAAUAGGACAAAAAGAACAUAAGAGUUUUAACGAGGUUCGGUAAAUUAUACCUACGUCCUCGGGCACUAACACCAGAUGAUAACUUUACUAUCUCCAAAAUAUUACAAACAAAUAGAAUUCCUUAAGAAUUCUCAAAUGGGAGAAGAGAGAAAACUAAGAGAGAAAGAUUGGUUGGGAUGAAUUGAAAUGAGAAAUGAGAAGGCCUAUUUAUAGUUGAGGUUUAAGGACCAAACAAUAAAUAGCCCAUUAUCUCAAGGACCAAAAAAAAAUUAUCCCAUGCCACUUUUUCAAAGUCAACUUUAGGGUGCUAAACUUGCACCACUUUGUAUUGUUUGCCAUUAAUGUUGUCUCUCAUUAAUGUUAACAGUUUUACCCUGUUGGUUUUGAUUUACACUAUGAUAAAGAUGUAUAUGGUUGUUGACUUUUAAAAUAUUUUAAAUAAAAUUUCAUUUUGAUUGAGAUAUAAUAUUAAUUCUAGUUAAAUUUGCAAGUGCUGUUGAGUGUUUUCCAAAGUAAUAUAUGUAUGGUAGUGGGUAGGAGUUUUUAAUCGGUUAAUGGACCCGAAAUAAUAUUAAUUGAAUUAACUGACCCUUCAAAAUUUUUAACUGUUAACCGAACUGAAAUUUUUUCGGUUAAUUCGGUCAAUUAAACGAAUUAACCGAAAAUAAUAUAUUUUUUAAUUUUUGGUUAAAAUAAGUAUAAAAUUAACCGAAUUAACCGAAUUACCAGAAUUACCCAAAUUAACCGAAUUAACAGAAUUAUUUGUAUAAAAUUAUAUGUUUUUUAUUUUUAUUUUUAGUUUUAGAUUUUUAUUUUUAUUUAUUAAAUUAUUUGUAAUUUUUAUGAUUGGGUUGGGUACUUUGGUUAAUAUAUAUUAGAUUGAGUAUUUGGGUUUAUGUUGGAUUAGGUUUGAAUAGUGGGCUAUUUAUAUAUUAUAAUUUUAUUUAUUAAUUUUUUCGGUUAAACUAAAAAAUUCGGUUAACCGACCGGUUUCGAACCGAAUUAACCGUUAACCGAAAAUUUAAAAAAUUAUUAACCGAACCUUGACUGAAUUAAUUCGGUUAAUCAACUGAUUAAUCGAAUUCGGUUGGUUAACUGAAUUUUUUUUAUUUUGCCCAAAUUUUGCACACCCUAAUAGUGUGCAUCCGCAAUACCAAUUGGGGCGUAUCAUUCCCAUAUCUGCAAUACCAAUUGGCGCGUAUCAUUCCCAUAUCUGCAAUACGAUAAUAUUAUACUCCUAAACUCUUUUAAAAGUCACACAUACAUCAUCCAAUUAUAGUUUGAAGUUAAUAACUUACUCAAAUUUUAGAUAAAAGAAGCAACAUAAUGUUACUGCUCAAAUUAUGUUUUUAUCUUUAUAUUAUAUUUAAUUUAAAGACUUAAACAACAUACUUUAACUUAUUCAAACUUAAUUUUAUUUGGGUUCAUUCACUUUAGGUACAUAAAAAUAAUUUAACACAUACAUCAACCAAUUAUAGUUUGAAGUUAAUAAGUAAGUUUUAGAUAAAAGGAAGCAACAUAUGUUAUAUUGGUCAAAUUAUGUUUUUAUCUUUAUAUUAUAUUUAAUUUAAAGACUUAAACAACAUACUUUUAACUUUUUCAAACUUAAUUUUACUUGGGUUCAUUCACUUUAAAUACAUAAAAAUAAUUUAACGCAUACAUCAUCCAAUUAUAGUUUGAAGUUAAUAACUUAUACAAAUUUUAAAUAAAAGAAAGCCACAUAUGUUAUUGGUCAAAUUAUGUUUUUAUCUUUAUAUUAUAUUUAAUUUUGAAGACUUUAACUUAUUCAAACUUAAUUUUGUUUGGGUUCAUUCACUUUAAAUACAUACAAAUAAUCUAAAUUCAGAAACUAUCAUUAUUGCAACGCAAUCAAACUAAUAUUAUAAGAUAGUGUUUGGAAAGCUGCCUAUUAAUUAUAUUUGAUGUAAUUGUUUAUUAAUUACAGACAUGUUUGAAUAACCAUUAUAAUUGGCAAGUCACAUCAAUUUUUAUGUAAUUGAAGCAUCCCAAUUAUACUUUCCAAUUUUUAGAGGGAGGGUUAGAAUUAGAGUAAUUACAUCCAAAUCUAAUUUUUUUAAAAAUAUUUUUAUACAGGUUAUAAAAAUAAUAUUAGAAGCAUGAACAUGUAUGAGUAUUUGGGAUAGUUAUAAAAAAAUUUCUUAUAUUAUAAAUCCUAAAAAAUAUAUUAUAAAAAUCUUUUUUGUAUUUUAUAAAUGUAUAACAAAAAGUUAUAUUAUUUAAAUCCUAAAAAAUUGGCUAAAAUUUUAUUUAUAUAUAAAAAGUUAUGAUCAAGUAUGGACAUAAUUUAUUUAUGUGUUCAUGCUAUAUAUUAUAAAAUAAUAUAAUUAUUCAUAAAAAAAUGUUAUAGCUUUUUUAUUAUAACUUAUUUAUAAAAAUAAUUUUCUAAAUUUAUGAAAAUAUUUUUUUUGUAAAAAUGUUAAAAAAGUUUUGGAUAAUUUAUUAAACUUUUUUUUAUAAAUAUUAUAUAUUAUAAAAUUUCUAUUAUUUUUAAUUAAUUUGUAUAUUAUAAAAAAUGAUUUAACCUAAUAUAAGUUUUCUCCAAAUUAAGUUUUUAUAAUUAAAACUAUAAAUUAUUUUGACUGUGAACUCAAAUAUUAUAAGGUGGAUGCUAAUUAUGUAAAUAAAAAAGGUUUUAUUGCACCAUAUCUAGGAUAUGGUACCAUUUUAGAUAAUGUUGCAAGACACAAGCACUAUAAAUAACUCACAAACUCUUUAAUUUGAGACAUUCAAGAUUUCAAAAUGUGAUUGAGAAACAUUUGUUGUCCUAAACAAACAUUUAUCAUAUUAACAACAUCACUUUCGUAUAACAUAAAAAUUAAUGUUGAAUCGAACUAGUUUGUUGCAUAUUUCAUAACUUCAAUCAUAGAAGGAAUUGAAACAUUCCACAUUUUGGAAAGUACAUAGAAGAAAGAAAUCUUGAUAAAUUUAAUGAUGCAGAUUCAAAUUCAGCUGAUGAUGAUGAUGAUGAACUUAGUUAGUGACUAACAUAUGGUUAUAAAGAGCAUAUGCUAAAUAUUAAAGAGAGAAUAACCCAACAAAUACGCGCUAAAACAAUUAGAUAAAGUUGCAUAUGAUGUUUAUUUUUCUUUCUAUUUUUAUUAGUAAUCAUAUUAUCAACUAUUUUUUUAAACUAACAUAAUAUAUAUAAUUAUUUGAUUUUAAUAUUUGUUACUUGUUUAGAAUUUAUUUUUAUCAUACUAAUAAUUUUUUAUAGUAAUUAAUAUUUUUAAAAAUAUAAAUUAUGCAACUGUGUAAUUAUAAUUGGUAUCACCAAACAUGACUUAAAGAAUUACAACAUAAUUACAUUUUGUCAGCUAAAUAUAUCUAAAAAUUACAAUUCUUUGUAUUGUAAUUAUUAUCCUAUUAAUUACUAUUUUAUUUAAUUGUUCUGUAUUAUUUAAAUAAAUCGAAAUAAAUAUUAGGUGGAAGAGGAACUUGAUGCUAAUAUUAUACAAAUUCAAGGUUGGGGGCUUAUUCCUUUUUACACAUAAAGUAAUAUAAAAUCAUGAAUGAAAUUCUAGCUUUUACAACAGAAAAAUAAUUCACAAGUUUUAGAAUCAUAAUUCAGAUACAUGCUUUUUUAAUAUGUAAAUAUUGUUGGAUUCAACUUAAUUUAAGUUUUAGUAUCAGUAAGCAAUAAUUUUAGAGUUAACCUUUGGCACAUUAGCAACAUAUUUUUUAAAUUUCACAAAUAAAUUUUAAAAAAUUAUCAUAUAUCUCAAUAUAUAUAUUUAAUAUUUUACUAUAUAUUAUAGCAUACUUAUCAUCUGUUCUUAAAAUAAAAAAAUUUCACUUCUUUUUAAGUCUUAACCUUAACUAUUUUCAAGUUUUGGGUUAAUUUUUUUAAUUUUCAAGUUUUGGGUUAAUUUUUUUAAUCCUAUAAAAUAAUCUAAAUUCAGAAAUUAGAACUCUUACAACAUGAUCAAACUACUUCAAAUUAACCCAUAAUUCAUACACGUUUUUAACCCAUAAACAUCAUUGAAUCUAACUUAUAUAAGGCAUCUGUUUCUACAAACAACGAAAAAUUGUUCAGAAAUUAGGCCAUGAUGAUGACAACGAUUGUGUGUGUGAUUUCACACGUUAAAGCUCCAAUUGCUAUUAAGGACAAAAUAGGGUUUCAACAUCAAAAGUAUGUAUCAGAUGACACCUUGUUUUAAUUAAUGCUUUGCCUUGUAAGAUUUCCAUUUUUUUUUUCUCCUCCCUUCACUUGUUCAGGAAAAGCUUAGACAUUAAGUUUUCCUUUUCAUGUAGCCAAACGUAUGAAGAACUAAUAAUUUGGUUUACUUUAUUUAAGCUUCUAAAAAAUUCAUGUUUUUCUUAAGUUGUUGAUCGAAAUAAUAGACGAUGAAAACAUAAAUUUAAAUUUAAAAAAAAUGUGUUUAUUAAAUGAGCUUUGCAUGUAAUAAAAAAAAAUAGUUGGAGAGAUACGACCUUGUUCGCUUGGCUAAAUGCAAGAAUUUUUUUUAGCCCCUCUCAUAAAUUAAAACAUUAAAUUUAAAUAUUCGUAGUUACUUUCAUAGAAUAUCAUUGUAAGACCCAAAAUUUGCCUGGGCUCGAAGAAAAAAACCAAAAUUAUUAAACGUUUAGAGUCCAAUUACAUCAGCCCAAAUCUACCUAUUUUUACAACCCAAAACCUAAGACCUGACCCAAAGUUACACGGCCCAACAAGCCCAACAACAUUAAGCACUCAAAACCCUAGCCCCGUUCGCUCAGCGCCGCAGCAGCCUCCAGCGCCGUACAAGCCUCCAGCGCCUCCGUACACCAUACACCUCCACGCGCCACGCACACCUGCAAACAGACAAGGAAAACAGCAACAAAUACAAACAAAGAAAAUGUUGUAUUUUGAUUUAUUUUUCCUCUCUCUUUUCGGAUAUAAAGCCAGAUUUUAACCUUGUAAUCGACGCGCACAGAGAGAACGCGAAUACCAAGCAAUCAAAGAAAGCAAAUAUUUUUUUUGAAGGUGGUUCACUCUUUUUCUCUCGAAUUUUCCUCUUUCUUUUUUUUUUAAUUCGUUAUACGAAUAUAAGGAAAAUAAUACAAAAAAGGGGAAGGCUUUCUUACCCAUUGACCGGCGUCGACCUAGUCGGUGGCUACUUCUCCGGUUCAGAGACGUGCGGAUCCCUAGGGAUCUGUUUGAAGCAGUGACGGAGACAGGGCGCACCCGACUCCACCGUCGCUCGCAGGUUGGCCAAGAGAAGAGUGAGGGUCAAAAGGAUUUCGAAAGAGGGGAUUGUUUUUUUUAAGAAGCUUUAGAUCUGCCAAAUGAAGUUUUUUUUAGGGUAAAUCUCAGUGUAUAUAUGUGUUUAAUACGGUGUCUUUUUGAGCCGUGAGAUUUGGUGUUGAAACAGCGCCGUUUUAGGGGAGGAGACCCGUGUGUCAACCCAUUUCAUGACCCAGACCCGCGCCUUUGUACUGCAAAUGGGUUAUUUGCAAGCUUGGUCCUUCUUUGUUUCGUGCGCAUUCAAUCGCGCCUUAUCUGUUACGCUUCACUUUUUAAAUUAGCCCUGUAAUUUACGCGUGUUUGCGCUUUAGUCCGUGUCUCUGCUCUGCGUUUUAGAACUUGGGUUAUUUCCAGUUCUAGUCUUUUUACAUUGACGCGCAUCACAUAUUGGCCCUCUUUUGAUUAUUUUAUUUAUAUCUAGCCCUAGUUUUUAUAUAUAUACAAAUUUGUCAACCCCCGUUUUAGGUGCCAUUUUAUUCGUCGUUACUUUAGAAUGAUUUUAUGCCAUAUUGCUUCUUCGAUUUGCAUUUUGUUUCGUGU